rnacentral:lncRNA from 1 species
GUUUUGAAACAAAGGCAUUUACAGAGAUGCUCAAUCUUGAACUACUUCUGCUUGAUAAUGUAAAGUUGAGUGGAAGCUAUGAAGAUUUUCCAAAAAAUUUAAUAUGGCUAUCUUGGCGAGGAUUCUCUUUAAAAUCAAUACCAGCCAAUUUUUGUUUGGAAAAUCUAGUUGUUCUUGACUUACGGAAGAGCAGUCUGCAACAUGUUUGGAAAGGAACCAGGGUAUGAUCUCUCUCUCUCUCUCUCUCUCUCGCAAAAUACACACAAUCAAAAAUAAUUUUCAGCGAAAUUUAACUGUGUAUUCAUAGCAACUAAUGACAUCUCUUUGACACAGUUUCUUACAAGAUUGAAAAUUCUUAAUCUCAGUCAUUCGCAUGGCCUUAGGACAACAUCUGACUUGUCUGGACUCCCUAACCUUGAGAAACUAAUUCUUAAGGAUUGCAUUAAUUUGAUUUAUGUUGAUGAAUCCAUUGGAAACUUGGGGAAACUUAUUUUCUUGAAUCUAAAAGACUGCAAAAGUCUUAUGAAGCUUCCAAAAAGAAUGAACAUGUUGAGGUCUCUUGAGGAACUUAUUCUUACUGGUUGCUCAAAGCUUGUUCUUCAUGACAGUGCCACAGUUAUCAUUUACACUCUACAUCUAGGGAUAUGAAUAAACUUAGACUGUUAUCAAUUAUAUCAUGGACACCAAUCAGGUAUUGGUGGAUGUGGGCAUGGCCGGGAAAGACUCUUCAAUCAACGCGUUUCUCUCUGGCAAGUUUACCCCGUUCUUUGGGAAGCUUAAGUUUGUCUUACUGCAACGUGUCAGAGGUUCCCAAUGAUCUGUGUACACUAUCUUCGUUGAAGCAUUUGAAUCUAAUUGGUAACCCAAUUUUGUGCCUACCACAAAAAAUGAAGAGUCUUAUUAUGCUCGAGACUCUUUUGUUAGAUAAUUGCACAAACCUUGAAAUCAUUCCGGAGCUCCCACCAAGGUUGAAGAGGUUAGAAGCAAAAUAUUGUACAUCAUUGAAAAGAUUAACAAAUUUACCAAACUUAUUCAGAUCAUUGGAAUCACUUUUUUGGGGUUGUGAGCAUUUAGUUGAAGUUGAAAGCAUGUUGAAUAUAAAACCGCUAAGAAGCGCUGAAAUAGAAAUGACAAGAUAUAUGGGCAUGUUCAAUUUGAAAUCCAUAGCAAGCACUGAUGUCGAAAUGAUCAACUACUUGACCUUUACAACCAGGAAGGCUCCUGUCCAGGUCUGUCUCUGUCUCCUCUCUCAUGGAUAGUUGUUCUAAUUAUUAUAUCUAUGAACUAGUUGGGCUAACUGUUUGAAUAGUUAAAUUAGAAUUGUGGAUUCUUGAUGAAACAGGUACUCUAUGAAUGUGGCAUAUAUAGCAUUUUUUUUCAUGGAAGCAAGAUUCCAGAUGGAUUUAGCUUCACAACAAGAUACAGAUCUGUGCUGUCAGUUAUUGCACCUUCACAUCCUAAUCCCAAAAUCCGAGGCUUGAAUUCAUGUGUUUUAUAUGCAAGAGAACCAGGCUUGGUUAUUGAUGACUAUCUUGUUAGUGCUAUGCAUUUGAUUAAGGUCAGUAAUCAGACCAAGGGUCUUAUGUGGACCUAUUCUCCAGUCACAGUAGGGUUUCCAACUGAAGGAAGAUAUGCUAUGGCUAAGCCAUUUUCGAUUUGGAAACAAUGAAUUGGAUUAUGGGGAUGAAAUACGUGUUUCGGUGGAGAUGCAUGAUUUUCGGAUAAAGGAGUUCGGAAUCCAGCUUGUGUACGAGCGGGAAAGGUCUCCUUCUAGCCAGAAUAAUGUUGUUGCUGGAGAUGGGUCAAUGUCAACAUCAGAGUACCAAAUGUGGACAGGAAAAUACUUUCUCAGUAAUCAUAGGCACCGUACUCAUCAGGCUCAAUUCCGAAAGAGACAGGAGAAUCCAGCUCAUAUUGAAUUUUCAUUUGGGCCAGAGCGUCUAGGUCAUAAAUUAUUCAAGGCUCAAGGACCAUUGGAAAUAAUUGGGAGAGGAUGUUCAGCAGAUUCCCCAUCUGCUUCUCGUAACCUGUUUUGGGGAAAUAAAUGUUUUAGCUACAAUGUUAACUGAAGCAAUAACUGUAAGCGGACUGUAACAGUUGAGAAAUAUUCAAGUACCUAAAAGAGCAGGCAGCUAUAUCAGAAUAAUUAUGCUGGACUUAAGUUGGAUAACUUCUCAUCUGUUAUGGCCUUGGUCCUUUUAUGGCGGUAUAUUGGUGCACAAACUCCCUUUUUCUAUAUUUUCAGAAAGUCUGCAAAACUUAAAUCCUAUAGUUCUUUUUCUGCCUUUUUCUAAUAUUUUUUCUGCCAUUUUCUACUAUAGUACUACCCCUUCAGACAAUAAUCCUAGUGGCCAAAAUUAUAUCCUAACUUUAAAUCCCAAUUAAGGUGAUAUUUUUUUAUGUUUAUGCUCACUAGAAACCUGAUUGAUCUACAAUGAACCAACAACCCCCGUAGUGCCUAUGGUAUGUGUGGUGGUCUAGAUCACUCAUUUGAGCAAUACGUACAUGCGAACCAAAAAGCUAUUUAACUUUAAAAAGGGGAAAUUUAGCAUGCCCCCGAACUUUUAAAAUGUUGGUAGCAGCUCAGGUUUGAGUCCCAGCAAAGGCAUGCUUUCUUAAUUUUUGCACGACUUACAGCUGGUGCGAGGAACCUUCGCGCGUUAACUAUGUGCCAGUCUGGGUCCAUUUAGUGCGCGUUAACUUGGGGACGACCUAACGAGGGACCUGAGAUAGUCAACAACCCUUACCGAGUACCAGAAAAUGUGAAUUAUGUAAGUCGUAAGUAUUUGUGUAAACUUUUCUUAUUUUACAACGUAAAUCCAUUCAUAUUAGCAACCUUUUCUUAUUCUUUUAUGUCUUCAGAUUUGAAAGCGCGCGGUCAACAAAUUAUUGAAAACGUGUAUAUGACAAUAAUUUCGUAAGGAUUGCAAAAGCAACCAGAUUUGAAAAACUAAAAAUUAACUUUUAUUUUCUUAUAUUAUUCUCUCCGAUAACAUAUAUAUACAUCACAACCUUGAGGUGCAAGGAAUAUUAAAUGAAGAGUCUGUCCUUAAGCUAGGAAGGAAUCCCUUUAAACUAGGAAACCAAAUUAUAUUCUAUAGAAAACUGGAUUUUAAUCUCUAAAUAAGAUGAAAUUUAGAAAAAUGUCUUAUACAAGAUUAAAAAUUGAUUUUAGUCCCUAGACUCUAUUUAAUGCCAACAUAUGUAUUCAAUAUUUUUUUAUUUAUUUAUAAUCUUAUGAAUUUAAAUUUUAUGAAAAUAUUAUAAAUUUUAAUUCUCAUUAUGGUAGGCAUCUUAUAUAAGAAAAUAUUUUCGUAGAGAUUUUUCGGUACACUAAUGUUUUUGCAUAUUUUCUUAUCUGCCAUUAAUUCAUAACAAUAUAUUUAGGUACGAACAUUUCAAUACAAUGGAUUAGUAUAAUAUGUUUAGGUACGGACAUUUCGGUACACUAGUUUAGUAUAAUAUAUUUAGGUACCGACAUUUCGGUACACUAGUUUAGUAUCAUAUAGUUAGGUACGGAAUUUUGGUACACUUAUGUUUUUACAUAUUUUCUUAUCUGUCACUAAUUCACUAUAAUAUAUUUAGGUACGAGCAUUUCGGUACACUAAUUUAGUAAAAUAUAUUAUGAUCCGGACAUUUAGGUACACUAAUUAGAGAAAGUUAAAUAAAAUUGUAUAAUAAUAAAUUUAAAUUUAAUGUAAUAACAUUAAAUAAGUUAUCUAUUAAAUAUAAAAACAAAAAUAUAAUAUGAAUUUGAAUUAAGUACACAUUAAGGGUCUAAAAUUAAUAAUCAAUCUAACACCAAGUUUUUAUUAAAUUUUAAUCUUCUUGAAGGAUUAAAAUUCAAAAACCCCCAUAUUCUAAUACAAAUUGAUUUAUGACUCACACGUCAACACUCCCCCUCAAGUUGGUGCGUAGAUAUCUUCUAGACCCAACUUGUCAAGUGAGUCACCAAAUCUGCUAGCAGAGACUGCAUGUGUUAAGAUAUCCGCCAAUUGUUCCUCUGUCUUCAUGUAUGGAAUAUUGAUCAGCUUCACAUCUAGCUUUUCUUUGAUGAAAUGUCUGUCUACCUUAACAUGCUUGGUUCUAUCAUGUUGCAUAGGAUUGUUCGCUAUUUCCCUUGCUGCUUGAUUAUCACAAUACAACAUCAUAGACCCUUCCGGCUUAAUCCCUAUCCCAGUGAGAAGGAUGCGCAACCAUAGAAGCUCACAAAUUUCGUGAGCCAUUCCUCUGUACGCGGCCUCCACUGAAGAUCUCGCCACCACAUUUUGCUUUUUACUUCUCCAAGUCACAAGAUUUCCAGCUACGAACGUGAAAUAACCUGAUGUAGACCGCCGGUCAGUGAUAUUGCCUGCCCAAUCUGCAUAAGUGUAUCCUUUCACCUCCAUGUGGCCAUGUUUUUUAUACAUCAGUCCUUUCCCUGGAGCUCCCUUUAAGUAACUUAAGAUUCGCAUUACUGCUGCCAUGUGAUCUUCACUCGGAGCAUGCAUGAACUGACUGACUACGCUCACUGCAUAAGCAAUAUCUAGCCAAGUAAGAGAUAGAUAAAUUAAUCUUCCCACUAACCUUUGAUACAUCUCCUUAUUAGUCGGAAUUUGAUCCUGAUAUAUUGCUAGGUUAUGAUUUUGCACAAUCGGAGUAUCUCCCGAUUUACAAGCCAACAUCCAUGUCUCUGAUAAUAGAUCUAAUAUGUACUUGCAUUGUGACAAGUAAAUCCCUAGACCAGACCAGGCCACUUUAAUUCUAAGGAAAUACUUGAGUCCUCCUAAGUCAUUCAUCUCAAAUUCAGUAGACAAGUACCUUUGUAGUCUUUUAGUCUCCCUUGUAUCAUUACCUGUGACAAUCAUAUCAUCCACAUAUAUGAUGAGCAAGGUCACUUUACCAUCCUUACGAUUGAUGAAUAAAGUGUGAUCAGAAUUUCCCUGUCGAUACCCAUACUUUUUCAUUUCCUGAGUGAAUCUGCCAAACCACGCUUUAGGUGAUUGCUUCAGACCGUAUAGCGCCUUCCGAAGUCUGCACACCUUCCCACUAGAGUUUGCAGUGCCAUACCCUAACGAAAGGUCCAUGUAAACUUCCUCAUCUAAAUCUCCAUGUAAGAAAGCAUUUUUUACAUCAAACUGUCUUAGAGGCCAAUCAAAGUUUGUAGCCAAAGAUAACAGAACUCUAAUGGUAUUCAUCUUUGCGACUUGAGCAAAAGUUUCCUGAUAAUCAACACCAAAAGCUUGCGUGUAAUCCUUUGCCACCAAUCUUACCUUGUAUCUAUCUAUAGUUCCAUCUGCCUUGUGUUUAAUGGUGAACAUCCACUUACACCCUACUGGUUUUUUUCCUUUAGGGAGCGGCACCAAUGUUCAUGUAUUAUUUUUCUGUAAAGCCUCCAUUUCCACCUGCAUUGCCUCUGUCCAUUUCCGAUCCUUCAAGGUGUCUUCAACUCUUGUGGGUAUUUUUAUGUCUUCCAUUUGUUGGACAAAUGCGCAGUAACUUGGCGAGAGCCCAUGAGUAGAAACAUAGUGUGCAAUUGAAUAUCACACUUUACCUUCCGGAGAGUACAUGUCAUGAGGCUUUCUCGAUUUUCUCUAGAAGGCAACACAUAAAUAGGUUUAAUGUUUUCUGAGUUAGUACUUACCUCAGGAAUAUUCGGUUGAUCUUGGACAGGUACUUGAGAAACAAGAUAAUAAGGGUUGCAACAAAUUGUAUAAAUAGCUGGCCCACGCCUAUUUGGGUUAUUCAGGGAUGCUGUGGUGACUAGCCCACUUGGGUGUUCUUCAGUGGAUGCCGUAAUGGCUGGCCCACUUGGGUAGUCUUCAGUGGAACCAUCAAUAGGCCCAUUAACAAUCCCAACUGGGCUCUCGGCUAUGACUCUGUUUUCUUUCUUUUGCCUAUCGGCCAAUGGGUAUUCUUGGCCCACUUGUUCAUCAAUCAGCCUAAUUGUGUGUUCUUCAUGUGGUGCCAUGGCCGGCACAUCAAACAAACCAUCGUCCUCAUUAGUCGUUAUCUCCUCCUGAGGAGUAUGGCGGGGAGGAAAAAACAAUUCAUCCUUAGAGAAAGUGACGUCCAUUAUGACGUACAUAUGCCAAGUAGACGGAUGAUAACACCAGUAGCCUUUUUGUUGUGGAUUAAAGCCAAAAAAUGCACACCGAACUGCACAGGGAUCAAGUUUGCUUCGUUGGUUCUUGUGGAGAUGGACAUAAGCGACACACCCAAAAAUUCGUGGUUCCAAUGAAGAGUAGAGGGAAGCGUAACAUGGUCUGCAAGCACUGCCAAAUGAGUUUAAAAGGAGAGAACUCGAGAUGGCAUGCGAUUCAUAAGAUAAACGACAUAAGUUACGGCAUUCGUCUAAUAGGUCUUGGGUACACACCCACCGAUUAAGAGUGCUCUGGUGGUCUCAAUGAUAUGACAAUUCUUUCUUUCUGCAACUCCAUUUUGUUGUGGGGUCUGAGAACAAGUAGUUUCAUGGAGAAUACCAUGUUCUUUGAAAAAUUGAGAAAGAUCCUGAUUAACAUAUUCACAGCCAUUGUUGGAUCGCACAACCUUUACAGGAAGUGAAUAUUGGUUGCGAACCAUGGAAUGAAACGUCUUGAAGGUUUCACUCACAUCACUUUUGUUUUUCAUAAGAUACAACCAUGUCAUCUGGGUACAAUCAUCAACAAAUGUCACAAACCAGCGUAUACCAUGCUGAGUAGUAAUCGGAGAUGGUCCCCACACAUCAGAAUGAAUCAACUCAAAAGAUAUUAUGCUUUUAUUAAAACUUGGCGAAAAAGAAGCAUGAUGGCUUUUGGCUAAGGUGCAAGUAUUACACUUUAAGGAAGUGUCUGAAAUAUUAUUAAAUAAUGAUGGAAGUAAUUUUCUUAAAUAUCCAAAUAAAGCAUGACCUAGUCAACGAUGCCACAGUUAAACAGUUUUCAUCUGUCCACUGCUAUAACUUUGAACCUGAUGAACAUGUCUUGACACAACAUCAUCCACAUAGUACAACCCCUUUCUCUUAGUACCACGCCCAAUGAUCGCCCGAGUCCGAAUAUCUUGAAGUAGACAGAAAGUGGGAAACAUUAGCAAACAAUUUUGUCUACUUCAGGAUAUUCGGACUCGAGCCAAAAGUCACUGACCUAGUCAACGAUGCCACAACUGAACAAAAUUGUUUGCUUGUACCCUCACUCUCCAGUAAUUUAUUAUCUGUGGGCCAAGUCACUGAGCAAUUAAAUUGUUUCCUAUUUUUUGCCCACAUAUAAUAAAUUACUGGAGAGUGAGGGUACAAGCAAACAAUUUUGUAAAGAAAGAUUAGAGGUGAUUGCAAUAGAACCCGCCCCUAUAACUGGGGCAAUACCCCAUUUUCCGUGAUAAUGCUAUUAUUUGGUGGUGGUACCAUCGAGUUAAAGAGGGUUCGAUCAUAAGUCAUAUGAUCGAUGGCUCCUGAAUCAAUGAUCUAACCUGUAUCGUGAACAACAGAAGCAAUUAAAGCAGUGCUCAUAUUACUUGGGUCAUCAGAUUCAUUCGAGGAGAUCAUAUUUAAGAGGGACAAGUGCUGCCCAAUUUCAUCAUGAUCCACAACAUGCACCACUGGUUCCUUGGGCUGGUUUUGGGCCACAGUAGUGUGACCCAUAACUGUUUCUCGAAUGUCAUGCCCAUAAUGUGCUGCUGUCAUGGCAGAUUGAACUGCAGUCUCGUCAGGCCCAUCAUAACGAGCUGCCAUUGCAGCUAGGCCAGGAUUAGGAUCGACCUUCCUUGUUUGGUUGGGACGUUUUCCUAACUUCCCCUUGAUUUGUUUUCUUCGUUCUAUGAACCAUUCAGGGUAUCCAUAAAUUUUGAAACAAGUAUCUUUUGUAUAACGAGUGCCAUUGCAAUAAGUGUAUCGGAGCUUGUCUUUUUCAGCACUUUCCAAAUCCCGUAGUGAGCAUGAUAGACUUGGGAAUGGUUUACUAACCAUGGCCACGGAUGGACCAUUGUCAGUAUCCUUAUCGCUUAGCAUAGUGGUUUUUCAUUAUGAUUCUCACCGAAUGGUGUUGAAGCAUUCUUCUAUUCCAGGGACAUGUUUAAUCAAAGAAGCAUGCUUCGUACCACAUCCAAUGAGUCAUUGAGUCCUGCAAGAAAGUCGUACACCCUGUCUUUUUGAAGCUUUUCAUUCCUGCUUUUCAAGUCGGCUGCACACACCAUCUUAUUGGGACGUCGUUUGUCCAUCUCUUACCAUACAUUUUUUAGUUCCACAAAAUCGAUGUUCACUGGUCGUCCAUUCUGCUUUGUUCUUGUUGCCUUGCAUCGUAGUUCAUAAUAUUGGGACUCGUCUGCCCCGUCAUAGAACAUCUGACUGACGUUUUCCCAAAUAUCAUGUGUCGUUGGUAACUCAAUGAAUAGUCCUAACAGAUGUUUUUCCAUAGUUUUUAGCAGCCAUCCUCGGACAAUUGCAUCUUCAGGUGCUAGGUUUUGUUUCAUCCACUGUUAGAGUCUUCUCAUUGAGAUAACCCAUCUUAUUUAAUCCCUCUGCGUGAACUUCCAUCAUCUUCGACCAAAUUUUAUAGUUCAAAUCAUAAGUUUGAAUCCGAACGGUACGGCACUCAGAUUUGGAGAUUCGUUUGUACUAGGAGCUAAAGCCCCCACGAGAAUAAUUGCUCCUUCUGCAGCCAUCACAGUAGCGGAGUGUCUUGUUUUGUGUUUCUGAUUUGGGGUAUUCUGAAAGUGAGUCCCUUGUCUCGGGACACCACAUCACACACAGAUAGGAUAAUAGGUUUAGAAUUGGAGAAAGAUACCAAACCAAAAACUCUCGACUCUGAUGCCAAAUUAACUUUUAUUUUCUUAUAUUAUUCUCUCCAAUACGGAGGCAACAUAUAUAUACAUCACAACCUUGCGGUGCAAGGAAUAUUAAAUGAAGAGUCUGUCCUAAGCUAGGAAUGAAUCCCUUUAAACUAGCACGAUGACUUUUGGCCAAAAUGCAAAUUUCACAACGAAAAUCGGAUUCUUUGAAUUGGGAAAAAAAGUUUAGGAAAUAUAAGUUUAAGAUAACCAAAUGAAGGAUGUCCUAAUUGUCUAUGCCAUAACCAAAUCUUCUUCAUUUAGGUUGAUUUGUCUUUGCUUACAUGAUGCACUUGACUCAAUCUAUAGCUGCAUUCUUCCGUUAAGUCCAAAUAAUAUAGUUUGCCCCUUCUAGUACCAUAACCAAUCACGACCCUGGUGAGCAGAUCCUGGAAAAGACAACAUAGUGCCAAAAAGAAAUAGAGCAAUUAAGGGAGUCAAUAAUUUGAGAAACAGAUAAAAGAUUGUAAUCUAGGGAUGACAUAACUAAGACAAGAUCAAGAUUGAGUGAGGAAGUUAGUGAAAGAGAGCCUUCUCUGGUAACCGAAGAGAUUGAACCAUUGGCAUUGGUAAUAAACGUCUGGUUGGCUGUUUUUAGUGGGUGAAGAAUGUUAGCAUCAGAUGUGAUGUGAUAUGUGACACUUGUAUCAAUAAUCCACGAUCUAUUACAAGUAUUAGCGGAUGUAGAAUUAGAUAUACCUAAGGUGUUCAAGGCUUUUGGGACAUGGUCAAAUGAGCUAACAUCUUGAGAAGACUGAGAGGUGGUGAAUGAUGCUCUGCUGGAUUCCUUUUUUCGUCCUUUGUGAACCCAUCCUUCUGGAUAGCCAAUAAUCUCAUAAUAGCCUUGAAUAGUAUGAUUUUUCAAUCCGCAUUUAGUGCAUUGCAUAGAUGGUCGAUUACGAAUCGAUUAGCUGUUGAAGAGUUUAUGUUUUGAAGUCGAGGUCCUUGUGGAGAUCGAGAAUUUGUGUAAAGAGCACAAUAGCUUCAAGCAUGGUGGCACUUUCUGACAUGGUUCCUUGUCGGUUGCUAUCACGUUUGACAUGAGAGUAGGCUCCUUCAAGACCAAGUUUGGGCUCAAUCCUCAAAAUCUCACCAUGAAUUUGAUCCAACUUGCUGUCUAAUCCUGCAAGAAAAAUAUAGACUCGAAGUCGCCUUGAUGAGAUAUCAUCUGGGUCCUUCAUGUUAGUAGGACUAAGUUGAACAGGUUCUUGAAAAAUCUCGAUGAGAUUGUUGUAAAAGUUAGCAAUAUAGCUCCAUUUUGCUUCAUGGUGAAUGACCUUUUAUAAAGAUCAUAAAUUUUAGCUUCAUCAGAGCCAUUUGAGUAAGUCUUUUUUUUGGCAUCCCAUAUCUGCAUGGCGAUGUCGUAACGGAUGAACCACUUCAUAUGAUUGGGCGUCAUAGCAUCAAAUAACCAACUUUUGACUUGGCAAUUUUCAGCUUGCCACUUGUUAUACAGUGGGUAUGUAACUACAGGCUUCUUGGUAUCACCGGAAAGAUGCCCAUGUUUUUCUCGACCAACAAUUUUCAUCUCUAUGACUUGAUGCUACAAAGAAUAGUUGUUCUCAUCAAGUUUAAUUCCUACAGAGAAAUUGGAAUUAUCACCUUGAAUGGUGACCACUUGUGUGGUGGAGUUUGAUUUACUUGGUGUGAAAGACUAAUUUGGUGGGUCUGAUAUACUUCAUCACUAGCCAUUGUAUAGGCUUAAGAUCAGUGAAGAAAUAAAAGAUAAAAUUGAUAUGGGAAAAAAUGAAGAAUAACUUGCUUAUGAUUGUGAUCGAGAUAUGACUAUGGUAGAAGCAUUUAUUGGUUUUGAGGUUCAAGAGUCAGUUAUGAUCGACUGCUCUGAUACCAUCUCAGAAAUAAUGGGUUUGUGGGUCAAUUUUCUGUUUCAUUGUAUUACAUUGGCUCCGUAAGGAGCUCUUCAUAUUACAAACUAUACAAUUAAUAUCUAAUAUCAUUAACUACAUGUUCCUAACUCACUUGACAACAUUUAUUGUGAGGAGUAAUUAACAUUGACAAUUGCCAUGUCCAUGUUGACAGACAGCAACUUCUUUUGUUGACAAUAGCAGCUCUUGUUGACAAGAUCAUCCUGUAAUUUCUAGUGAAACGAAUCAAGGGCAAACAAUUUUAGGCUGCCCUUACCUAAUUUACAUGUGUUGCUGUAAAUUCCUACUUCUAAUGUUGGGACGAUGAAAAUAAAGUGCAGCAUGAAGAAAUAUCUAUUCCAGCAAUCUACAUGACAUCACAGACCCACCCAGGCGCAUCACCUUUUUGAAUAUACAAGACAAUAAGAUGUGAAACAUCUCAAAGCUAUGUGGUAGGUAUUGCACAGAGGGGAAACUAAAGCACAAGGCCCUCUAAGCAAACAAUAACAUAUAAGAAAUGAGGAGAAUCGUUAUAUACACAAUUGUUUUAAUUUUUGAAAUUUGCGUAUUUCCACAGUGAAACAUCGAGUACACAUAACAACUAGACGAACAAAUGGAUUACAAACUAUGAAUCUUAUUUGAUUAACGGAAAGAAAAAAAAAACAGGAUUUUCGAGACGACUACACUUAACUACAUAUCGACCUAUUAUCCGUACUAAACAAACUAUAUUUGUAUGCAGCAAAACCUAAGAAAUCCUAAUUUGAAUGGGGUAGGCCUAAAUCAUAAACUAACAAGCAAACCCAAAUAAUGAAAUAACUAAUUUUUCAACAUCCGUCAAACUCAUGACGGUACAUGACAUGAGUUUGCCAACAACCAGAUUCUAAUUUAGACAUAUUGAUGUUAAGAGUAUGAAAAGAAAGCAUAUGAUUGCUUCCCCUCACUAAACAAAUGAGAUUUCCAUAUCCCAAUUACAACAAUGAACGAAAAAAUCAACAUUAUCACUCAAAUAAUCACAAAUCCAAAUACUCAAGUAAAGGUAAAAAAAAUUCCCAAACAAGCCAACAACUCGCGUCGGCCUCAAAGACAUUAAAAAAAAAAGAAAAAGCCCAUGUCUUUUCCCCCUUUGCCUGUGUGGCCCAAAAUCUUGGAAUUGGAUCUGCUCCGGAACUUAGUGUCUGAAGUCUCCGAUUCAAGAAUCUAGGCCACACAAAUUUAGUCCAACGAUCUCCAUUAAUUUAUUUUUCUGGCCCACCACACACAACCAACAUCCCUGAUUUGACUUACACAUCAAUCAGUGCCCUAGAUUCCUUAAUUUGGAGAUUACGAACACUAAAAUCUGGAGCAUAUCCAAUUCUCAAAAUCUCAACCAAUUUCCAAUUUUUUCUUUUUUGUGUGGAUCUCAAACAUACCACCACUUUUUCAUCUUUUUCUUUUUCUCUCUUUUUCCUUUUUGUUUUAGGCAUAUCUUUUUCUUUCCGUGUGGACCUCAUCGAAAUCAAACAAAAAAAAAAGAAAAAUUAAACUCAUCAUUAACUUCCACAUGAAACUUUUUGAACCAAGUUGUGUGAGAUUUGUCCAUGAUUCGGGUGGGGGUAGGUGGGCUGGGGUCAGUUCUCAUUAUUUACUCACCCUUACGCAUCCGUGCAUCCACCCCAAUUUCGAUGUUUUGGGACCUUGGACUAGCAAUAAUUUUUCAAAUAACAGAGUGGAGAUUGGAGAGAGAUAGGAGGAGGGAGGAAGAGCGAGAGAGAAUAGUAUGGUUACAUUUUAGAAUUUUUAUGACAUAGAAUAUUAAUAAUGAUAAAAGUUAACUAGAGUUAUAUGAGAAGAUAUAUAUCAAGUUAAAAGUGUAUGAAUAGCAUACAUGGGUAAGUUCGAAGCAUUUUUACUCAUUGCUUUCAAGUGAUGGUGAUGCUCACAAUAUUUUUAUUACUGUUUGAUAAGUUUAAUUUUUGAAAUUUAUGUCUAUCCACAGUAGAAACGUAUUACAAAUAACAAACAUACGAACAUAUGAACAAACAAAUUACAAAUUACCGAAUAUAUUUGACUAACGAAACAACAAAGAAACAUGAUUGUCGAGACGACUACACUCAACUACAUACCAACUUAUUAUCCAUGCUAAACAAACUACAUUUGUGGGGAGCAAAAUCUAAGGAACCCUAAUUCAAAUGGGAUAGGCCUAAAUCAUAAACUAACACUAAUUUUUCAACACCAGUCAAAUUCAAGACGAUACAUAACAUGAGUUUGCCAACAAACAAAUUUUAAUUCAGACAUAAUGAUGUUGAGAGUAUAAAAAGAAAGCAAAUGAACGCUCCCCAACACUAAACAAAUGAGAUUUUCAUAUUUCAAUUACAACGAUGAACAAACAAAAACGACACUAUCACUCGAAUAUUCACAACUCCCGUACAAGCCAAUAACUCGCGUCAAUCAAUUUCCAAUUUUUUCUUUUCCGUGUGGACCUCAAACAUACCACCACUUUUUCUUCAUUUUCUUUUUCCAUCUUUUUUCCUUUUUUCUUUAUCCCUAUCUUUUCCUCACCCUCGUUUACCAAAAAGAAAAAGAAAAGAGAAAACAAAAGACUCGUCCUUCUUCUUGAGCUGCUGCUUUGGUAGCAUCUCCCACCUCUUCUUCUUCAUCAACUCUCAAGACCGACGCCCAUUCAGAUCCUUGGAAAUUUGAGCAUGGUGGAGAGGAACUAUAAUUAUCAACUUGAGGUUUUAAGUGAGCAAAAUUCGAUUUGUGAAAUGGUCCAUUUCACAGUGUCGUUUUGAAGAAACUAGUUGGGACUUUCAUCCAACAGCUUGCCGGAAGAAAGAAAACUCACAGCUCUGGUGUGUGCGAGGUACCUCCAAGCUCCCCUCUUGUGAAAACAUAAAUCUGCUUUAGCUUUCAAUUGAAAUCUUCGUGGCCGAUGAGUCAAAUGCAUUGACUAUGGAUCCUCUUGUUUUCUUAUCUUUAUUUUUCUUUUUAAUAUUUUCCUAUUAAAACUAAGAUCUAAAGUCUUUAAAUUCAUGGAAAUUAUUUUGUAAGACUUCAAUUUUUGUUUUUCAGAAACAUGAACUAAAUCCAUUUCAUGAAAAAGGAUCUAGUCCUUUUCGUUUUUUUCUUCUUAAAAUAAAUAUGAGUCAUUAUAUUAAUAAUUAAUUUAUUAAAAAUUGAUAGAAUAUAUUUUUGUAUAAAGUUUUAAUAUGAAUUUCUUUUAAGAUUACACAUAAUGUGUCGUUAGCUUUACCAAAUUUAUGAUAAUAUAAAUGUACCGAUAGUUUUUUAAAUAAAAUUUACAUAACAUACCAAAACUAAUUUGUACACAAAUUUAAAUUACAUAUCAUGCCAAUAACGUACCAAAUUAUUGACACGUUACAUUUAGUAAAUAAAAACAUUGAUAUAUAUAUAGAGAGAGAGAGAGGCCCUUUAAGGAAACAGAUCACAUUUAAAAAAAAAAUAGGGCACCCUCUUGAUCAUUAAAUUUGAUUUUAAUGAAAUUCUGUAAUUGAGAUUAAAUCACAGACCACAUAAUCUUAAUUACAGAAUUUCAUUAAAGCCAAAUCUAACGGUUAAGAAGGUGUUCUUAUUUUUUUUUUUAGGAAAAUAGGGAUCCAUCCCCUCUAUUUAUAUAUAUAUAUAUAUAUAUAUAUAUAUGUAAUAUCGUUUAGAAUUUUAAAGUACCAAGAAUUUUAAAGUACGUUGGUACUUUUAAAAUAGCACGUUUGAUUUUUUUUGUUUUUUGCACUCACAGUUUAACUUUAUUUUUUGAUAAAUAAUUCAACUUUUUUUUAUUUUUAUAGAACUUUUAUUGUUUUUUAUUCUUUUGAAAUAUAUUGAAAUAAAAAGAUAUAAAUUAACAAUAUAUUGAAAAAAACCUUUGAUAUUUGGUCUAAGAAAUUAGAAAACAGAGCAUCUAGAUCAAAAUGCCCCCUAAAUUAUUUGGUGGUUAAGAGCCCUAAAUGAGCUCCUCACUAAAACUUAGAGAGGGUUUGAAAAAUUCCAUCUCGAAUCAGAGCCAAGUUACAUGUACAUGUCUAACAAAAGUUUAGUCCAUUUUUACCACACAAAAAAAGGAAAUAAAAUAACCAAUAAUAUUCUUGCAUGACGAUAUGACGAAUUUAUUCUUACUAGACACCAAUUAGUCUUCUUUUUUUUUUUUUUUUCCUCCUGAGUGCUACUCGAGACUCCAACUUAUUAGUUUUUGCAUCAAUUUUUUAGAUCCCAAAUGGCAUGCCAAUGUUCCAACUUAUUAUGUUGAUCAUAUCCUACAUAUUUCCAAAAUUAGACCUGUAAUAUGAUUUGCAUAUCAGUGGUAAAUCAGAUGUGUUUGGUAGCUGGAGAAUAUAUUCUCAAUUUGCAUUCCAAUUUGUAUAUAAUAACUCUUCUUCAUGCAUUCACUGCUACAGAUAGACUCUAUUCAAUAGCUGCUAUGAGCACCGAGCAGCAGAAGAAUGCUUCUUCAUCCUCUUACCGGUGCACAUAUGAUGCCUUCUUGAGUUUCAGAGGCACAGAUACACGCAAGGGCUUUACAGAUCACCUCUACAGUGCUUUGGAGUCGGCAGGAAUCCACACUUUUAGAGAUGAUGAUGAAAUUGAGAGAGGAGCAAACAUUGAACAGGAGCUACAGACAGCAAUACAAGAGUCACGAGUAUCAGUCAUUGUUUUCUCCAAGGACUACGCCUCUUCCAGGUGGUGCCUGAAUGAACUUGCUGUCAUCAUGGAACGUAAAAGAACAGAUGGACACAUGGUUAUCCCAGUUUUCUAUGAUGUGGAACCAUCAGAUGUCAGGAAGCAGACGGGCAGUUUUGCAGAAUCAUUUACUAGACAUGAAGAGCGCUUCAAGGACGAGAUAGACAAGGUGGAGGAGUGGAGGCGAGCUCUUAGAGAUGUUGCAGACUUGGGAGGGAUGGUUUUAAGAGAACGGUGAUUUUUCAUUCCCUCCUAUAUUCAGUCAAGUAGAUCAGAUGCUAGUCUCAAGCUUGUGAAAGUUUUAGCUUUUUUUUUUUUUUUUUUUUCUGAAAAAAUAAAAACAAAAAAUAAAAAACUUGCUCGUGUUUUUUCUUUUGGCCUGAAAAGAAAGAACUUAUUGUCCCUUGUGUAUUUUGAUACCAAUAACAUAUAGGUACGAGUCGCAGUUUAUCCAAGAUAUUGUUGAAGCGAUUGGAAAUAAACUAGACUACAUGACGAAUAGGAGAUUAAGAGUUGAGCCCUAUGUGAUUGGAAGAGAUUAUCAUGUGAAAAGACUAAACAUGUGGCUGGAAGAUGGAUCAAAUGAUGUUGGAGUAGCUGUCAUCCAUGGAAUGGGUGGAAUAGGCAAGACCACCAUUGCAAAAAUUGCUUAUAACCAGAACUUGUAUAAAUUUCAAGCUAGCAGCUUUCUUUCAGAUAUUAGGGAAACUUCCAAACAAGCCAAUGGUUUUGUUCACUUGCAAAGGAACCUUCUUUCAGAUAUCCAAAAGAGGAAAUUGAACAAAAUAUACAGCAUUGAUGAAGGAAUAGUCAAGAUCGAACGGGCUGUACGUUGCAAAAGAGUUCUUAUUGUUCUUGAUGAUGUGGAGAACUCGGAACAGUUCAGUGCAAUAAUUGGAAUGCGAGACUGGUUCCAUCCUGGAUGUAAAAUUAUAAUAACAACUAGGCAUGAACAUUUGUUAAAGGCUCAUGAAGUUGUAAGGUUUAAGGUUGAAGGAUUGCAUGAGGAUGAAUCACUUGAGCUUUUCAGUUGGCAUGCCUUUCGACAACCCCAUCCUCAAGAAGGUUAUAUGGAGCUUUCAAGACCCGUGGUUGAACAUUGUGGAGGGGUUCCAUUAGCUCUUCAAGUUCUGGGAUCUUCUCUAUAUGGAAAAACAAUUGAUGUAUGGAAAAAUGCACUACACAACUUAGACGUGAUUUCUGAGGGGAAAAUUCAAAAGAUUCUUGCCAUAAGCUUUGAUUCUUUACAAGAUCAUGAUAAACGUUUAUUCCUGCAUAUAGCCUGUUUCUUCGUGGGAAAGGACAAGGAUUUUACAACUACAAUCCUUGACGAAUGUGAUUUUUCUACAGAGGUUGGACUUCAACAUCUGGUUGAUAGAUGUCUUGUGGAAAUUAAUGUCCACAACAAGUUAACCAUGCAUCAAUUACUUCAAGACAUGGGAAGGGCAAUAAUUCGUGAAGAAUCACCUGAGGACCCUGGAAGACGCACUAGACUGUGGCAUAAAGAUGCAUUUAACGUUUUGAGAAAAUUAGCGGUAAGAAACAUGAUCUUUAUCUGUAUAUAUUUGCAAUGGUAUUCUGCAUGUGACUAGUAACUUAUCCAAUGCUCUUAUUUGUUAGCAGGGUACGAGAACUAUCAAGGGCCUCGUGCUUAACUUUCCCUCAACAGAGUCAUCUCCAGUAUUAAAUGAGGUAGGUUUCGAAACAAAGGCAUUUACAGAGAUGCUCAAUCUUGAACUACUUCUGCUUGAUAAUGUAAAGUUGAGUGGAAGCUAUGAAGAUUUUCCAAAAAAUUUAAUAUGGCUAUCUUGGCGAGGAUUCUCUUUAAAAUCAAUACCAGCCAAUUUUUGUUUGGAAAAUCUAGUUGUUCUUGACUUACGGAAGAGCAGUCUGCAACAUGUUUGGAAAGGAACCAGGGUAUGUUCUAAUCUCUCUCUCUCUCUCUCUCAAAAUACACACAAUCAAAAAUAAUUUUCAGUGAAAUUUAACUGUGUAUUCAUAGCAACUAAUGACUUCUCUUUGACACAGUUUCUUACAAGAUUGAAAAUUCUUAAUCUCAGUCAUUCGCAUGGCCUUAGGACAACAUCUGACUUGUCCGGACUCCCUAACCUUGAGAAACUAAUUCUUAAGGAUUGCAUUAAUUUGAUUGAUGUUGAUGAAUCCAUUGGAAACUUGGGGAAACUUAUUUUCUUGAAUCUAAAAGACUGCAAAAGUCUUAUGAAGCUUCCAAAAAGAAUGAACAUGUUGAGGUCUCUUGAGGAACUUAUUCUUACUGGUUGCCCAAAGCUUGUUCUUCAUGACAGUGCCACAGUUAUUCAUUUACACUCUACAUCUAGGGAUAUGAAUAAACUUAGACUGUUAUCAAUUAUAUCAUGGACACCAAUCAGGUAUUGGUGGAUGUGGGCAUGGCCGGGAAAGACUCUUCAAUCAAUGAGUUUCUCUCUGGCAAGUUUACCCCGUUUUUUGGGAAGCUUAAGUUUGUCUUACUGCAACAUGUCAGAGGUUCCCAACGAUCUGUGUACACUAUCUUCGUUGAAGCAUUUGAAUCUAAUUGGUAACCCAAUUUUGUGCUUACCACAAAAAAUGAAGAGUCUUAUUAUGCUCGAGACUCUUUUGUUAGAUAAUUGCACAAACCUCGAAAUUCUUCCAGAGCUCCCACCAAGGUUGAAGAGGUUAGAAGCAAAAUAUUGUACAUCAUUGAAAAGAUUAACAAAUUUACCAAACUUAUUCAGAUCAUUGCAAUCACUUUUUUGGGGUUGUGAGCAUUUAGUUGAAGUUGAAAGCUUGUUGAAUAAAAAACCGCUGAGAAGCGCUGACAUAGAAAUGACAAGAUAUAUGGACCUGUUCAAUUUGAAAUCCAUAUCAAGCACUGAUGUCGAAAUGAUCAACUACUUGACCGGUACAACCAGGAAGGCUCCUGUCCAGGUCUUUCUCUGUCUCCUCUCUCAUGUAUAGUUCUAAUUAUUAUAUCUAUGAACUAGUUGGGCCUAACUGUUUGAAUAGUUAAAUUUGAAUUGUAGAUUCUUGAUGAAACAGGUACUCUAUGAAUGUGGCAUAUAUAGCAUUUUCUUUCAUGGAAGCAAGAUUCCAGAUGGAUUUAGCUUCACAACAAGAUACAGAUCUGUGCUGUCAGUUAUUGCACCUUCACAUCCUAAUCCCAAAAUCCGAGGCUUGAAUUCAUGUGUUUUAUAUGCAAGAGAACCAGGCUUGGUUAUUGAUGACUAUCUUGUUAGUGCUAUGCAUUUGAUUAAGGUCAGUAAUCAGACCAAGGGUCUUAUGUGGACCUAUUCUCCAGUCACAGUAGGUUUUCCAACUGAGACGGAAGAUAUGCUAUGGCUAAGCCAUUUUCGAUUUGUAAACAAUGAAUUGGAGUAUGGGGACGAAAUACGUGUUUCGGUGGAGAUGCAUGAUUUUCGGAUAAAGGAGUUCGGAAUCCAGCUUGUGUACGAGCAGGAAAUGUCUCCUAGUAGCCAGAAUAAUGUUGUUGCUGGAGAUGUGUCAAUGUCAACAUCAGAGUACCAAAUGUGGACAGGAAAAUACUUUCUCAGUAAUCAUAGGCACCGUACUCAUCAGGCUCAAUUCCGAAUGAGACAGGAGAAUCCAGCACAUAAUGAAUUUUCAUUUGGGCCAGAGCAUCAGGUUCAUAACUUAUUCAAGGCCCAAGGACCAUUGGAAAAUAUUGUGAGAGGAUGUCCAGCAGAUUCCCCAUCUGCUUCUCGUCACCUGUUUUGGCGAAAAUGAAGAGAAACAUUCUCAAUUCUUUAUCCAACAUCAGUCAUUUAUGGUUGGAAAGAAGGAUCAGCAUCAUUUUCCUUGGUGAGUACCGUCUUUUUGUUCUUUGUUGUUCUCUCGUUCUGAUAAUAUACUCGUGGCUUUGUUGGAUUUGUUGCUUUUUGCUUAUUGUCAUAAAGACCAAUCAAGGAAACAAAACCGGAACAUUCCUCAUGAGUCUGCAGAUGAAGUUUUAAACCCCCUAUAGAGCAAAACCAAUCUGAGCGUAUUUCUCAUCUGUUAUGGCUCGGUCCUUUUAUAGCUGAUAUUGGUGCACAAACUCCCUUUUUCUAUAUUUUCAGAGAAAGUCUGCAAAACUUAAAUCCUAUAGUUCCUUUUCUGCCUUUUUCUACUAUAGUACUACUCCUUCCGAUAAUAAUCCUAGCGGCCCAAAAUUAUAUAUUCCAACUUUAAAUCCCAAUUAAGGUGCUAUAGUUGGUUUUUUAUGUUUAUGCUCACUAGAAACCUCAUUGAUCUACAACGAACAAACAACUACCGUAUAGAUCAUGCUUUCUUAAUUUUUGGCUCCACUUACAGCUGGUGCGAGGGACCUCUGCGCGUUAACUAUGUGCCAGUCUGGGUCCAUUUAGUGUGCGUUAACUAUGGGCACGACCUAACGAGGGACCUGAGAUAUUCAAGAACCCUUACCGAGUACCAGAAAAUAUGAAUUUUGCAAGUCAUAAUGUAUUACUGUAAACUUUUCUUAUUUUACAACCUAAAUCCAUUCAUAUUAGCAACCUUUUCUUAUUCUUUUAUGCCUUCAGUUUUGAAAUCGCGCAAUCAACAAAUUAUUAAAAAUGUGUACAUGACACUAAUUUCUUAAGGAUUGCCAAAGCAAUCAGAUUCGAAAAAACUAAAACGGACAAAAAACGCACAAAUAACUUAAAAAUCCAUAUUGACAAAAUCUAGAAUAAACUGAAACAACUAAAAUCCUAAAUUAAUCCAUAAACCUAAAUCAUGACUGCCACCGUGAAUUGAAGUUGUGUCAUGACAGAACCGAUCGCGUUCAAGUGAUAAUAGUCCGUAGAAACAAUCAGCGAAUCUGUAGAAGAUUUGUUCACCACAAAUACUUAUUAUUUUCCCGUGACCAAAAUAAAAAAGAACGAGAGUAGAGGCCAGUGUGAGAUCCUAAGAAUUUAUUAUCGAAGAAGCGAAAUUUAUUUUCUACUCCAUUUCAUUUAUUUUUGUUUUUAUUUAAUUUUACUUGAUCACCGUGUGCAGAGUUAAUUUUUUCACCGACUCAGAGUCUGGGACGUGACAGAAUGGUAUCAAAGCAUAUGUAUUAGACAACCUUGGACAACCUGUGGUGUCAUUUGAAUAUUAGCUUUAAAGGAACCAGAGCCUGGCUACUUAGAACUUUGUAUUUUAGUGGAAUGUUGAUUGAUUUAUGGAAUAAGAAAUACAAUAUAGUAUGCUAAGAAACUUGUACAAAGAUACCCACAAUUUUCUUGGGAGUUUAUGUGUGUUCGACUAAGUACUAGAUAUGAACACACGUAAUUAGCCGCUUAAGAUUUCGAAAUCGACUUGUCAAAUUACAUGAAUCCUUACUCUACAUACAACCAUGAAUUGACUUGGAAAUUAAAGUCCGAUCAAAGGUGAAAAAUCUGGACUUGUCAAGUAAUUCAAUGUUUAAAGUAAAUCUCGAGUAUGAGAUUUAUUUUAAGAAUGAUGAAUUGUGAGAUCUUAAGAAUUUAUUAUCAAAUAAGAGAAAUUUAUUUUCCAUCCCGUUUCAUUUAUUUUUGUUUUAUUUAAUUUUACUUGCGUAUCGGGUGCGGGUUAUUUUUUCCACUGAGUCCGGGUCCAAGCGUGACAAGGACUCAAACAGAUGUUCCUUUCAUUCUCAAAUUGUGAGUUAUAUUCACUGUGACAAAAACAAGAAAGGAUGAGAGAAUAUGACUCAAGGUAAUUUUCAUUUCAUGCUGAGUAAAUUGUAGCUAUGGUCCCUUAACUUUAACUCAAUUGGAGCAAUGGUCCCACAACUAAAAAUCCAUUAUCAUUGGUCCCUCAACUCAUCAAAAUGUGCAGCUAUGGUCCCUUAACUAAAAAUCCAUUACCAUUGGUCCCUCAACUUUAAUUCAACUGGAGAAAUGAUUCCUAAACUUUAACCCAAUUGUAACAAUGGUCAUUCCAAUAUAACUCGUUUUGACAAAAAUUUUGACGUAGUUGAGGAAAAAGACCAUAAUUACAUACUUUGAUGAGUUGAGGGACCCUAAUUAUAUAAAUGGUUAUUCCAACAUAACUUAUUUUGACAAAAUUUUAAUGAAAUUGAUGAAAAUGACUAUAGCUACACAUUUUGAUAAGUUGAAGGACCAAUGGUAAUGAAUUUUUAAUUGAGGAACCAUUACUCCAAUUUGAUUAAAGUUGAGAGAUCAUUGCUAUAAUUUACUCUUUCAUGCUCAAAAUGACACAUUUGUGCACUUUUCUUUUAAACUAGUCAUUAUAGUCCAAUUAGCAGCUGUAAAGUAUCAGCUUUACAUCCAAUUUAACAAAACAAAAUUAUCUUUUUACCCUCAAUUGCCAUGUGUUGUCAUGGUUGAAAAAUUAGAUGAAGAUUUUCAAAAUCCAACUCCCGAGGGAAGAUUGGCUAUUUAUAAAAGUCCAGGGUAAAUCAACUAAAAUUAAAGUUCAAGGCGAAAUUUUUCCAACAAUAGAGUUUACAAUUUUCUUUUUCUCAAUUCGUGCAGGCUAAACGCUUUUAAUUAACAUUACUCAAGUUAUAAGCACCUUACAAAAUUUGCAAUUUUUUUUCAUAGUACUAUAAACUAGAAAAUAUGCCUGCGCUUUGCUGCGGGACUUGAAUGCACCAGCCUUAACUGCAUGAAUAAGACACAUUUAACCUAAAUAAAUUAAACAUAUUCCUGAAUGAACAAAAGAAUAGAUGAGUGAAUGAGGUCGGUACGAUAAGCAACUUGGUUUUUAUAUACAUUCAACAGAGCUGAUAUGAAAAGACAUUGUACAGUUAUCAGAAUGAAGUUCCUGAUUACAAAAGAUGUGGCUGCAAAAAAUGCUCUAUUUCCAUAAGAAACAGCAACAACAUGCAGUUCUCACACAUUGGUUAUUCUAAUGUCCAUUUCAUUGUAGGGUAGACAUGAAUCAUUUUGACAGAAAGAGACAAAUUGUUGAUGAUGGUAAGUCUUAAUGAAUCAUAUUGAAACGGCAGCAGCCUUAGAAUAAGAUUCGACUGUGCAUAGAGUAUGGAUUGCAAGUUGAAUUCCAACAAAUAUGUGUAAUUAUGAAUCACCACGACCGAAAUUAGAGAAUCCACAAAAAAAUGAGGUCUAACUCUCUAUUUCGGAGGAGAAUAUCCAAAAAUAAUGAUGUCCCCUUGUUUUUGUUUUUCAUUCAUUUCUCACAAACCAAUCAUACAUUUAAAAUAGGCUUUGAAUAAAAACAGGGCAUAUAAUUAUAUACCUCAAAAUGCCAAGAAACCAACUUCUCCCUCCAACGAUCCAAACUCCUGAAAUUCCCAAGCAUAAUAAAUCCAUUAGCAAUUUCUUGAUGUUUCUUUGCUUUAUUUAGUCUAAAGAUUGAAAUAUAUAGGAUGUGCAUAUAUAUAUAUGGAGUAAAGAAGUGGUGCAUUUGUGAGAUAAAGCAUUAACAUCCACCGUGACAUCUGUGUAUAUUUUACAAUAUGUGUGUCUGAGUUUGCAUUUGUGCUGAAUAUUAACUUGAAAAGUUGAAAGCAAAGAUAUUACACACUUCAAAAGAUGCUUGCAUCAGGUUGGACACCAACGGACAGCUAAAAAACUAAUCCACUAGUGUACACAUUAUCUUGAUUUUUCUUGUUAAUGCACCUUCAUUUCCUUCUACUAAGGGGCAUUUCAUCUACAAUUAAUCAUCUACUGAUAAAAGACAAUCUCUAGAUACUCGAUAUGCAACUAAAUCAACAAACAAUCCUUACUUAUUCAGCAUAUCUACAGAACCAGAUUGAAUCAGAUAUCAGACUUCAUAUUGUCAAACAUUAUGUUCUCUCUAACCAGAUAGGACACUGGAUUGCACACUAAGUAAAUAAAGACCCCAAAUUGGAAAACACCCAACACCAAUUAGACACAAAUAAUAGACACACACUGAUCAAAUUAAUUAGUGCACAUAUAAAGACAUAGAAAACAUACGGAAAUAUAGGGGAAACGCCAAUCAGACAAAAAUAACACAUACACUGUAAAGAGAUAAAAGACAUAGGAAAACUUAUAAUAGAUGGCCUUAGUUUACUUAGUGCACAUAUAAGCUAAUGUUUCUUAUAAAGAUAUAAUAAUUAAAGGCAACCUACAAUUGAGCCUGAUAUCGGACUUAACUUGUUAAGCUAUCUCAGUUUGUUUAAUAAUUGGGAAACAUAUCGUAACCUCCUUAAGGUCUAAUCAGUGCAUAUAUAUUGGGAGAUAUGUGCAUAAAUAUGGAGUAAAGAAGUGGUGCAUUUAUGGCCAGAUUUUUAUUCAUUUGGUAUUCAAUUUUGUUGUGACUUAUGAAAUCAAAAGGCUUUCACACUGAAGGUCUCAUCAGGGUUCUGCUCCUAAACCCCCUGAACAAACAAAAUUGAUAAAUCAUUAUCAUUACCUUUAACAAAACAGAUUACAGUAAAAAAAAAUUCCUGUUUAAAAAACAAUUAAGCAGUUUCAUAUAGCCUCCUAAGUCCUAAGCACAAAAUUAUAGUUUAAUAAAGGAAAAUCCCAAUCCAAAGCUCCAACCUUUUAACCCAAAAUGAAAACGAAAAGCAUGGUACAUAUAAUUCAGUUUUAUUAUUAGAUUUUCUAAAUCCCCACUUUAAAUCCAUUGCAAAGAUACUACCACCAACUAAGGGUGGCAAUUUGACUGUGGUUGUGUAUGUUAGUGGACUUUAUGCAACUCAAUAUAUAAAAUUUAAGCAGUUUCAGAUACUCUCCUAAGCAUCUGCAAACUAUUAACAUUAUCUUCCCAAGUUUCUUUCCCAAUUUCAUCGAUAGCAAUUUUAUUGACAGCAAUUUCAUUGAUAGUCUGCUAAGCAUCUGCAAACCAUUAACAUUAUACCAACUUAAGAGAUAGCAAUUACACAUUCCACCGUUAUCAUAGUCAUAAAUAGUCAAAGGAUGCCACAAUUAUAUAGCCAAAUCCAGUCCCAACGUGCAUGAAUAAAAUGUAACAACAUAGUCACAAAAUCACCGUAAAUAAAUAUACCUUAAAAGCCAAAGGGCCAAGUGCUCCCUUCAACGAUCCAAAUUUCUGAAAAUCGCAAACAUAGCAAAUCCAUUAGCACUAACUUACAGAACAGUAAUGAAAAUAAUAGCUUAGAAACAGCGUUGAAAAGCACCUUGAGUGAAGAAAACAAAGUGAAAUCUGUUUUUCAUGCAAAUUGUUGAUGAUAGCACGUUUUAACGAAUCAUAUUCAAACGGCAGCAGCUUUGUAUAAAAACAGGGUAUAUAAAAUAGGCUUGCGAGAAAAUCCAAAUAAGGAUGUCUCCUUGAACAAAUAACACACACACACCGAUCAUUCAUGUCUCUCUUUUUCAAAUAACACACACAGUGAUCCAAAACAGGGUAUUCUAACUCUCUUUUUCAUUCAUUUCACACAAACCAAUCAUACAUUUAAAAUAGUGCUUGAAUAAAAACAGGGUACAUAAUUAUAUACCUCAAAAUGCCAAGGAACCAACUUCUCCCUCCAACAAUCGAAAUUCCUGAAAUUCCAAAACAUAGCAAAUCCAUUAGCAAUAUCAUGAUGUUUCUUUGCUUUAUAUAGUCUAAAGAUUAUAAGGAUGUGCAUAUAUUUGGAGUAAAGAAGUAGUGCAACCUUUCAACCUCAUUUCUAGAAAACUACCAAAGAAACAAUGAGAUAAAGAGAACCUUUUUUUUUUUUUUUUGGUAUUCUAAUGAUAUUUUAGCCUAAUUUAUACCAUGCGAAAAAAGAUUUUGAACUUUGUUCGGUGGCUGAAAAGAAUUUUUGCCUCCAAAUAAUAAUGCUUACCCAUAACCUAGAAUUUAAAAUUACCAUUUUGUGCUUUUGUGCCAUUAGGAUGUGAAAACUCAAGUGGCAGGUGGCAGCAGUGGUACCAAAUUAUAAUUCUAAAUCUGGUAACAGAAACCGGUUGAUAAUUAACCCAGAAUAUAAAAUCCAAAGAACUUAGAGCAAAAAUUAUCUCAAAUCUUCGCUUUUCUUGUACUUUGGCAUUGUGCGGUUGACUUGUAAACGGUAAAUGAAAUCCUGAAAACCGAAGAAUGAAAAGCAUUCUUUUAGUUAACUAAAAAGCACUCGUAAACGGAGUAAGAUAUCUAGUAACCAAAAAAUAAAUCUUGGAAAGCAGACAUAAACAAACUUCAAUCACAAUUACUUUAAUACAUUUGGAUACAAAGGAAAAUUAAAUUUAUUCAAUUUUGAUAUAAAGAAAAUUAACUAAUGUAGAAAGAACAUUUGUGCCUCAAUGGCGCGAAAAGUACUCAAAACAAACAUUGUGAUGUGCAAACAGAAAAUGAUCAUGCUCUCCAACCUAUAUUUGGUGACGGAAAAUUUAUACAGAAAAUGAAUGUGCUCCCCAACCUACAUGUUGGCAUUCUCCUUUCCAGUUCUCAAUAUGUGAUGUGUAAACCACAUUGGUUGUCCUAGUAAGACAUAUAGGACAAAAUAUUCGGUGCUUAAUUAAAUAAUUUUUGCAUGAGUUGUUAAUUAUAGUAGGUCUAAAUCUAAUUUUAAAAAUCUCUACCCCAAUUAUAAAUAACAGUAGUGGAAAAUUAGGUACAUGGGGAAUCAUGUAGUUAAAUAAAUUAUUAAUGCCUCUAAGUUAGAGAGCAUUUGAAAUAAUGGUAGAAAAGAAUUUGUGCCUCCAAAUACUAAUGCUUCCCCAUAACCUAGAAUUUGCACUCACACUCCUCAUUCAUCACUACAACAACAACAACAAAGUCUUUUCCCACUAAGUGGGGUCGGCUAUAUGAAUCCUAGAACGCCAUUGCGCUCAGUUCUGUGUCAUGUCCUCCGUUAGAUCCAAGUAUUCUAAGUUUUUUCUUAGGGUCUCUUCCAAAGUUUUCCUAGGUCUUCCUCUACCCCUUCGGCCCUGAACCUCUGUCCCGUAGUCACAUCUUCGAACCGGAGCGUCAAUAGGCCUUCUUUGCACAUGUCCAAACCACCGUAACCGGUUUUCUCUCAUCUUUCCUUCAAUUUCGGCUACUCCUACUUUACCUCGGAUAUCCUCAUUCCUAAUCUUAUCAUUUCUCGUGUGCCACACAUCCAACGAAGCAUCCUCAUCUCCGCUACACCCAUUUUAUGUAUAUAUACUAAAAAAUUAGAAGAAAAAUAAACAUGAUCUUAUUUGUCAACAAACGGGAAAAAGAAUACAAAGAAGCCCUGGAAAGCUUCAACGGAAAAAAACAAAGAAAAGGCUCAACUUGUAACCACACUUAUGGAGGCAAUUACAAACAAUAAAUAAAUUAUAAUUAAUUAAUUGUCCAGUCCCCAACUUUAACUAUUGUUACAUGCAGGCGAUCGAAUUAGACCUGGGAAGUGGGAAACAUACUUAAUCCUUAAACACUGAGUUGAUUGCAGGGCAAGUAAGCAUCAAAUUAGUAUCACUACAUAACAUCGUUAAUUUAACCCAAUUCUAAGUGACUAAAACCUUUCCUCCAUACAUCUUAAUAAAAAUAAAUCCACUUUUUUUUUUAUUUAUGGUGUAUUUGAUUUUCCGUCUCUUUGUUUGAUUUGAGCUCUAGUAGAACAUGCUUUGUUAUAUAUUAGAUAAGUCUGCUAAAAAAGAGGAGGCUGGAGCCUAGAAACGCUUAUAAAGAAGAUAUUCCAUAAUGUUUCCAUGUUGAGCUAUGACCAAGGCAGAGUUAGACUCAUAUCAGGAUUACUACAUGUUCUGGGAAAGGAUUGCCAAAAGACUGCAUGCAUAACUUCUCCUACAAUUACCUAAGCAUCCUAUUAAUAUAUGUGACAUGGAACAGAGACUUUACAAUCAAGAAAACGAAGAAUGCAACAGUUGUAAGGUCUUGUUUCUUAUCAAAAUAGAUUCCUCUUAAGAAAGGGACUUAUAUGCACUAAAUUUGAACACUAAUUAGGAGAUGAACACACAAAUUCCUAAUCAAUCAAGUUACGAAGGUCCUAAAUCCUAAUCCCAUGAUCCCAUUUUCUUUCCCAAAUUUCCAGGCAACCAAACAGACCCCAACCCAACCCUAAUCCGCAAAUUUCUCAAUCAAACACCACUCAAUCACCCAUCAAAAACCAAAGAAAUUCAAGAAAAUGAAGAAUGCAACAAUUGCAAGGUCUUGUUUGUUAUCAAAAUAGAUCCCUCUUAAGAAAGGGACUUAUAUGAAUUAAAUUUGAAUACUGAUCAGGAGAUAAACACACAAAUUCCUAAUCAAUCAAGUUACCAAGGUCCUAAAUCCUAACCACAAAAAAUCACACUGAUCAAAUUAAAACAUAUCCAAUUAUAAAACUAUCAUUAAAAAUGAAUAUUUCAUCAUUUUGGUACAGUAGCAUAAAGCCUCAUUAAAAAGAGAAAAAGAGAAAAUACAGUAGCAUAAUCAAUCAAGUUGAUGCAUGUUUCAAUCAAAUUGAUGCAUAUUUCAAUCGAGCCUCAUUAAAAACAGAAAAUACAGCAGCACAAAGCAUAACAGAAGCUUGGAAAUGGAGAAGGAACCUGCAAUUAGGUAUCUUCAGAAGCAAAAAUGGCAGAACGUACAGAACCCAGAAUCACAGAGAGAGAGAGAGAGUGGAGUAAGUCGGUCUGGAGCUAAAAUAAAGAAAAUGAGCUUUAGAAAGUAGUAAAGGAUGUUCACAAACUGAACAGUCAAGAAACCAUUUUUAAAUUUGCGUCGGAGGAUACACCAAGAAUGGACUUUUCCACCAGGCAAAACAAUAAAUUGCUGAUGAACUAAACAAUCUAAAAAAAUCUAUGACAACUUUAAUGAAGGAAAAAAAAAUCUAUGACAAUUUGAAGCAGAUGGCAAAUCAAACAUUAAAUAAUGAAUUAAAAACAAUAAACUGAAAAAUAAAGUUGAAUUGGCACUAAACAAUGGCUUAAAAACAGUGCAUCACCUUUUGAAUUAAGGGAGGAAACCGAAAAAUCAAACUCUCUCAUACCUCCCUCAGUCACCCCUUCCUGACCGGCUAACCCCACAAACUGCACACAACCAUGCCUUCCCCCCUCCCUCUCUCUCUAAAAUUGGAGGAAAUCCCAUAGGUUAUGGCAGAGGACCUAGCUAAAUCUCUCUCACUGAGUCGAAACCCCUAGCUCCCAUCUCUCUCCAAUCUGUCAGUCCCUCUGUCCUCCUCCCUCCAAUGACGCUUCGACCGAAGCACAACCAUCUCUCCAAACAAAGAAGAAAAAAAUCUGAAUAGAACCUUAUUAAAAAAAAGAAUACCACCUAAUGAGGUUAAGACACGUGGACAAAGCGAUGCUCCUGGGGGAAAGGAGGAAGUGUGGUGUAUAUUGCCUGGGUGGUAGAACCACGAACUCGAUGGGUUGUUUCUGGAAACGAGCGCGCUGACCAGUUUUCAGGUUGUAGAUAAUGAUGAGGGAGAAAUCCUGUUGGUCGAGACGAGGGUAUGUCGAGACCCUUGUCUGAAGCUAAAUGACGAUUUUUAGCUUGCAACAGCUGCACAUGCAUUGGCUGUAUAUUGUGAAUCCAGACAUAACUGAUUCAGGGUGUGCAUGCUGGUAUGUGUUUGAAGGCGUAUUUUGGGAUGGAUGCAAGGAUUUUUGCAUGGUACAUUCGCCAAGGUGGAAAAUCGUUGAGAUUUGGCUCAUAUAUUUGUCAUUAGUUAAAAACAGCUUAAAAAUGUAUUUGGUACUGAGGUGCUUUUAUAAAAAGUGGAUAUAAAAAAAAAACUAAACUCAAAAAAUGGUGUUUGGUAAACACUUAAAAACAGCCUAUUUUCACAGUUUUGGAUAAAAAAAAAGCUGAAAAUGUGAAAUAGCAAAAAUGAGUUUAUUCUCACAUCACAACAAAAACAGUUUUUUUUUUCAAAGCACAGCAAUAUCAAACCAGCCUAUGUGUCAUGUGCAUUGAACAAUUGAAGACCAACUUGUGUUGGUGUACGCGUAAGCCUUCAAUGAGAAGACAUGAUUGUAUGCCUUCAAACAAAAGGUAGCAGCUGCGUUUGACUUGCAUACGAAAAUGCAUGCCGUGGAUUUAUUAUUAGAGCUAUGUAAUAAUGGGAGCUGUUGUGUGUUAAAGUGGUUAGUUCGUAACUUCAUUUAAUCUUAUAGGAAGGGGAGUCUUCACUUUGUAGUAAAUGCAUGUCGGCUUGGUGGGUGCAUCGAAGGUGAAUAACUCAAGGCUUCUAUUUAUACAACUGUAGGCCAUGCAUAACAGUAUGUUUGGUUGAGUUAGAGAAACAUUUAGGGGAUUGGGUCUAGGUGGUUAAAUGAGGUCAAUAUCGACACAUGACAGUUUUAGUAAUGGACACUUACAAAGACCGUGACACAACACACUAUAUCUCCUCAAUCGCUCUCUCACUUUGUCCGGUAGAGCCAUAUAAAUCAAACAAAAAUAAGAAAAAUUAAACUCCCCCGCAACUUUCCAAUGAAAUUUUUACACGAAACGCGAUCGACUCGAACCAAGUGGUGUGAGAUUUGUCCAAAUGUUUGAUGAUUUGGGUGGGGUCGCUUCUCAUCUAUCAUUCACCCCUCCAUAUAUAUUCAUACCCCCCAAUUUAGAUGAUUUGGGAUCUUGGAUUAGCAAUAGUUUCCAAAUGGGUGGCGCUAUACACACUAUUUUUUUACUUUCUACAUAGCAUUUGUUCAUUUAUUUUUUUUCAAUUCAUUUGAUUCGAUGUUCAAAAAUUAAGAAGGAUGUGUAAGAAGUAAAAACGAGUAUGUGAACGACAUCACCAUUUCAAAUAAAGAGAAUUGAUUGGAGAGAGAGACGGAAGGAUGUUGGAAGAGCGAGGGAGAAAGGGACGGUUAGAUUUUGGAAUUAUGACAUAAAAAUAUUAAUAAUAGUAAAAGUUAAUUAGAGUCAUGUGGACUACGGAGAACAGGUGUCAAGCUGAAGGUGUGUAGGUUACAAACAUCAUGUUUAAGUUCGGGGCAUUUUUACUCACCUUUCUCGAGUAAUAGUAAUGCUCACCACUUCAUUAUACAUAUUUUUUCUAUAUAAAAGAAAAAAAAAAGGUUAUGAACAUAACCAUUACUUGAUAGCAUUGAAUAAAAAUAUUCUCAAGCAAAAAUGCUCCUGAGAAAAAGAGAAGCCCAUCAUCUUUAACUGAUACCCCCAAAACGUCAAAUUUGUAAAUGAAGAGGUUUUUUCAAUUUUACUUUGUUCAUGCAGAUUGAUUUUUCCUCUAUUCAAAUCUGAAUUAAAUAAUUUCAUUUUUAAACAAUCGAUGUUAGGAGAGGGGGCUCGGCAUGCUUUUAGCACUUAGAGUUACAAGUCCUUUUAAUAAUUGAAUUGUCUUUUUUCUUAAUUAUUAUUUUUUUAUAAUGAUAUUAUCGGCGUAAGAUCAAGGUUAUAUCAUAUAUAAUUAGCCAGCCAUAACUGACAUAGAAUUAGAGUCAAAUUUAAAAUUUUUUACUUAUAAGUAGAGAAAAUAUCACUAGUACAAAAACAUGUUUGCGCGACGAAAACUUGCGCGACGCAUAAAAUUACGUCGCGCAAAGCCGUUUUGCGCGACGUAGGUGUACUUACGUCGCGCAAAACGACUUUGCGCGACGUUAGUUUGCGCGACGAAGGACUACGUCGCGCAAAGCCGUUUUGCGCGACGUAGUCCUUCGUCGCGCAAACUUUUGGCGCCAAACCCUAAGAAAUUACCGCUUUUUCCCAUCUUUGCGCGAUGUAGGUUUACGUCUUAGAAAGUGAGCCAAAAUCUCGCAAGAAUCAGGCUGCACACGAGCGGAUCCAAAGGCCAAACCUCCGAUCUUGAAGUCGACACACCCAGAGGUAAAAAUUUCUCAUCCUCUCUCUUCGAUUUCAGAAUACUGUUAUAGUUGGAGCCCCGACCCUCAUUUUGAAAUUAAUCAGUGAGAUUUGAUGAAAAAAGGAAUAUUAAUCACUGAGAUUAGAUGAAAAGGUUACUUCUGAAUGCAAUAAUGUUACUUGUUUCUCAAAAUAGAAUCACUGAGAUUAGAUGAAAAGGUGGUUUAGUUAGAAGAGUUGGAUUAUAGAAGCGAAUAUGCUUUCUUUGCUGAAAAGCUGGUCACUGAGAUUAGAUGAAAAGGUGGUUUAGUUAGAAGAGUUCGAUUUCAGAAUACUGUUAUGAGGGUAGCUAUCGUAUUGUUCUGCACUCUAGUAGUUUUAACUUUUAACUUUUAAUUCCUUUAUUUUCUCCAAUUAAUCCAUGGAUUUGCAUAAAGGAUUCAAAAUUUUGUAUCCGAAGUUUGUUUAGUUUUUGUUAGUCUUAUUAUUGCAGGCACUAUUAUGGUCUUGCCUAACUAUUGAAUUUUAGUAUUCAAAGUGGAGCAGUUGGUUCAUUAUGCCUCUUCCAUGUCAUUGCUUGGAUCCUAAAUCUUCCAAUUUGUUGUAGCGUCCUUCUACCAGAAUAGUUUUCCCGGUGUUCUCAAUUACUGACCUUUUUUUUGGCUUUGCAGGAUCAUAUCAUAUGGACGUCUGGCUUUUGGUUGGUCUUGAUCCUAACUUUCUUUGGCAAGCUAGGAGUAACUUUUUCUUUUUUUUUUCCUAUUCCGUUUUCAAUGACCCUAAUUUUUGCCUACUUUGCUUAAAGAAGACUAUACAAUUGUUUGUCCUAAAUCCUGAAAGGUCGCUAAAAUUUAAAUACUCGUCUACAUUUCUUAAAACAUGAUUUAAUGGAUGGAAGGUUAGAGGUGGUAAAAGGUGCAAAAUAGUAGUUUUAAUUCAUUCUUGUGUUUCCAGAUUGCAGCAGUCUCCUAAUCUAUUGGCUUUCGGUUCGCUGGUAAUGUGAUGUUGUCUCUGUCUUGGCUUGAAGUAUCUCACUCGUAUGUAUUCAAUCUGAAAAGGUAAUCCUAACUCUUGUUAUUGUUUUCAACAACCCAACUUUUGCCAAUUUUUGCUUUAGAGUGCUGCUUCUGUAUUGUAUUGGUAUUAAGCUGUUAAAGUUUAUUUAUUUGAACUGAGGUAUUCUAUUUUGUUCUUUGGUUUUGUGCAGGGAGAGCUUGUGCGUGCUUUAGGAGGAGCUGUGGCAUCCACAUCUCUUCUUGGAGUUCCUCUUGGACAUAACUCCUCGUUUCUUCAAGGGCCGACCUUUGCACCUCCAAGGAUUAGAGAGGCUAUCUGGUGUGGGAGCACCAACUCAACAACUGAAGAAGGUAUCUAAUUAUCUCAAUUAGUAGCAAACUUUUGCUUCUCAAAACAUUCAGUUUCGAGAAGAUUGGCUGCCCUGCUCGUGUUCUCAUUAGAACCCCACUCUUGAGAUCUUUCAGAAUAUAAACAUUAUGUUUGCUUCCUAACAAAUUAAGAUUCUAGUUAUUAUUGUAAACCGACAAACUUUAUCAAUAUCUUAUAAACUAGUUGUCAAUUAUUCUGAUAGCAAGAAAGCUCGGAACUCAAAGACACUUCUCCACCAUUCCGGUUCGAAGCCCUUUUCGUAUAGGGUUGAGGCACGACGUGAGGUAAAAGUAUAUUAAUUUUGAAAUUUUAUACAAUUUAUUUUUUAUUAUUGAUUAAUAAAUUUUUCUUAAUGUUUUUUUUUUCUUUAGGAGGGUUCUAAGUUCCCACAGAUUGACCUGUUCAAGCAGGUUUACGUUCAUCCCAACAAUGAGAACAGUGACCAGCUUUAUGUAAGUAUAUGUAAUUGUUAUUUUUCUUAUUUUUAUGAAUCAUUCAAAUAUUAUUUAUAUUUUGUUAUUAAACAUUAUAUGUUUUUUCUUUAUUAUUACAGGGUGAUAUGGUGGAAAAGAGCACUGCUAUUCUCCAAGAAGCAACAUCACAGCUUCCCCCGGAGACCCCGAUUGAGGACAUCAUUGUACCCAAGGAUGCAGAUGUUCAGAUCGUGACUGAGGUCCUGGAUCAGAAGUUCGGUCGUCGUCAUGGUAAGGUUGUUCGGUGUACGGGGAAGGCGGGGGUUCGUGAAACGGGUGCCUCUUCUUCCAGAUUGUCCACAGGAGAGGUCAAAUUCCUUGAAGGAGGAAGUGACAACCCUAAGAGGUCAGGUUGCGGCCCAGGGCGAGAGGAUGAAUAUGAUUCUUCAGGCCUUAGCGAUGUCCGGCCUCCAAAUCCCGACGAUGCCAGCACCUAAUGUUGCUCCACCUUGGACUUCCCAGCCAUUUCGCCCAGACGAUACCGAGUAGCAUGAUGUAUUAAACUUAGAAGACUUGUAGUUUUUUAUUUUUUUGUUCGGACAAACGUACAUUUUCAUAUAUUCUAUAAUUAAUUACUUUUUCUUGGUUUAUUAAUUAUUGUUUAGCAUUUAAUUAUAAUAUUCAAUAAUUUAAUUAUAAUAUUUAUUAAAAAUUAAAUAAAAAAAUAUAAAUGACACAAAAAAAAAAAACUUUACGCGACGCAGGACCUCCUUACGUCGCGCAAAGUAGCUUUGCGCGACGUAGGGAGGUCCUGCGUCGCGCAAACCCUUCCUUCACUGCCUUCGCGCGACAGUUCUUGCGCGACGAAGGUUCGUUUCGCUAAUUUUUGGGCGACGUAUUUUUGACUUUGCGCGACGAAGGUCCUACGUCGCGCAAAGUCUUUUUGUACUAGUGUAUUAUUAGAAGGAAGCAAGGUUCUAAAAGUCGCUAGGCGCUAGUCGGGCGGCGGGCUGGGGCUUAGCGCCUAGGCGGCUAGGCGGACUAGGUGAAUUUAAGUAAAUCUAUCAUAUUUCAGGUAAAUAAGUGUCUGCUUCUACUUGAAAUAUAUAUAAUUUCAUCAUACAAAAUAGAAUGCAUAUAUAUCAUGAAGUAUUAGAACAUAAUGAAUACAUGUGAAAUAAGGAUAUAAUGUUUGUUCAUUCAAGUAUGCAACAAGUCUCUUACAAUUUAUUGGAAAAAAAACAAAAUGCAAAAUGAAAGUUAUGUAUUUUCUGUCUAAGUGAGUUGCAACCUAGGCGGAUCUAGGCGGGUGCCUAGGUGGGUUAGGCGGGUGUCUAGGUGGUCUAGGUGGUGGGCUGGGGCUUAUGCAUUAAUCGGGGUGGUGGGCUGGGGCCUAGCGCCUAGGCGGGGCCUAGGCGGAGCUAGGCGGGGAUUUUUAGAACAGUGGAAGGAUGGGCUAAUGAAAUUUAUGAUUGAAUCUUUACAUUUGCAUUAUAGUCAGUCACCCUUUUGUGAGUAUGACCUGAGUAGGAAAAUGAUUGAUGAAUUUUCGUGAAAAACGCAUACUAUACACGUGCGUACUUUUCAAAAAGCUAUGCAUUAUUGUUUGCUGAAUUUUAUCAGUAAAUGUUGGUUUGUUAGGGCUUCCCCACCCGCUUUUACCAAAAACAGAAAAGAGAAACAAAAAUAUAUCGUCCUUCUUCUUGAUCUUCUCUGGUAGCAUGAUUAUAUCCCACCUCCUCUUCUUCAUCAACACUUAAGACUAACACCCGUUCAGAUCCUUAUAAAUUUGAUCAUGGUGGAGAGGAACUAUAAUUAUCAAGUUGAGGUUGCGAGUGAGCAAAAUUUGAUUUGUGAAAUCGUCCAUUUCACAGUGUCUUUUUGAAGAAACUAGUUUGGGACUUUCGUCCAACGGCUUGCCGGCAGAAAGAAAACUCAGCAGCUUUCGGCAUCUUACAGUACACAACACUGGUAUGUGCGAGGUACCUCCAAGCUCUCCUGUUGUUAAAACAUAGCUCUGCUUGUACCAUUGACUUUGUAUCCUUUUGGCUUUUUUUAUUUUUAAUUUUCCGUUCUGUGUUUUCCUAUGAAAUUUGUGUUGGGUCUUUAAGGCCAUCUAUAACCGAGGGCUAGCCAGAGGGCUCGUUUUAGCCCUCUGGCCCUCCAAGAUUCCCCAAGAUAUUAAUAUUUUAAUGAACAGUACAUGGCUAUAUUUGCCUCCGUCUCCAACCAAGGGCCAAAGGCCACAUGGCUCGUUUUAGCCCUGUCACAAAAAACCGUCUCCAACCGAGAGCCAAAGGGCCAUAGGGCUAAACAUAAUUUAUUAUUUAAAAACUACAAUUUAAAUUCAAAUCCAACGGCUUAGUGACGUCAACAUGACGUCAGCUAGCCGUUGGAUUUGAAUUUUUUUUUUGCUAUAAAUAGGGUGGAUAUUGGGCUAUAAUUCACAUAACUUUGAAUUCAAUCUAUUUCAAUUCAAUCUCUUGCAAUUCAAUCUCUUUCAAUUCAAGUUUGCAAUAAAUUCCAACUUUGGAUCCUCAUCCAAUUCCAAUUGGGGGUCCUCAUCCAAUUCCAAAUUGGAAGCAAAAUGGGCGCAAAUGAGACAAGAAGAUGAGGAGUCUGAUGAAGAAGUUCAAGUAAGGCGCAACAAACAAAACAUGGCAGCAGCUAUGGCUGCGGCCAUGGUGUGUCAGUCAACUGAGGAACAACCUCAAUGGGGUGGCUCUGUUGCUGGUCACUCUUACAAACCACGAAACAGAGCGAUGGCGCAUGCCAAUUUGAUGAACAAUUACUUCAACCCUAACUCGGUGUACACAGAAGAGGAUUUCAGACGUCGCUUCCGGAUGAGGCGUCAUGUCUUCGAGCGUUUACUUCGUGAUGUCCAGCAAGUCAAUCCAUACUUUCGACAGAAGCGGGAUAGAGCAGGCUGCCCUGGUUUCUCACCUCAUCAGAAGGUUACUGUUGCACUCCGAAUGAUAGCCUAUGGCUCCUUAGCUGAUUUGAUGGAUGAAACCCAUGGUAUGUCUGAGUCUACAUACCUUAAUACUCUUGAAGAAUUUUGUGACACAAUUGUUCAAGUUUACAAAGACAAGUACCUCCGAGAACCAAAUGAAGAAGAUCUGAAUCGGCUUCUUCGCAAAGCUGAAGACCGUGGGUUUCCAGGCAUAAUAGGGUCAUUAGACUGCAUGCAUUGGGAUUGGAAGAACUGUCCCACUGGAUGGCAAGGAGGCUUUAGCGGAAGGUCGAGAAAGCCAACUGUUGUGUUAGAGGCAGUUGCCUCAUAUGACACAUGGAUGUGGCAUGCUUUCUUUGGAGUCCCUGAAUCCCAAAAUGACAUUACAGUUCUUGGGCGUUCACCCCUCUUCAAUAACUUGACGGAAGGUAAAGCACCUCAACUUGACUACUACAUCAACGGCCGUGAAUACAGUAUGGGGUAUUACUUGGCAGAUAACAUCUACCCAAAGUGGGCGACACUUGUCCAAGCAAUUCCAAACCCUAGGAAUGACGCAGAAAAGUUGUUUACCUUACACCAAGAGGCAUACCGGAAAGAUGUUGAGAGAGCUUUCAGUAUUCUACAAGCACGGUGGAAGAUCAUCAGCGAACCGGCAAGAGGGUGGAGUCAAGAAAAUUUGAACUCCAUCAUGAUGUCUUGCAUCAUAUUACACAAUAUGAUAGUGGAGGAUGAGCGAGAUGGGUAUAUUGAUGGAGAGUCCGAUGUCGACCAAGAAGAUCCAAAUAGGUCAAGAAGGGCUCUAGCAAAAAUAUAUGAUGGGCCUAAUUUGUCUUUCAAUCCAAGAACUGAUAGUAUCUCUAUAAAUGAGUACAUGAGGCGAUAUAGAAUGAUACGUUCUCGUGCCACAAAUAAGUACCUACAACAAGAUCUUGUUGCACAUCUUUGGGCCAAAAGAAGCAUGGAGUAGGCUCUUAAGUUUUAUGUUGUUAAAUGUUUUUAAAAAUGUUGCUUAAGUUUCAUGUUGUAUAAUUUGUAUGUUGGUUAAUGUUAUUUAAUGUUGUUUCAUAUUGUUUAAUGUUGUUUCAUGUUACUUAAUUUAAUUUAAUGUUGUAUAAUGGCCUAGGAAGUUAUAGGAAAAAAAUAGAAUUAAAAAAAGAUGUGAAACAAAUUUUGUGAAAUAGAAGUUAUAGGAAAAAAAUGGAAUUUAAAAAAAUAUGAAACAAAUUUUGUAAAAUAGAAGUUAUAUGAAAAAAAAAAGUAUGAAUCAAAUUUUGUAAAAUAGAAGUUCUAGGAAAAAAAAUAGAGUUUAAAAAAAAAUUGAAACAAAUUUUGUGAAAUAGAAGUUAUAGGAAAAAAAUGGAAUUUAAAAAAAAAUAUGAAACAAAUUUUGUAAAAUAGAAGUUAUAGGAAAAAAAAUAGAAUUUUAAAAAAAAUUGAAACAAAUUUUGUAAAAUAGAAUUGAAAAAAUAUAUGAAACAAAAUUUGAUUCAUAUGAAAAGGAAAAAAAAGGGAAAAAAAGAAGUUUAAAUUCAUAUAAAAAAACAAGUUAAUACAAUAGCUACUAGCCGUUAUAUUAAAAAAAAUUCAAACUAUUAGUGUCGGUUAUAACCGACACUAAUAGUAAUUCAAAAAAAAAAAGCCUUUGAAUAAUUAUUACUGUCGGUUAUAACCGACAGUAUUAAAAAAUCCUUCUUUAAUGAUGUCGAUUAUAACCGACAGCAAUGAGAAAACUAUAAAAAAAAAAAAAUAGCCAGCUCGGGGCUGGCUGGCUGACCGAAAGCAACCAGCCCUUUGGCCCUUUGAAAUUCUGUGGGGCCUUCCCAGAUUCCCGAGCCCUCUGGCCUAGCCCUAGGUUGGAGACGGUUUUAGGGCUAUUUUCAGCCCUCUGGCCCUCUGGACCCUUCGGUUAGAGAUGGCCUAACUCACACUCACCACCGCCAUGCUGUGACCUGAUCGUCACACUCAAAAAUUCCUUUGAGCCACUUGGUCAUUUUCUUUUGUUUAUGAAAUUUAGAGAGACAAGCAAAAAUGUCAUAAAUUAUUUGGUGGUUAAGAGUCCCUAAAUGAGCUCCUCACUAAAAUUUAGAGAAACAAGCAAAAAUGUAUGCGUUCCAUUGUGGUUUUAGAAAUCGUAACGCACAAUUUAACACAUGCAUUUUAAAAUUAUUUAGAAAUCAAUUAAAACGACUAAAUCCGCAUGGUAAAAUAAGUCUUUCAGUUCCAUCUAUGUUCUAUUAAAUUUAUAUUAAUAGCUUAUGUACCAUCGCAAUCGCAAAUUUCUAAGUCCUAACUAUUACAAGUUACAUGAUUUUUUAAUAUGGAUUUGAGAAUGUGGUUGUUUAAUUGUCCCUAAGGUGUAGUAGUAGUUGUUAAUUGGAAAACAACAACAAAAAAAACCCCCUAAAAGACCUAAAUUACUGCAGAUUAACAUGAGUACAAAAAAAAGGAAUUUUUUUUUUUAUAUAUAUAUACACACAUGUUGUAAACAUUCCUAGUUUAAGUAUGAUUGUGUAAAUCCUAGAUAAGAUUUGAUUCUAGUUAUCCUUUCCUAUUACAACUUGUAUUACUUGGAGAAGAAGGAAUAUCUUCUCUCCCUUUACUACUAUAAAUAAAGGCACAAUGUAGGAGGGAUAACAACACACACAUUCCCCUACAAUUCUACAAACACACAUCUCUCUCCUCUUUCUCUCUGCCGCCGGCCCUAGUCCAUCUGUCAGAUAAAAUAGACCACAACACGUUAUCAGCACGCUCCUACCGCUGCGCUUAGGAAUCUGACGUUGGAGAUUUUUUCUGCAUCAAACCAGUUCAUCCAUAUCAUCACGCAAUCAGGUUCUUUCCAAACAACGGCUUUUAACUCGAUAUUUUGCAAGCCCUGAUAGCAUGAACAUUCACCAUGAUGCAUGACCCAACUUUACAUUUUACGUAUUUUAGAUUCUACAUAAAUUGUGUAUGCUUCAUAAUCAAAAUUGCUACAAUUAUGUGAAUUUGAUAUUUGCCAUGAAUUGAAUCCUACAUAUGUACAUGCAUUGAAACUAUUAUUUGCAUAUCCAUCAACGUAAAUAUGUGAUUCAUUGAAUUAUAUAUGCAUCUAAUUAAAAAAAAAAAAAAUUAUGGGCUCGCCUGGAAAGGCCCGAAAAAAAAAAAAAAAAAAAAUUUAGGGCUGCACACAGCAGCCCAUUCCCCUCUUCUCACCCCGUGGGCCUGUAAUCCCACCCGAGGGUUCUUGGCUUAUACUUUUAGGCCCCGAGAUUUUAUUAUUUAAUAUUUUUUUAAAUAUGGGUUUUUAUAUUUUCACCCACAUUUUAAUUUGGCCCCGAAGACCAAAAAUAAAUUAAUCAUUAUACAAUAUUUCUGCAUAUAUUAUUUGUUUGCAUAUAUAUUUGUGUUUGCCUGCAGGAAUAUAUGAACCUGAAGUUCAUAAUUACUUUGAAACCCGAAGUUUUCACUUAAAUAUAUCACCCAUGAAAACCCGAAGUUUUUCAUGCAAAAUUAAACCAAUACAUGUCUAUUAGAACCUGUAUGUUCUACUCCUAUGUGAAUGGAUUGAUUUUUCUCCAUUACACUAACCACAUCUUGUUCAUCCAUUUUGUGAUAGGAACAUGUCGAAUUUGAACAAACUCGACUUCACCGCUUUGGAGGUUUCUGGAAGGAACUACCUCAAGUGGGUUCAAGAUGUGAAGCUCCACCUCACUGCAAAGAACUUGCGUCCUGCUAUUGAAGAAGCAACAGAUAAACCUGUUGGCGAGGCUGAAAAAGCCACUGCUAUGAUCUUCAUCCGAAGACAUAUCCAUGACGCUCUGCAAACUGAGUACCUUGCUGAGGAGGAUCCACGUGCAUUAUGGGUCGCUUUGGCUGAUCGUUUCGAUCACCAAAAGGACAUAUUCUUGCCUGAAGCAAGACACGACUGGCAGCACUUGCGCUUCCAAGACUUUAAGUCUGUGAAUGAAUAUAAUUCUGAAGUUUGUCGAAUCCGAUCACUUCUCAAGUUUUGCAAUGAAACUUUGACUGAAGAGGAUCUCCUGGAGAAGACCUACUCGACCUUCUCUGCUUCUAAUAUUGUCCUGCAGCAACAAUAUAGAGCUCAGAUGUUCACUAAGUUCUCGGAUUUGAUCUCUGUUUUACUUCUUGCUGAAAAGCAGAACCAGCUGUUGAUGAAGAAUCAUCAAGCUCGACCUACUGGGGCUACUGUUGUGCCUGAAGCACAUUAUAGCACUAAUCAGCACCCAAAACGCCAAAAGAGGCGUGGUAAGGGCGGCCAGAAGCCAUCCCACCAAGGUCAACAGAGCCAAGGCCCAUCCAAGGGAGGAAACAAAGCCCAGAAGCGCCCAAACCUCGCUCCCAAGGCCCCGAACUUCAAGAAUAAGGGCAAAGCACCUACCACAAUGAAUGACGAUAUGUGCUAUCGUUGUGGUUCCAAGGACCAUUGGUCCCGUAUUUUCCGUGCUCCCAAGAAGGUUGUGGAUGCAUAUCAUUCUCGUCGUACGAAGUUUGAAUCAAACUUCCUGCAAGUGGACGAACCGGAGACUACAAAGAUGGAGGUUUCUGAUUUUCAGGAGGAUACCACUCCUAUGGAAGAUUAGAAUCUUAGACAUAGACUUAUUUUUCAGUUAAAAUAAGACAAUUGGGGCCGAAUUCCACCUUGUGGCCGAACCCCACCUUGUUUUUUUUGGUUGAUUUUGAACAAUUUUCCUUUAUGUUUUGGAUUACUAGUUGGCGAUUUAUUUUGGAUAUUAAGUUUUUAAUCCUUGAAAAAAUGAAAUUAUUUUGAAUUGAUACUUGUUUUUAUAAACUUUUAUGCAUGUGACCGAUUCAAAUUAAUUUUUCAUUCUAGGUAUGACUAGUGGGAAAGUUAGUUGUCUGGCAGAUAGUGCAACCACGCAUACUGUUUUGCGUGAACGCAUCUAUUUCACUAACUUCGUACCUAAAAAUGCACCUCUGACAACCCUCUCAGGCCCAUCCAACCUGAUCGAAGGAUACGGUAAGGCACGUAUAAUGUUGUCCAAUGGUACAAUCUUGACCAUUGCUGAGGCACUCUAUUCUCCACGUUCCGGAAGAACGUUACUAAGUUUCAAGGACAUUAGAGAUAACAAUUACCACGCUGAAACCCACGUAGAAAACGCAGUUGAAUUUCUGUGCGUAACUUCCUACGAAUAUGGCCAGAAGCGUAUUCUAGAGAAGAUGGAGCGUAACCCGAGUGGUCUGUAUACUACGACCAUACGCCCCAUAGAAUGCCACUAUGUGGCCGGCCCUACCAUAGGGACCGCGCACGAAAUUACACUUUGGCAUGAUCGUUUGGGACAUCCUGGACGAAUAGCGAUGCGCCGUAUCCUCAAAACUUCACACGGGCAUCCACUAACCCGAAGCUUAGGUUCGAUCCAUGAAAUUGCAUGCCAAACAUGUUCUAUGGGAAAGCUUAUUACUAAGCCUUCUUAUGACAAGAUUCGUUCGAAUCCUCCAAUUUUUCUACAACGGAUUCAGGGGGACAUUUGUGGACCGAUUCAACCUCCUUGCGGACCAUUUAGAUAUUUUAUGGUUUUGGUUGACGCUUCUACACGUUGGUCACACGUGUGCUUGUUGUCCACAAGGAACGCUGCAUUCUCCAAACUGUUGGCUCAGGUUAUCAAGCUCAGGGCUCACCACCCUGAUUAUCCGAUCAAAUCUAUUCGAUUGGAUAAUGCUGGAGAAUUCACAUCUAAAACUUUUGAUGACUAUUGCAUGUCGGUUGGGGUUGAAGUUGAACAUCCUGUACCCCAUGUUCACACCCAGAACGGCCUGGCAGAGGCUUUCAUUAAGCGUUUACAAAUGAUUGCUCGAUCGUUGGUCAUACGUACCAAGCUCCCGAUCGCUGCUUGGGGCCAUGCAAUAUUGCACGCAGCAAAGUUGGUCCGCCUGAGGCCUGUUGCGACACAAACCAUUUAGUGCCCUUCAGUUGGUCACCGGAUGCGAACCCGACAUAUCGCAUCUGCGCGUUUUUGGUUGUGCGGUCUAUGUGCCGAUCUCGCCGCCCUUACGUACAAAAAUGGGGCCUCAGCGAAGGAUGGGAAUCUAUGUCGGAUAUGAUUCUCCUUUGAUUAUUCGUUACUUAGAACCUUUGACAGGCGAUCUGUUUACCGCUCGUUUCGCGGAUUGUCACUUCUAUGAGACAGUCUUCCCGUCGUUAGGGGGAGAUAAGAACGUCAACGUUCCUAAUGAACGACGCGAAUUAUCGUGGACGACUCCCACUUUGUCUCAUUUAGAUCCCCGCACCGCUUAGUCUAAAGCUGAAAUGCAGCGCAUAUUAGAUCUCCAGAGCAUAGCUCAAAGCAUGCCAGAUGCUUUCACCGAUCUAGCGCGCGUGACAAGAUCACAUAUUCCAGCUGCGAAUACGCCUGCAAAGAUGGAUGUACCAAAUGUACGACGGACUACCCUCCUGGAAGCCCGGGACGCCAAUUCUGGUGAUCCACGUACAUUAGCGGCUAGCCAAUCAUCUGCCCCUACACAAAAGCGUGGCAGACCUCUUGGUUCAAAGGAUUCACACCCCCGGAAGAGGAAAACCACGGCACAAGGUCCUGAAGAGCCUACCGUGAAUCCGACUAUCGCUUACUCAUUUUACCCAACUCAUGAGGAAAUUCUAGAUUAUGGAAGCGUCCUUGAAGAGACGAAUCCUCCUCCCGAGAAUCGUGAGAUUUCGGUCUAUUAUGCUAGCUUAGAUGAUGUGUGGCGUAGAAAUGAGAUGAUUGUCGACGAUGCAUUAGCAUUUGCAGUAGCUACUGAGAUCAUGUUGAGCGAUGACAUUGAACCGCGUUCCGUUGAUGAAUGUCGACGUAGAGCUGAUUGGUCAAACUGGAAACAAGCAAUCCAAGUCGAACUUGAUUCACUUGCGAAACGUAAGGUGUUUGGACCUGUAGUUCCUACUCCUCCACAUGUGAAGCCCGUUGGCUACAAGUGGGUUUUCGUUCGGAAGCGUAAUGAGAAGAACGAAAUUGUGCGUUACAAAGCUCGUCUUGUAGCACAAGGUUUCUCACAACGCCCCGGGAUUGACUAUGACGAAACUUACUCACCCGUUAUGGAUGUGAUUACUUUUCGAUACCUUAUCAGUUUGGUAGUUUCCGAAAAACUGGAUAUGCAGCUGAUGGACGUAGUAACCGCGUAUCUCUAUGGGGAUCUUGAUACGGAAAUUUAUAUGAAAGUUCCCGAAGGACUUACAUUGACUAGUUCAAAUAUUUCCAAACCCCGGAACACGCUCUCAAUUCGGCUGAGGCGUUCACUAUACGGUUUGAAACAAUCCGGAAGAAUGUGGUAUAACCGUUUAAGUGAGUAUUUGACUAGUCAGGGAUAUGUGAAUAACGAACUAUGCCCUUGUGUGUUCAUUAAGAAGUCACAUUCCGGAUUUGCGAUUGUUGCAGUAUAUGUCGAUGACAUGAAUCUCAUCGGAACUCCUGAAGAGCUCGCGAGAACUGCUUCGCACCUGAAGUCGGAAUUUGAGAUGAAAGAUCUAGGUAAGACUCGAUACUGUCUCGGCCUCGAGAUAGAGCAUUGUUCGGAUGGAAUCCUAGUACAUCAAUCGAACUACACCAGAAGGUGUUGCGCCGUUUUAAUGAGGAUAAAGCGAAGUCUUCGAGUACUCCUAUGGUCGUUCGUACGCUAGAUGCAAAGCGAGAUCCCUUCCGUCCGAAGGAGGAUGAUGAAGAGAUUUUGGAGCCUGAAGUUCCUUAUCUAAGUGCGAUAGGCGCUUUAUUGUACUUAGCUCAAUGCACUAGACCCGACAUCUCCUUCGCUGUUAAUCUUUUGGCAAGAUUCAGCAAUGCACCAACACGCAGACAUUGGACUGGCGUGAAAGACAUCUUCCGUUACCUUAGGGGUACUACGGAUUUGGGCUUAUUCUAUCCCUACGAAUCCUCGAGUGAUGCCGCACCCUAUGCUCAUCGGGUUGAUUCUCGCCUUGUUGGUUAUGCUGACGCUGGAUACUUAUCUGAUCCGCACAAGGCGCGUUCUCAAACGGGUUAUGUCUUUACCGUUGGAGGCACCGCAAUAUCUUAGAGGUCAACUAAACAGACCUUAGUUGCCACUUCGUCUAACCAUGCUGAAAUUCUCGCCUUACAUGAAGCAACUCGGGAAUGCUUUUGGUUGAGAGCAGUAGUGGGCCAUAUUCGAAGCUCCUGUGAUCUUCAUCCCGCCGUUAUUGCCCCGACGACGAUUUUUGAAGACAACGCAGCUUGCAUCGAACAGCUCAAGAAGGGUUAUAUCAAAGGAGACAACACCAAGCAUAUUGCGCCGAAGUUCUUCUUUACACAUCAACAACAAGAGCAUCAGAAGAUUGAAGUCACGCAAAUCCGAUCACAAGACAAUCUGGCCGACCUCUUCACCAAAUCACUACCGAUGGCGACGUUUCAGAAGCUUGUUCAUGGAAUUGGUAUGCGUAAACUUUCUGAGUUGUAACUUUGCUAUUUCUCUUUGGAAUUAUGUCAAACUCAGGGGGAGUAUCUUCUGGAUACUUGCUUGAUCUUAAUGUACUCUUUUUCCCUACGAUUAGGAGCAUUUUUCCCACUGGGUUUUUGCUACCUAACUAGGUUUUAACGAGGCACCCACCUUGGGCUGGUCAUAUCCCUGAUGACGUCCUGUAGACGUUUCUUUUGACUUUGCAUUUCUCACGCAUUUUUCCUUAGACUAUGGAUUUUGUCCCUACUUGGGUUUUUGCCAUAGCCUUAGGGUUUUUAGUGAGACUUACUACUUAUGCAAGUUCCUACCUUAUUGAGAAUAAGCGUUGUUCCUUGGAAUCAGUGCCAACGAGUCGACUUCCUCAACUUCUGCAUGAUGGUGAAUCUACCUUGAGUAUUUACACACUCAAGGGGGAGUGUUGUAAACAUUUCUAGUUUAAGUAUGAUUGUGUAAAUCCUAGAUAAGAUUUGAUUCUAGUUAUCCUUUCCUAUUACAACUUGUAUUACUUGGAGAAGAAGGAAUAUCUUCUCUCCCUUUACUACUAUAAAUAAAGGCACAAUGUAGGAGGGAUAACAACACACACAUUCCCCUACAAUUCUACAAACACACAUCUCUCUCCUCUCUCUCUCUGACGCCGGCCCUAGUCCAUCUGUCAGAUAAAAUAGACCACAACAACACACACAUAAUUUGAUCAGACGAGAGCCCAACCUUCAUAAAUCUAUCAAACACAUGGUGCUAUAUACCGAUUGCUAUUGGUGGAAAUCGAUAUAUCUAGAUUUAGAAUGGAUACACUGAAAUAGAAUUGAAGCUUCAACUCAAUGAGCAAAAUUGAGAUAUGGUAAUCAAAUUUUUUAAGUUCAAAUUCCUCCCGAGGUGCCAGCAUAACUAAGAAGCUACUUUUUCACAAAUAAAGUAUUCUUCAGCACAAUCUGCAGGGUAAUACAGUUUUCCAUACCAUAUGCUAAUUUCCUUAAUGUAAAAAAAAAUUAUAAGAAUAUUAAGUAACAUAAACCUAAUCUCUACCAAAGAUUAUAAGAAUAUUUGAAUAAAAUAAAACUAAAUUAUAGCUACAUUGAAGUAUACAGUGAAAAUGCAUAGGACAUAGACAGACUAAAACACCCAUGUUCCCACCUCGAGGUUAACGAUUCUUUGUUCAAGUAGAGAAACAAUCAAAACAAACUACUCUGCAGCAAGAUGCUACGUUAGUAAGCAUAAUGCACUCGAGAUAAAAUCUAGAGUUUUGAUUGGCAUUUCAGAAAACUAAGUCGUAGUAUUGUUAUUCGAAAGAGUAAUGUAUACCAUGUUUUUAUACCACAUUUCUAUACUAUCUUAAGUGGCAUCUGAUGUGGACAGAUACAUCAUUUGAAAAAUUUGCAAAACCUAAAGAAAAGAAGGAGAAAGACUCCUUGUAUACCACAAUCAUCAUUUAAUUAACGAGCUUUUCUUAAUUAUUAGUUUAUUAAAUAAUGAACUAAAUUUAAAAAUCUGAUUAUUUCAAAUGAUAUGGUUGUUCACAUCAAAUGUCAUCUAAGGUGAUAUGAAAAUGUGGUACAAAAUCCUGGUAUGAAUAACAUUACUCUAUUCGAAAACCACCCCAGUGUUAUUCAAAAACUAUGUCCUAAUACUGUUGAAACAAUGAAAUUUAUACAAUUUCACUUUCCAACCAUGCUACUCCAAAUGCUACACAAAAAUGAACCAUCUCAAUCAUCAAUUACACCAACAAUUUCAUGACUUCCCAUUCUUUUUUUGCUAUUCAAUUUCAGUAUACUCUUAUUUCAUCUUAGCUUUGUAAUCGUAAGAGAGUUGUACACAUUCUUACACAGAACAAAAAAAAAGAACAAUUUGCGGAGCUAAAUUCAAGUCGUAGAAAAAAAAAAACAAUUUAUUCACGUAUCAAAAUAAAAAAUAUAAUUCAAAAGACAUAUUUUGGAAAAGUGGUGGAAUCGAUCGAAGAAUUUAAAUAGUCGUAUAUUUCUUCUUAAGUUUAGUCGGAAACUGUAGAGUAAUUGAAAUGUACUAGAAAAAAAAUCAAUAACCCAAAUAAUCAUCAAUCAAACACGCUACAAAACCCAAAAUUACCCAAUUGAAAUAACGACACCAAUUGAACUAUAACUCAGCCAAAUCCCACCACACUCCCUUUACUCCUGAAAAGGGCUGCAGGACAAAUCUAACUGCUUUAUACAAUUAUAUCAGCUCAGACCCUAAAUAUUUAUUUCUUCCAAUGAGAUAUAAAUAAUUUGGAUGCAAAAAACUGGGUAACCAAUUGAAGAUGGGCCUACCUACAAUACAUCGGAGUUCUCGGGCAUUUAGAGCUGUUAGAUCCAAUCUGGUUGAGUGUAAUGGCUCUAAGUGCCCAAAUAUGCAAUACUCCAGUGUACUGUAGAAGAAUUCCAAAAAUGAACGAAAAGAAAGAAAGAAAGAAGUGUUGUAAACAUUCCUAGUUUAAGUAUGAUUGUGUAAAUCCUAAAUAAGAUUUGAUUCUAGUUAUCCUUUCCUAUUACAACUUGUAUUACUUGGAGAAGAAGGAAUAUCUUCUCUCCCUUUACUACUAUAAAUAAAGGCACAAUGUAGGAGGGAUAACAACACACACAUUCCCCUACAAUUCUACAAACACACAUCUCUCUCCUCUCUCUCUCUGCCGCCGGCCCUAGUCCAUCUGUCAGAUAAAAUAGACCACAACACGUUAUCAGCACGCUCCUACCGCUGCGCUUAGGAAUCUGACGUUGGAGAUUUUUUCUGCAUCAAACCAGUUCAUCCAUAUCAUCACGCAAUUAGGUUCUUUCCAAACAACGGCUUUUAACUCGAUAUUUUGCAAGCCCUGAUAGCAUGAACAUUCACCAUGAUGCAUGACCCAACUUUACGUUUAACGUAUUUUAGAUUCUACAUAAAUUGUGUAUGCUUCAUCAUCAAAAUUGCUACAAUUAUGUGAAUUUGAUAUUUGUCAUGAAUUGAAUCUUACAUAUGUACAUGCAUUGAAACUAUUAUUUGCAUAUGCAUCAACGUAAAUAUGUGAUUCAUUAAAAUUAUACAUGCAUAUAAUAUAAUUGAAUUGAGAAAAAAAACAAAAACACAAAACAUUUUUUUGCGAUUGGGAUAUGAGUUCUUUUGAACCCGUGACCACCAUCCUGCAGAUGGGGUAUCACACGCAAAUCAGAGAGCAUUCAGCUCUCCUUGUUCCCAGAAACCCACGGAGCCAAGCCCCAAAAAAACCCAAAAUCCCGACACCCUUCAUGGUGUCCCCCGAUCAUGGAGUGGCCUACAGCCACAACCACGAACCUAUUGGUUCUUGCUAUAAACGACCUGCAGUCGUCCCAUGUCGGUAAUUGAACCGAGAUUCACCGGAAUCUCGUCGGAAUUUUUUUUUUGAAAAAUUCGAUUUCAAUUUUUUUUAGGGUUUUAUAGUUGUUGAAACGUUGAGAUUUUCUUAUCUCCGUGAUUGUCCACGACAACCAUGACUCACCCCAAGUCCCAACAACCCCGACGCCGUCAAAAUUUUCCGGCUUUCUUCUUCGGCAUUGCACACCCAGCACGGCUGGGAUUUCUUUUGGGUCUCUUUCCCGAGCCCUACUCGGGCUUUGUCUCUCGGCCCGUGUAACAAAAUAAAAAAAUUAAAAAAAAAAACACAAUUUUUUUUGCUGGGCUCGCUUGCAGCGGCCCAGCCCACAAAGAAAACAAUUUGUUUUUUUAUUUUCCUGGGCUCGCCUGCAGCGGCCCAUACCGAAAAAAAAGAGAAAUUUUUUUUUAGGGCUGCACACAGCAGCCCAUUCCUUUCUCACCCCGUGGGCCUGCAGCCUACACCCGGGGGUACUCGGCCUAUAUUUUUAGGCCCCGAGAUUUUAUUAUUUAAUUUUUUUUAAAAUAAUAUGGGUUUUUAUAUUUUCACCCACAUUUUAAUUUGGCCCCGAAGACCAAAAAUAAAUUAAUUCACUUAUCAUUAUACAAUAUUUCUGCAUAAAUUCUUUGCAUAUUUGUUUGCAUAUAUAUUUGUGUUUGCCUGCAGGAAUAUAUGAACCUGAAGUUCAUAAUUACUUUGAAACCCGAAGUUUCUUAUACACAUGCCUUGUUUGAAAACCCGAAGUUUUCACUUAAAUAUAUCACCCAUGAAAACCCGAAGUUUUUCAUGCAAAAUUAAACCAAUACAUGUCUAUUAGAACCUGUAUGUUCUACUCCUAUGUGAAUGGAUUGAUUUUUCUCCAUUACACUAACCACAUCUUGUUCAUCCAUUUUGUGAUAGGAACAUGUCGAAUUUGAACAAACUCGACUUCACCGCUUUGGAGGUUUCUGGAAGGAACUACCUCAAGUGGGUUCAAGAUGUGAAGCUCCACCUCACUGCAAAGAACUUACGUCCUGCUAUUGAAGAAGCAACAGAUAAACCUGUUGGCGAGGUGAAAAAGCCACUGCUAUGAUCUUCAUCCGAAGACAUAUCCAUGACGCUCUACAAACUGAGUACCUUGCUGAGGAGGAUCCACGUGCAUUAUGGGUCGCUUUGGCUGAUCGUUUCGAUCACCAAAAGGACAUAUUCUUGCCUGAAGCAAGACACGACUGGCAGCACUUGCGCUUCCAAGACUUUAAGUCUGUGAAUGAAUAUAAUUCUGAAGUUUGUCGAAUCCGAUCACUUCUCAAGUUUUGUAAUGAAACUUUGACUGAAGAGGAUCUCCUGGAGAAGACCUACUCGACAUUCUCUGCUUCUAAUAUUGUCCUGCAGCAACAAUAUAGAGCUCAGAAGUUCACUAAGUUCUCGGAUUUGAUCUCUGUUUUACUUCUUGCUGAAAAGCAGAACCAGCUGUUGAUGAAGAAUCAUCAAGCUCGACCUACUGGGGCUACUGCUGUGCCUGAAGCACAUUAUAGCACUAAUCAGCACCCAAAACGCCAAAAGAUGCGUGGUAAGGGCGGCCAGAAGCCAUCCCACCAAGGUCAACAGAGCCAAGGCCCAUCCAAGGGAGGAAACAAAGCCCAAAAGCGCCCAAACCUCGCUCCCAAGGCCCCGAACUUCAAGAAUAAGGGCAAAGCACCUGCCACAAUGAAUGACGAUAUGUGCUAUCGUUGUGGUUCCAAGGACCAUUGGUCCCGUAUUUGCCGUGCUCCCAAGAAGGUUGUGGAUGCAUAUCAUUCUCGUCGUACGAAGUUUGAAUCAAACUUCCUGCAAGUGGACGAACCGGAGACUACAAAGAUGGAGGUUUUCUGAUUUUCAGGAGGAUACCACUCCUAUGGAAGAUUAGAAUCUUAGACAUAGACUUAUUUUUCAGUUAAAAUAAGACAAUUGGGGCCGAAUUCCACCUAGUGGCCGAACCCCACCUUGUUUUUUGGUUGAUUUUGAACAAUUUUCCUUUAUGUUUUGGAUUAUUAGUUGGCGAUUUAUUUUGGAUAUUAAUUUUUUUCCUUGAAUAAAUGAAAUUAUUUUGAAUUGAUACUUGUUUUUAUAAACUUUUAUGCAUGUGACCGAUUCAAAUUAAUUUUUCAUUCUAGGUAUGACUAGUGGGAAAGUUAGUUGUCUGGCAGAUAGUGCAACCACGCAUACUGUUUUGCGUGAACGCAUCUAUUUCACUAACUUCGUACCUAAGAAUGCACCUCUGACAACCCUCUCAGGCCCAUCCAACCUGAUCGAAGGAUACGGUAAGGCACGUAUAAUGUUGUCCAAUGGUACAAUCUUGACCAUUGCCGAGGCACUCUAUUCUCCACGUUCCGGAAGAACGUUACUAAGUUUCAAGGACAUUAGAGAUAACAAUUACCACGCUGAAACCCACGUAGAAAACGGUGUUGAAUUUCUGUGCGUAACUUCCUACGAAUAUGGCCAGAAGCGUAUUCUAGAGAAGAUGGAGCGUAACCCGAGUGGUCUGUAUACUACGACCAUACGCCCCAUAGAAUGCCACUAUGUGGCCGGCCCUACCACAGGGACCGCGCACGAAAUUACACUUUGGCAUGAUCGUUUGGGACAUCCUGGACGAAUAGCGAUGCGCCGUAUCCUCAAAACUUCACACGGGCAUCCACUAACCCGAAGCUUAGGUUCGAUCCAUGAAAUUGCAUGCCAAACAUGUUCUAUGGGAAAGCUUAUUACUAAGCCUUCUUAUGACAAGAUUCGUUCGAAUCCUCCCAUUUUUCUACAACGGAUUCAGGGGGACAUUUGUGGACCGAUUCAACCUCCCUGCGGACCAUUUAGAUAUUUUAUGGUUUUGGUUGACGCUUCUACACGUUGGUCACACGUGUGCUUGUUGUCCACAAGGAACGCUGCAUUCUCCAAACUGUUGGCUCAGGUUAUCAAGCUCAGGGCUCACCACCCUGAUUAUCCGAUCAAAUCUAUUCGAUUGGAUAAUGCUGGAGAAUUCACAUCUAAAACUUUUGAUGACUAUUGCAUGUCGGUUGGGGUUGAAGUUGAACAUCCUGUACCCCAUGUUCACACCCAGAACGGCCUGGCAGAGGCUUUCAUUAAGCGUUUACAAAUGAUUGCUCGAUCGUUGGUCAUACGUACCAAGCUCCCGAUCGCUGCUUGGGGCCAUGCAAUAUUGCACUCAGCAAAGUUGGUCCGCCUGAGGCCUGUUGCGACAUAACCAUUUAGUGCCCUUCAGUUGGUCACCGGAUGCGAACCCGACAUAUCGCAUCUGCGCGUUUUUGGUUGUGCGGUCUAUGUGCCGAUCUCGCCGACCUUACGUACAAAAAUGGGGCCUCAGCGAAGGAUGGGAAUCUAUGUCGGAUAUGAUUCUCCUUCGAUUAUUCGUUACUUAGAACCUUUGACAGGCGAUCUGUUUACCGCUCGUUUCGCGGAUUGUCACUUCUAUGAGACAGUCUUCCCGUCGUUAGGGGGAGAUAAGAACGUCAACGUUCCUAAUGAACGACGCGAAUUAUCGUGGACGACUCCCACUUUGUCUCAUUUAGAUCCCCGCACCGCUCAGUCUGAAGCUGAAAUGCAGCGCAUAUUAGAUCUCCAGAGCAUAGCUCAGAGCAUGCCAGAUGCUUUCACCGAUCUAGCGCGCGUGACAAGAUCACAUAUUCCAGCUGCGAAUACGCCUGCAAAGAUGGAUGUACCAAAUGUACGACGGACUACCCUCCUGGAAGCCCGGGACGCCAAUUCUGGUGAUCCACGUACAUUAGCGGCUAGCCAAUCAUCUGCCCCUACACAAAAGCGUGGCAGACCCCUUGGUUUAAAGGAUUCACACCCCCGGAAGAGGAAAACCACGGCACAAGGUCCUGAAGAGCCUACCGUGAAUCCGACUAUCGCUUACUCAUUUUACCCAACUCAUGAGGAAAUUCUAGAUUAUGGAAGCGUCCUUGAAGAGACGAAUCCUCCUCCCGAGAAUCGUGAGAUUUCGGUCUAUUAUGCUAGCUUAGAUGAUGUGUGGCGUAGAAAUGAGAUGAUUGUCGACGAUGCAUUAGCAUUUGCAGUAGCUACUGAGAUCAUGUUGAGCGAUGACAUUGAACCGCGUUCCGUUGAUGAAUGUCGACGUAGAGCUGAUUGGUCAAACUGGAAACAAGCAAUCCAAGUCGAACUUGAUUCACUUGAGAAACGUAAGGUGUUUGGACCUGUAGUUCCUACUCCUCCACAUGUGAAGCCCAUUGGCUACAAGUGGGUUUUCGUUCGGAAGCGUAAUGAGAAGAACGAAAUUGUGCGUUACAAAGCUCGUCUUGUAGCACAAGGUUUCUCACAACGCCCCGGGAUUGACUAUGACGAAACUUACUCACCCGUUAUGGAUGUGAUUACUUUUCGAUACCUUAUCAGUUUGGUAGUUUCCGAAAAACUGGAUAUGCAGCUGAUGGACGUAGUAACCGCGUAUCUCUAUGGGGAUCUUGAUACGGAAAUUUAUAUGAAAGUUCCCGAAGGACUUACAUUGACUGGUUCAAAUAUUUCCAAACCCCGGAACACGCUCUCAAUUCGGCUGAGGCGUUCACUAUACGGUUUGAAACAAUCCAGAAGAAUGUGGUAUAACCGUUUAAGUGAGUAUUUGACUAGUCAGGGAUAUGUGAAUAACGAACUAUGCCCUUGUGUGUUCAUUAAGAAGUCACAUUCCGGAUUUGCGAUUGUUGCAGUAUAUGUCGAUGACAUGAAUCUCAUCGGAACUCCUGAAAAGCUCGCGAGAACUGCUUCGCACCUGAAGUCGGAAUUUGAGAUGAAAGAUCUAGGUAAGACUCGAUACUGUCUCGGUCUCGAGAUAGAGCAUUGUUCGGAUGGAAUCCUAGUACAUCAAUCGAACUACACCCAGAAGGUGUUGCGCCGUUUUAAUGAGGAUAAAGCGAAGUCUUCGAGUACUCCUAUGGUCGUUCGUACGCUAGAUGCAAAGCGAGAUCCCUUCCGUCCGAAGGAGGAUGAUGAAGAGAUUUUGGAGCUUGGAGUUCCUUAUCUAAGUGCGAUAGGCGCUUUAUUGUACUUAGCUCAAUGCACUAGACCCGACAUCUCCUUCGCUGUUAAUCUUUUGGCAAGAUACAGCAAUGCACCGACACGCAGACAUUGGACUGGCGUGAAAGACAUCUUCCGUUACCUUAAGGGUACUACGGAUUUGGGCUUAUUCUAUCCCUACGAAUCCUCGAGUGAUGCCGCACCCUAUGCUCAUCGGGUUGAUUCUCGCCUUGUUGGUUAUGCCGACGCUGGAUACUUAUCUGAUCCGCACAAGGCGCGUUCUCAAACGGGUUAUGUCUUUACCGUUGGAGGCACCGCAAUAUCUUGGAGGUCAACUAAACAGACCUUAGUUGCCACUUCGUCUAACCAUGCUGAAAUUCUCGCCUUACAUGAAGCAACUCGGGAAUGCUUUUGGUUGAGAGCAGUAGUGGGCCAUAUUCGAAGCUCCUGUGAUCUUCAUCCCGCCGUUAAUACCCCGACGACGAUUUUUGAAGACAACGCAGCUUGCAUCGAACAGCUCAAGAAGGGUUACAUCAAAGGAGACAACACCAAGCAUAUUGCGCCGAAGUUCUUCUUUACAUAUCAACUACAAGAGCAUCAGAAGAUUGAAGUCACGCAAAUCCGAUCACAAGACAAUCUGGCCGACCUCUUCACCAAAUCACUACCGAAGGCGACGUUUCAGAAGCUUGUUCAUGGAAUUGGUAUGCGUAAACUUUCUGAGUUGUAACUUUGCUAUUUCUCUUUGGAAUUAUGUCAAACUCAGGGGGAGUAUCUUCUGGAUACUUGCUUGAUCUUAAUGUACUCUUUUUCCCUACGAUUAGGAGCAUUUUUCCCACUGGGUUUUUGCUACCUAACUAGGUUUUAACGAGGCACCCACCUUGGGCUGGUCAUAUCCCUGAUGACGUCCUGUAGACGUUUCUUUUGACUUUGCAUUUCUCACGCAUUUUUCCUUAGACUAUGGAUUUUGUCCCUACUUGGGUUUUUGCCAUAGCCUUAGGGUUUUUAGUGAGACUUACUACUUAUGCAAGUUCCUACCUUAUUGAGAAUAAGCGUUGUUCCUUGGAAUCAAUGCCGACGAGUCGACUUCCUCAACUUCUGCAUGAUGCUGAAUCUACCUUGAGUAUUUACACACUCAAGGGGGAGUGUUGUAAACAUUUCUAGUUUAAGUAUGAUUGUGUAAAUCCUAGAUAAGAUUUGAUUCUAGUUAUCCUUUCCUAUUACAACUUGUAUUACUUGGAGAAGAAGGAAUAUCUUCUCUCCCUUUACUACUAUAAAUAAAGGCACAAUGUAGGAGGGAUAACAACACACACAUUCCCCUACAAUUCUACAAACACACAUCUCUCUCCUCUCUCUCUCUGCCGCCGGCCCUAGUCCAUCUGUCAGAUAAAAUAGACCACAACAAGAAGAGCUUUAUAAACCCUUUCUUUAAUCAUGCGAGCUUAGCAAAAUAUUUUUUAUUAUAACUUUAUUUUCUUUCAAGUAUUUUUAUAUUUCUUUGUGUUGCUCACAAUUGAUAUAAUGUGGAAAGUGUGGUGAUAGCUUCGUAUCUCUUUAGUACGAAUUGUCUCAAGUCUCUUUCUCUGUGUAAGUCCAAUGAUUUUGGUUUUGUUUUUACAAUUUGUAUAAAAACUUUCAAUCAUGUAACUACAAAACAAUUAACUUAAAGUCCCUCAAACCCAAAAAAUAAUUAACUUCAAGGAGAAACAAAUGGAAUUAGUAAAAAGCAAAGACAUCGUUUAUUCACAAUUCAUCUAUUCAAUUCUAAAAUUAGCUUAUAUUCCUCUAAUGUUGCACACAAAGCAAACUAAAAGGUCAUGGAAUGUUUAAAAUAGCUAGCAAUGUCUUAUGCUAGCAACAUACAAAACUAACCCUUCGUCCUACAUGUGCUCAAAAAAUGUAGUCUUAUUCUCUUCGAAAGCCACAUUGACGGUUUCUCAUAUUUAUUACUAUAGCCAACUUUAGAGUAUAGUAAUUUGAAAAUUUCCAUCUCUAAUCAGACUUUCAUUCCUAAUACAAGUAAGCAUACUAGAGCCAAGUCACAUGUACAUGCCUAACAAAAGUUUAGUCCAUUUUUACCACAAAAAAAUGAAAUAAAAUAACCAAUAAUAUUCUUGUUUGACGAUAUGACGAAUUUACUCUUACUAGAGACACCAAUUUGUUUUUUUUUUCUUUUAGGUAAAUCAAGACAUCAACUUAUUAGUUUUUGCAUCAAUUUUUUAGAUCCCAAAUUUCGUGGCAAUGUUUCAACACGUUUUCUGUUCACAUUUUACAACAAAUAAGAAUUUGCAUUGUGACUUGGUUAACAAUAACUGGUGUCUCUUGCACUAUUAUUAUGUUUAUCAUUUCUUACAUACAUCUAAUAUUGGACCUGUAAUCUGAUUGGCAUCUCAAUGUAAAAUCAGAUGUGUUUGGUAGCUGGAGAAUAUAUUCUCAAUUUGCAUUCCAAUUUGUAGAUAAUAACUCUUCUUCAUGCAUUCACUGCAACAGAUAGACUCCAUUCAAUAGCUGCAAUGAGCACCGAGCAGCAGAAUGCUUCUUCGUCUUCUUACCGGUGCACAUAUGAUGCAUUCUUGAGUUUCAGAGGCGCAGAUACACGCAAGGGCUUUACAGAUCACCUCUACAGUGCUUUGGAGUUGGCAGGAAUCCACACUUUUAGAGAUGAUGAUGAAACUGAGAGAGGAGCAAACAUUGAACAGGAGCUACAGACAGCGAUACAAGAGUCACGAGUAUCAGUCAUAGUUUUCUCCAAGGACUACGCCUCUUCCAGGUGGUGCCUGAAUGAACUUGCUAUCAUCAUGGAACGUAAAAGAACAGAUGGACACAUGGUUAUCCCGGUUUUCUAUGAUGUGGAACCAUCAGAUGUCAGGAAGCAGACGGGCAGUUUUGCAUAAUCAUUUACUAGACAUGAAGAGCGCUUCAAGGACGAGAUAGACAAGGUGGAGGAGUGGAGACGAGCUCUAGAAAUGUUGCAGACCUGGGAGGGAUGGUUUUAGGAGAACUGUAAUUUUUCAUUCCCUCCUAUAUUCAGUCAAGUAAAUCAGAUGCUAGUCUCAAGCUUGUGAAAGUUUUAGCUUUUCUUUAAAAAAUAAAAAUAAAAAAUAAAUAACUUGCUCAUGUUUUUUCUUUUGGUCUGAAAAGAAAGAACUUACUGUGCCUCAUAUUUUUUGAUAUCAAUAACAUAUAGGUACGAGUCACAGUCAAGGAUUUAAAUAUCGAUAUUAUCGGCGAUAUUUCGCCGAUAAUAUCGUUUUUUACAGAGACCGAUUUUUUUACACAUAUCCAGUCAUUUAUCGUCAAAAUAUCGCGAUAUUAUCGAUAAUAUCGCGAUAUUAUCGAUAUUACCGAUAAUAUCGCCGAGCUCCGUCGUCAGCGACCGGAGCUGCUAAGAUCUACGCGAUUUGGGGGGGGGAAAGAGUCGGGAAGAGGAGUCGCGGAGAAGAGGAGUCGCGGGGGCGCGAGAGUAGCGGAGAAGAGGAGUCGUGAGGGGGGGAAGGAAGAACGGUUGCGCAGCUGGGUGGUGGAUUUGAGCGGUGGGGGGGAAGAACAGUUGCGCAGCUGGGUGGUGGAUUUGAGCAGUUUGAAGAAAGUUUCUGCGGAGGGGCUGUGGGAAGCGGUUUGAAGAAAGUUUUUGUGAAGGGGUUGUGGGAAGAAGAGUCGCAGAGAAGAGGGGUCUGGGAAUCUGCAGAGAGGGGGGACGGUGGGCUUUGGGAAUCUGGAGAGAAUGGUUCGGGGGGGUGGCUGGGAAGAACAGUUGCGGAAGGGAGUUGUUUAUGUGGAUUUGAGUGGUUUGAAGAAAUUUUCUGUGGGUUUGAGUGGUUCGAAGAAAAAGGAAGGAGAGGACUGCAGGAGCUGCAGAGAAGAGAUGUGGAUUUGAGUGGUUUGAAGAAAUUUUCUGUGGGUUUGAGUGGUUCGAAGAAAAAGGAAGGAGAGGACUGCAGGAGCUGCAGAGAAGAGAUGGGGGGACCGGAGAGAAGAGAUGUGGGUUUAAAGUGUAAAAUAUUGUACUAAUUCAUUAUAUAUAAAUGAUUAUGAUGUGUUUAAAUUAGAUUAUUAUUCAUUAAAUUAGGUUUUUUUUAUUAUCAAAUUAGAUUAUUAUUCAUUAAAUUGGAUUAUUAUCAAAUUAGAUUAUUCAUUAAAUUGGAUUAUUAUCAAAUUAGAUUAUUAUUCAUCACCAUGUUUUAUAUUAGGAUUAUUUUUUUAUGAAAUUGGAUUAUUAUUCAUUAAAUUGGAUUAUUAUGAAAUUGGAUUAUUAUUCAUUAAAUUGGAUUAUUCAUUAAAUUGGAUAACUACUCUUCACAAUACACUCACUCUACACAUAGAGAUGAUGAAGAUAGUGAAAAUUUUGAACCUCAUAAGAACUCUAUGUGGUACUAAGUCACUUAUGUAUCUUACCAUGCAAUGUAUAAAGUGUAAAAUAUUGUACUAAUUCAUUAUAUAUAAAUGAUUAUGGUGUGUUUAGACUUCUUUCAUUAAUUACUACAUAUUUUCUACACUCACAAUGUUUGUCAGCUCGCUAUAUAAUCAACUUGAUAAUGUUAAAUCCAUCAUGCAAUGCAUUUCUUUCCAAUUUUUUGUGAUAAACUAAUAGAUAAUUGACUAAAUAAACAUCCUACAAAGUUUCAAUAAAAAUUUCCAAGUUUUUCUUACAAUUUCCGUGGUUUCCAUGUAAUUUUUAUCGAUAUCGAUAUUUUACCGAUAUUUCCAUCGAUAUUUCCGUGUUUUCGGACUACCGAUAUUUCCGAUAUUACCGAUAUUUAAAUCCUUGGUCACAGUUUAUCCAAGAUAUUGUCGAAGCGGUUGGAAAUAAACUGGACUACAUGAGGAAUAGGAGAUUAAGAGUUGAUCCCUAUGUUAUUGAAAGAGGUUAUUAUGUGGAAAGCCUAAACAUGUGAUUACUGAGGGAAAAUGCGGUACCCACCUUUGACGUGAUUACUGAGGGAAAAAUUCAAAAGAUUCUUUGCAUGAGUUUUGAUUCUUUACAAGAUCAUGAUAAACGUUUAUUCCUCCAUAUAGCCUGUUUCUUCAUAGGAAAAGACAAGGAUUUUGCAACUACAAUCCUUCAUGAAUGUGAUUUUGCGACAGAAGUUGGACUUCAACACCUAGUUGAUAGAUGCCUUGUGGAAAUUAAUGCCUGCAACAAGUUAACCAUGCAUCAAUUGCUUGAAAACAUGGGAAGGGCAAUAAUUCGCGAUGAAUCACCUGAGGACCCUGGAAAACGCACUAGACUGUGGCAUAAAAAAGAAGCAAGUGACGUUUUGAGAAAUUUAACGGUACGAAACAUGAUCUUUAACUGUAUUUAUUUGCAUUGGUGUUCUACAUGUGACUAGUAACUUAUCCAAUGCUCUUAUUUGGUGGCAGGGUACGAGAAGUAUUAAGGGCCUCAUGCUCCACUGUCCCUCAACAUUUGAAACAAAGGCAUUUACAAAGAUGCUCAAUCUUGAACUACUUCUGCUUGAUAAUGUAAAGUUGAGUGGAAGCUAUGAAGAUUUUCCAAAAAAAUUAAUAUGGCUGUCUUGGCGAGGAUUCUCUUUAAAAUCAAUUCCAGCCAAUUUUUGUAUGGAAAAUCUAGUUGUUCUUGACUUACGGAAGAGCAGUCUGCAACAUGUUUGGAACGGAACCAAGGUAUCUUCUAAUCUCUCUCUCUCUCUCUCUCUCUCUCUCUCUCUCUCUCUCAUUACGCACAAACAAAAAAAAAUCAGUGAAACUAAACUGUGCAUUCAUAGCAACUAAUGACUUCUAUUUGAUACAGAUUCUUACAAGAUUGAAAAUUCUUAAUCUCAGUCAUUCACAUGGCCUUAGGACAACAUCUGACUUGUCCGGACUCCCCAACCUUGAGAAACUAAUUCUUAAGGAUUGCAUUAAUUUGGUUGAUGUUGAUGAAUCCAUUGGAAAUUUGGGGAAACUUGUUUUCUUGAAUCUAAAAGAUUGCAAAAGUCUUAUGAAGCUUCCAAAAAGAAUGAACAUGUUGAGGUCUCUUGAGGAACUUAUUCUUAAUGGUUGCUCAAAGCUUGGUCCUCAUGACAGUGCCACGGUUAUUGAUUUACACGCUACAUCUAGGGAUAUGAAACAAAUUAGACUGUUAUCAGCAUUAUCAUGGACACCUAUCAGGUAUUGGUGGAUGUGGGCAUGGCCAGGAAAGACUCUUCAAUCAACGAGUUUCUCACUGGCAAGUCUACCCCGUUUUUUGGGAAGCUUAAGUAUGUCUUACUGCAACGUGUCAGAGGUUCCCAAUGAUCUGUGUACACUAUCUUUGUUGAAGGAUUUGAAUCUAAUUGGUAACCCAAUUUUGUGCCUACCACAAAAAAUGAAGAGUCUUAUUAUGCUCGAGACUCUUUUGUUAGAUAAUUGCACAAACCUUGAAAUUCUUCCAGAGCUCCCACCAUGGUUGAAGAGGUUAGAAGCAAAAUAUUGUACUUCAUUGAAAAGAUUAACAAAUUUACCAAACUUGUUCAGAUCAUUGGAAUCACUUUUUUGGGGUUGUGAGCAUUUAGUUGAAGUUGAAAGCUUGUUGAAUAUAAAACCGGUGAGAAGCGCUGACAUAGAAAUGACAAGAUAUAUGGGCCUGUUCAAUUUGAAAUCCAUAGCAAGCACUGAUGUCGAAAUGAUCAACUACUUGACCAGUACAACCAGGAAGGCUCCUGUCCAGGUCUUUCUCUGUCUCCUCUCUCAUGUAUAGUUGUUCUAAUUAUUAUAUCUAUGAACUAGUUGGGCCUAACUGUUUGAAUAGUUAAAUUUGAAUUGUAGAUUCUUGAUGAAACAGGUACUCUAUGAAUGUGGCAUAUAUAGCAUUUUCUUUCAUGGAAGCAAGAUUCCAGAUGGAUUUGGCUUCACAAUAAUAUAUAGAUCUGUGCUGUCAGUUAUUGUACCUUCACAUCCCUUUCUCAAAAUCCGAGGCUUGAAUUCAUGUGUGUUAUAUGCAAGAGAACCAGGCUUGGAAUAUCGUCUUACUGUUCAGCAUUUGAUUAAAGUCAGUAAUCAGACCAAGGGUCUUAUGUGGACCUAUUCCCCACUCACAGUAGGUUUGCCUACUGAGAAGGAAGAUGUUAUGGCUAAGCAAUUUUCGAUUUGGAAACAACGAAUUGGAGUAUGGGGACGAAUUACGUGUUUCGGUGGAGAUGCAUGAUUUUGUCCGGGUAAAGGAAUUCGGAAUUCAGCUUGUGUACGAGCCGGAAAGACCUCCUUCUAGCCAGAAUAAUGUUGUUGCUGGAGAUGUGUCACUGUCAGCAUCAGAGUACCAAAUGUGGACAGGAAAAUACUUUCUCAGUAAUCAUGGGCACCGUACUCAUCAAGCUCAAUUCCGAAAGAGACAGGAGAAUCCAGCACAUAUUGAGUUUUCAUUUGGGCCAGAGUGUCUAUUUCAUAAACUAUUCAAGGCCCGAGGACCAUUCGAAACUGUUGUGAAACUUAGAGCAUAUCCAGCAGAUUCCCCAUCUGCUUCUCCUCACCCAUUUUGGCUAAAAUAAAGAGAAACCUUCUCAGUUCUUUAUCCAGCAUCAUUCAUUUAUGGUUGGAAAGAAACAUCAGCAUCAGUUUUCUUGGUGAGUAUCGUCCCUUUAUUCUUUCUUGUCAUCUCUUUCUGAAUAUAUACUCAUGGCUUUGUUGGAUUUGUUGCUCUUUGCUUAUUGUCUUUGAUUUGUUAAUUGAAUGAAUAUAUUAAACAAAAAGAGGGGAAAGCUCUUUGAACUCAGAACAACAAGGUCAUAAGACCAAUCAAGGAAACAAAACCGGAACAGUCCUCAUGAGUUAGCAGAUGAGGUUUGAAAACCCCUAUAGAGCAAAACCAACUUGAGCGUAACAGCAGUGGGACUACAUGUAUUUCUGAAAAACCUACAAUUAGUUUCCCUCCAAAGCCUACUCCUUACAAACGAAUCUUGAGUUCCUGCGACGUAGUAUUUGGGGUAACUUCUAUUUGGACACAUUUAUAUGAGCAAACUUUUCUUAUUCUAUUAUUAUGCAUUCGGAUUAGAAAGCCCGCGAUCAAUAAGAUAUUGAAAACGUGUAUUUCCUGAUACAUUAUAUAAAAUUAAUAAUUCGCUAAAUUCAUAAGAUAAUACAUUAUAGAAAAUUCAUAUAGAUUCCACAUAAUAUGUAAAUUAAUAAUUUCCUAAUACAUUGUGCCUAUGAUUCGACAAUGAGGCCUUCCUAAAAUAUAACUCAAUCAUUGUUUGUUUUUUUUCUUGAAAUUGAUACCUUGGAUCUUAUCUUUUUCUUAACAUGAUAAGAAGUUGUGAUGUGGUAUUUUCAUACUGCAACAAAAAAUUAUUCAAUGUCAUCACCGCUUUGAGAACUUCUUUUCGGGAAAUGGGCUCCAUAGUAGAACCAUGUACAAACUAUUUUUGGAAAAUAAGUAGAUUCAAAAUUUUACUUGGUUAAACAAUAAAAUCGUUAGUUUGUAAAAUAAGAAACUAAAUUAAUAACUUAUUAAUUUAUUAAUUAUUUAAUAUUUUGCUAAAUUAAUAAAAAAAAAUUUGGUCGCGAGGUUAUUAAUUUAUAGAGGUCUAAUGGAUUUAGAUAGAGGACACUAGGUAGGUUUCCCUUUAAAGAGUCUGAUAUGGUUGCUUUAAGUCUCACUUCUGCCAUAUCUAAUUUACAUGCCGCAGUCAGAUUUUCCUUUCCCUGUUGAGUCAAGUUCUUAACAUUCAACCUAGAAAUGAUAAGAAUUUCCACCAUUAUUGUGUUUUGAGGUGUUGAGCAUCUCCCUUUCAUACAAUGGGAAUGCAUUUACUACGGUAUCCCAAAUCAAUUAUGCACUACCAUGCUUGGAUAAACUAUAGUAAUGUCCUCGCAUGGCAUGCAUGAUUGACUCGAGAUACUGCCAGAAUGUCAUCUUUGUUGUAGAUAAGUUUUUCUCCCCUAAAUAUAUGUUCACCAAGGAAUUUACAUGUGAAAUGAAACUCUAAGAAAAGAAAUUUAAAAAUGAGAAAGUGAUCCACCUAAUCACGUGUGUCGGUAUGUAAUUGGGCCGCGCAAGGACCAAUGAACAAAAAUUUUAAAUGUCACAAUACAAGCUAUAGUAAUUUGUUAACUGCAUUUGAUUUCAUAUUGUUUUAAGUUACGAGCAGUGAAGACAGGGAACAAAAAUGGAAUGAUAAUCUGUGUUAGAUCAUAUUCUAAAACAAAUUUCCAACACUCUGAAUCUUGCAGCUUUUGAGCUGCUCUGUGUUUGACCAAUUAGUAGAGACAAAAUUGGAAGAGAUCAUCCUGUAAUAUCUAGUUAAACAAAUCAAGGGCAAACAAUUUUACGCCGCCCUUACCUAGUUUACCCUUCCUUAAUGUCAACCUCUUCUCUUACAAAAUUUGUAUAAGCCUAACCUGCGCGCGCUAUAAAUUCCUAAUUCUAAUCUUGGGACAAUGUAAAAGGGGUGCAGCGGGAAGAAAUAUCUAUCCCAGCAACCUCCAUGGCAUCACAGACCACUCGGGCACAUGACAUUUUUUAAACUACAAGACAAUAAGAUUUAAAACACUUAAGAGUUAUGUGGCAGGUAUUGCACAGAGGGGAAACAAAAGCACAAGGCUGGCUAAGCAAACAAUAAGAGAGAAGAAUCGUCGUAUACACAAUUGUUUUCUACCGAUAGUGAAUGACAUAGCAGACAACUAGAAGAAUCGUUUUAUACUAAUAGCGAAUGACAUAGCAGACAACUAGAAGAGAGUAAUGAUUCUCAAGAUAUAGCUUAUUUACUUAUCCCUUAAGAUUAUUCACAAGAGCAUUCGAUUUUUGUUAGAAACGCUAUAUGGAGAUUACAAUAAUCAUGACAUUAUUGUGCGCCAUUGUGCUGAUCGUUAUGUUCCUGACAGGAACUAAUUACCUCUCUUUGAAACGGUGUCUUCCAAGACAGAAAAUCCUUAAUCUCAGUCACUCACAUGGCGUGAUGACAACCCCUAACUUGUCACAAGUCCCUAACCUUGAACAAUUGAUUCUCAAAUAUUGCUUAAAUUAGGUCGACGUAGAUGACUCCAUUGGAUACCUAGAGAAACUUGUUUUCCUGAAUCUAAGACUGCAAAAUGUGAGUGCUGGAGAUGUGUCAGCAUCAAAGUAUCAAAUAUGGAGAGGCAAAAUGCUUUGUGUGUAAUCACAGUCUAGACCAUACUUAUCAUCCUCAGUUCAUAUUUCAGAAAGGACCAGAAGAACCCGGCUCAUCUUGAUUUUUCAUACGAUCCAGAGGGCUGCUUUUUUUAAUAAUCAUUACUUACUUAAGCACAUCGAGUUUCCUCAGGAGGACGAUGAAUAUUGUUGUGUUUUGCCACCCGAAAGGGUAAGAUUUUACAAGAGAAUAAAAGAUAAAGAAGGCGAUGAUUAUCGACUGCGUCUAUUCAAAAGAAGGGUAGAUUUGGGCACUAUCCAGUUGCGGUGCUAAUCAUCGGGCGUUGAAGAAAAGAUCAUGGUUUGUUUUCUUUUGUGAGUCUUAUUUUCUGUUUCUCUUUGUAUAGUAUAUACUAUAUAUGCAUUUUGUUUGAAUAAUUGAAUCUUCUUAACUCGAUCUUUUCAAUAUUUUGUACAAAGGAUGCAAGGGUUCAAUACUAGAUGUAGAUUUCAUAUCUGAGCUCCAAAUAUUAAACUAAACAUGGUAAAUACCAAAAAUAUACAUGACAAUAUUUGGGAAUUUCUUCUAUAUUCAUUAAUCUCCAAAGUGAAGUAUAUAUAGGAGUUACAAUUGGUAUUACAUAUGUAUUUCACCAAUGUGGGACAAUAAACUACUAUUUACACUUUAACUAAUAUAUAACUCACAACACUCCCCCUCAAGUUGGUGCAAAGAUAUCAUGCAUGCCCAACUUGUCAAGCGAGUUGGAAAACACACUAUUAGACACAGCCUUAGUAAGAACAUCAGUAAGUUGAUCUUCAGAUCCCACAAACGGAAACAUAAUAAUUCCAGCAUCCAAUUUUUCCUUGAUGAAAUGUCGAUCAAUCUCCACAUGUUUUGUUCGGUCAUGUUGCAUUGGAUUAUGAGCAAUCUCAAUAGCAGCCUUGUUAUCACAAUGAAGUUUUAUAGCACCCUUGGGUUUAAACCCAAGAUCUCUCAACAAUUUUUUCAACCACAACAACUCACAUACACCAUGAGACAUACCACGAAACUCAGCUUCUGCACUUGACCUAGCCACCACUUUUUGUUUCUUGCUUCUCCAAGUAACUAAAUUACCACCCACAAAUGUAAAAUAUCUAAAUGUAGAUCGCCGAUCAAUAAUAGAACCUGCCCAAUCUACAUCUGUAUACCCUUCGACAUUCAAAUGAUCAUUCUUGGAGAAAACCUAGCCUCUGCCAGGAGCCAUCUUCAAGUACCUCAAAAUACGGGUUACUGCAUUCAUAUGAGCUUCACUAGGUGAGUGCAUAAACUGACUUACCACACUAACUGCAUAACCAAUGUCAGGGCGAGUGUGACACAAAUAAAUUAAUCUCCCCACAAACCUCUGAUACUGAUGAGCUAUAUAUUUUCACAAACAAAAUAUAUUAGCAAGUCUUAAUAAAAAUGGGGAGACUUCAAAAUAAUAAUAGUAAUAAUAAUAGAGUCCAAAAUAUGGACUGACCAGAAAUAAGGCUCACUUUAUGUGUGUAUGUGCAUAUAUUCUUAUAUAUACUAUAUUUAUAUAAUAUAUAUAAGAAAUAAAGAGAGGGAAAAACAACUCUACACCCGCACACGUAGACCUCAACGUACACCAAGUCUGAAGGAGUUUGUCAUCUACAUGGCAACCAGGUAUAGAGAACGUGUGUAUCUAGAACCCUCUAAAACUCCCACGUUCUCCACUCAAGAGAUGGUUUUCUCUCAGCAUCUCCACACCCCAGGAAAGUUGCAUCCCACUAACUUCAACUGCCAUGUCCACUGUUCCUAUAAAAAGGCAUCGAACCAAAGCAAAGAGGACAGAAGACACAGAAAGAAAAAGAUAGACUCUGCAGAAAUUGAGAGAAAAGAUUGCAACGAAUGAGAGAUACAGAAACGCUGCAGAAAUUGUGGGGCACAAAGAGAGAACAAACGGGAAGAGAAAAGGAACAUAAGAAUACAGAGCAGGAGUGGACGACAAAAAGGAAAGGCAAGGACUCAAAAAGGUAUAAAUCCAUUUUUUUUUUUGGGGUUAAUCUUUCCUUUGUAUUUCGUUGUUAUUUCUUCACUUUGUAGAAGAAAAAGCACUUUGCUUCUUCAUCCUCUCCCAUUCCACGAAACAAAGGUGGAACUCUAGAUAAGUAAAGCCCAAACCCUUUCCCAUAUUUCGUCUACUAUGCCUAGCAAAUGAUGUCGAAACUCGCCAACGACGCAAGAGAUGAGUUCGAACAAGGCAGCAACCAAACCGCCGGACACUACCACUUCAACAACACCGAUGGCCAUAGUGAUCACGCCGUCCUCAAGCCCAGCGUUGCUACUGCUCCGUUUUAGGAGCUCAGUCCAAAGUUGAAAUCAAUGUUGUUGCUCCGUUUUAGGAGCGCAGUCCGAAGUUAAAAUGAUUGCUGCUGCUCUGUUUUAAGAGCUCAGUUCGAAGAAAUAAAAAAUCGGCGUGUUGCUACUGCUCCGUUUUAGGGGCGCAGUUUGAAGACAUUGACGGUUGUUGCUGCUCCGUUUUAGGAGCUUAGUUCACAGAAUUUGGCGUUUGUUGAUGUUCUGUUUUAAGAGCUUAGUCCGAAGUUGAAAUGGUUGCUGCUGCUCCGUUUUAGGAGCUCAGUUCACAGAAUUUGGCGUUUGCUGCUGUUCCGUUUUAAGAGCUUAGUCCGAAAUUGAAAUGGUUGUUGCUGCUCCGUUUUAGGAGCUCAUUAGAAACUUCGAGUGAAGAGAAACACGACUCAAAGAAUUUGACAUGAUGCUGCUACUCUAUUCUUCGAAGACGUUCCAGAAAAAAGAGGAACAAAGAAAUAGUCUUGUUCAUCACGUGGGAGUCUGCUCACAUGAAGGAAAAGUAAGGUCGAUUGAAAUUAAAAGUCCCAUUGGAACUUGGAGACUUUUAAAAGUCAAACAAAGAAAAGUAUAAAGCUUGCUGUCAUAUUGGUCAUAAGUUUAAGGCCUAGUUUGGGAGUGAGGUGCUUAAAAAAAAAGCACCCAUGAAAAAAAGCUGUGAGGGUUUUAGGUGUUUGGUAAACUGAAAAAAAAAAGGGCUUAUUUUGGAAGCUGCUGUGAGAAUAAGCUGAAAUCAAAGGAAAAAGUUGAAGUUUCUAUUUGCAGCUUUGGAAAACUGGUUUUUUUUCAAACCACACGGAGCUACAGUGCUCCUUUAAUGAAAAGACCCACUAUUAGACUGCUUUUUUUUUUCAAAAGCACUUUUACAAAAAAGUUUACCAAACGCUCUGCUGAUUUAUUUCACAGCCGCUUAUUCUCACAACAGCUUUUUUUCAAAGCACAGCAAUACCAAAUGAGCCCUAAGUCAGAUGAGUUCGAAGUCCCAUGUUUAAAUGGGUUUUGAAAAGUUCAAGGAAGAAUAUAAAAAGGGGAGGGGAAAUGCUAACUGAAAUCAGCACCUCACAUGGAAAGUUGCUCACGUGGGGGUUAAUAAAGUUAUGGGAGUUCUUUAUGGUAAUUUAACUUGUGCCAUUUCAAAUUGGAUCCCAUCCUCUUCGAACCAUUAAGGAGACAUACGGCAGUGACAAAAGAAAAAUAAAGAAAGAAGAAAAACAAGGGACUUAAAGCCUGAGAAGGCAUUGGUAAAAGAAAAAGGAGCCCUGACACUUGCUUUUAUAUUUUCCAUAUGAAAGUAAGCAUUUUUUGUGCUGCCAUGCAAAAGAUAGAAGGCAACAAUAGAGUAACGGGCUUGUAGGAAAAAUAAAAUGGGUUCCAAGACAAAAUAAAUGAAAAGGAAGACAAAGUCAAAUACCAAAGUAAAAGUGGGUUCAUCACAAAUAUUCCCCUUAAAUUUUACAAGACACAAAUGGCACAAAGCUGCGAUCAAUCUAAAAAAUAAAUGAACUACGCCGGUUUGAUUCCGUUAAGGAUACGUAGGCAGUCUGAUAUCAAAAUUUUAGACGCAACCGUGAAGCUGAAACGAAUCUCUGGUUUAUAUAAACUAAAUUCACUCCUACUAUCAAAUACCAAAAUGGCACGAAGCCAAAGAAAAGUUUCAAAGGGCAUCAAAUCUCGAGUGGCACGACGCCGAAGAAAAGUCUCAAAUGGCAUGAAGCCAUAUCAAAUUUUCAAAUGCUUCUCGCCCGCAUGAGCUAAAACUGCAUAAGGCACCAUUUGCUCCAAUGGCUUAAAGUCCUCGCCCGCAUGAGCUAAAACUGCACAAGGCAUUAAUGCUCCAAUGGCUUAAAGUCCUUGCCUGAUGAGCUAAAACUGCAUAAGGCAUUAAUGCUCCAAUGGCUUAAAGUCCUUGCCUGCUCCAAUGGCUUAAAGUCCUUGCCUGCAUGAGCUAAAACUGCACAAGGCAUUAACACUCCAAUGGCUUAAAGUCCUCGCCUGCACGAGUUUAAACUGCAUGAGGCUUAAAGUCCUCGCCUGCACGAGUUUAAACUGCAUGAGGCAUUUAACACUCCAAUGGCUUACAGUCCUCGCCUGCACGAGUUUAAACUGCAUGAGGCAUUAAAUGCUCCAACGACUUAAAGUCCUCGUCUGCAUGAGCUAAAAUUGCACAAGGCAUCAAAUGCUCCAAUGGCUUAAAGUCCUUGCCUGCAUGAGCUAAAACUGCACAAGGCAUUAUUGCUCCAAUGGCUCAAAGUCCUCGCCCACACGAGCUAAAACUGCAACAAGGCAUCAAAACCAAACAAGUACUAAAUACCAAGGAACUACGAGUGACUUGAUCCCUCAACGAGGGUACCUAGGCAAUCUAGGGCUCUACCUAGGUUCUGUCACAAAAUCAAAUAAACAUCCAAAUCCCCAAGUUACGAUUUAUUCAUAUUAGAAUCAAAAGGGUAUUCUUUUCCCAAAUGAAGGAUUGUAAUUAAUAGGCGCGUAGCCUAGAAUGGGUCGAACUUGAAUUAAUAAAACCUUCUUCAAGAAAUGAACAAGGGUGAAAUUGUGUCGAGUGAAUUAUUUGUUUACAUAUUGUGUACAAUUUUUGCUCAACAGAUACCGUUCCUUAUGAGUAGGAACUUGAUAUGGAAAUAAGCCCAGAUGAUGAUUCUGCUCAAUCGUAGUAUCAACAGGUUUGCAAUCUAACAUACCUAUUUCAGCUAACAAAUCAAGAACAUAAUUCCGUUGAGGCAGAAAAAUGCUUGGAUCGUGCAACCUCGAUUCCAAGAAAAUACUUCAAUUCACCCAAUUCUUUCAUCUCAAAUUCAGUAGCUAGGUACUUUUGAAGGCAUUGUAUCUCCUUCUGAUCAUCACCAGUCACUAUCAUGUCAUCAACAUAAAUAAUCAAUACAGUUAGCAUACCAUUUUGUCGCUUUAGAAACAAAGUAUGAUAUGAAUGACUCUGGAUAUACCCAAACUUCUUCAUUGAACUUGUAAACCUCCCAAACCACGCUCUAGGAGAUUGUUUCAAACUAUACAAAGCCUUUCGUAACUUGCAUACAACACCUUUUCCAGGAGAUGUUCCAAUACCAGGUGGGAGAUCCAUAUAAACUUCCUCCUUAAGAUCACCAUGAAGGAAAUCAUUCUUAACAUCAAACUGCAACAGAGGCCAAUCCUGGUUUACUGCUAAGAACAGAAGAACACGCACAAUAUUUAGUUUGGCAACAUGAGCAAAAGUCUCCCAAUAGUCCACCCCAUAGGUUUGAGUAUAACCCUUAGCAACUAAUCUGGCUUUAUACCGGUCAAUAGAACCAUAUGCUUUGUGCUUAAUAGUAAACACUCAUAUACAUCCAACGAGUUUCUUCCCGUUUGGUAAAGGAACCAAAUCCCAAGUAGAAUUCUUUUCCCAAGCUUCCAUCUCAACUUUCAUGGCAUUAACCCACUUAGGGUCAGACAAAGCAUCUUGCAAUUUUGUUGGAAUUGAUACACUAGAUAGCUGACAUAUGUAAAAUGCAUAUGGUUUGGACAAACGAUGAGUAGACACAUAAUUGUUGAUAGGAUAUUUGGCUUUGGCAUGCAUAUCAGGCUCAUAUUGUACUUUAGGUUUUCCACGAUUAGCUCGUGGAGGCAACUGAUAAGUAGAAGAAUCGUCAGAAUUUACCUCAUGUAUGCCACCAUCUUGUACCAAACUGUUAGAAGAAUCAUCACUAGACGAACCAUCAUCAGGCAACUCGUUAGACAUACCAGCAGCAAGCAAUUGAUCAUCAGAAGGUAAUUCAUCAGACAUACUAACAGGCAACUUGCUGGGCACAUCUAAUCUGUCGUCAGUAGAAAUAGUUCCGGGAAUGACAGGUGACUAAUCACUAUCUGUAGCCGACUGAUCAGUAUCACGCAACAUAAUAGGUUCUGUUUCCAACUCUGCCUGUAACACAUCAUCCAUAUCAUCUCUUCGAAUUUGCACUUCACUCCCUUUUUCCCCCUGAAGUGGAGAGUUAGAAGAAGGCUUCACAAAAUACAAAACUUCCUUGUGGAAUGUAACAUCCAUGGUAAUAUAAGUUUUUUGAUUCGGAGGAUGAUAAAACUUAUAGUCUUUUUUAUUGUUAGCAUACUCAAUAAAGACACAUCGGAGAGCACAUGCAUCAAGUUUACUCUGUUGAUGAGAGUAGACAUGCACAUACGCAAUACACCCAAACACUUUUGGAGGAAGCUUUGAUACAUAAACAAGAGAAACAUGUUUUUGUAGCACAUCAAGCGGUGUCUGAAAAUCAAGAACCCUACUUAGAAUAGAUUGAUCAAAUACACAGCAGCCAAAACAGCAUGACCCCACAAAUGAUUGGGAACACAUUUAUCCAACAUCAAGGAGUGAGCAACCUCCAUUAUUUGACGAUUCUUCCGUUCGGACACACCAUUUUGUUAGGGUGUAAACAGAGUAGUCGUCUGGUGAAUAAUACCAUGAUCACGAAAAAAGCAUGCCAAAGUGUGAUUCACAUAUUCUUCUCCGUUAUCAGACCUGAAGACCUUAAUUUUGGUUUGAAACUGAGUAGACACCAUUGUACAAAAUUCUUGAAGAAGUAACGGAACAUCACUCUUAUUCUUCAUAAAAAACACUCAAGUUAACCGAGUACAAUCAUCAAUAAAAGUAACAAACCAACGGAAUCCAUUAGAAGUAAAUUUCGCAGGACCCCACACAUCAGAAUGUAUCAAAUCAAAUGGCAAAGUAGCUUCAGAAUCACUUACGGGAAAGGAAGCACGAUGACUUUUAGCCAUGACACAUGGUUUCACACUUGAACUUUGAAUCACUACAAGUGCGAAACAAAGGAGGAAAUAGAUGCUUCAUAUAACUGAAUGAUAGAUGUCUCAAUCGUUGAUGCCACAACCAAAUUUGAUGUCUGUCAUCCAUUUUAGCACUUAAAACUUGAUAAUUAUUUGAACCGGAAAUAAUAGUAUCCUCCAUAGUCAAGAUGUACAAACCCCUUAUUCUUUUACCAUAACCAAUUAUCUUCUGAGUUUGAAUGUCUUGAAAAUAACAAUACGUAGGGUAGAAAUGAGUAGAACAAUAUAAGGUAUCAAGAAGUUUUCCUACCGACAAAAGAUUGCACUUAACAUCAGGAACAAGUAAAGCACGGACCAGUGAUCAGGUCAAAGUCAGAGAGAUAGUGUCUUCACCCUUCACAGGGGAAGGUGCUCCAUUUGCACUAGUAAUAUACGGAUUACGAACAUAGUCACAUAACUCAUCAAACACUCUAGGGUCACUAGUCACAUGAUCAGUGGCCCCAGUAUCAAUUAUCCAUUUAUUUGUUCCACCAAGAUGCAUAACAACACUAUGAUUAUAUUGAGUCAUUGAACUAAAUCACGAACAAUAAAGGCACAAAAAAUACGCAGCGGAAUAAAAAUAAUUUACCAGAACACUGUAGCAAUCACUGUUCACUGCAAUGUAGUAGAUACUAUUCACGACUGUAGAGGAUCACUGUUUACGACACUGUAGAGGAUCACUGUUCACGCAAUGUAGCAAAGCGUUGUACUAUAACGCGACACUAUUCAAUUUUUUUUUUCAACGAAGGAAAUCGCGAAAAAAGUGGACACAAAAUUAAAGCACACAGGUCAUCAAGAGCGAACUGCUAUGAUGCCAUAUUAAAACUAAACACGGUAAAUACCAAAAAUAUACAUGACAAUAUUGGGAAUUUCUUCUAUAUUCAUUCAUCUCCAAAGUGGAGUAUAUAUAGAAGUUACAAUUAGUAUUACAUAUGUACUUCACCAAUGAGACAAUAAACUACUAUUUACACUUUAACUAAUAUAUAACUCGCAAAACCAUAUUGGUUCAUAUUUGAGCUCUUUCAGCGGAUUAACACUGUUGUCAGCGAAUAAAGGAGUUUAAUCCAACAGUUUACAAUAAGACGGGCAAAUCUUCCCGUUGUUUAUUUUCCCAUUUCUUCUUAAUUUUUUGUUUUUGCUCCAAUCUUUCUUUAUUUUUUUUUUUCUUAUGUUUUUGCUCCAAUCUUUCUUUAUCACAUAACCGUAGCUACUUUCUGGUUAAAUUCUUUUUUUUUUCUUAAAAAUAAAUUAAAAGCUACUUAAUACUAGGGUAUAGUAAUAUUCAUCUUUACUUAUAAGUGAAAUAUGUCUUAUAUUCGAUUUUCGUCACUUAGCCGUCUUCUCACUUCUUAAUAUAGAUAAUAUCGUCUGUUCAAAACAUAAAAAAGUAAAUUAAAACACUAAAAUUAAAUAAUAAAAAAAAUAAAUAGAAACCCAACCCUCGUCAAUUUCCUUACCCCAGUGUGAGAUUUGUCCAAACGUUAGAUAAUUUGGGUUGGGUGAGGUGGGUUGGGGUCGCUUCUCAUCUAUUCAUUCACCCCUUCACAUCUGUGCAUCCACCCCAAUUUAGAUGAUUUGGGAUCUUGGAUUAGCAAUAUUUUUCAAAUAACAGAGAGGAGACUGGAGAGAGAAAGAGGGGGGAGGAGUAAGGAAGAGCGAGAGACAAUGGGACGGUUAGAUUUUGGAAUUGCUAUGACAUAAAAAUAUUAAUAAUGAUAAAAGUUAAUUAGAGUUAUGUGAGAGGACACGUGUCAAGCUGAAGUUGUGUUGGUAACAUACACUAGGGUUAAGUUUGGGCAAUUUUGCUCAUCACCACUCUAUUUAUCAUUGUUAAAUGAGUUUAAAUUUUGAAAUUUGUAUCUAUCCAUAGUAGAAUAUCAGGGUACACAUAACAAACAUACGAACAAACAGAUUAUAAAUUACGAAUAUUAUUUGAUUAAUGAAAAAACAAAGAAAUAGGAUUGACAAGACGACUACACUUAAAGACUACAUUUUAAUCAACUUAUUAUCAUACUAAAUUACAAGCUAUAUGUAUAGAGAACAAAACCUAAGAAACCCUAAUUUGAAUGAGCUAAGCCCAAAUCUUAAAUUAACAAGCAAACCCAAAUAAUUAAAUAACUAAUUUUUCAACACCCCGGUCAAACUCAUGGUGGUACACGACAUGAGUUUGCCAACAAGAAAAUGUCGAUGCAGGCUUCGCUAGGUGGACAAGCAGGCAAGCAAGCAAGCUUGGCUACGCUGGACUUGACUUGACUUGCGAAUUAGCAAACUGAUUAUGUUUCAGACAUGCAUGAGGGUAUGGAAAGAAAGCAUAUGAGUGCUCCCCAUCAUUAAACGAACGAGAUUUUCAUAUCCCAAUUACAGCAAUGGACGGACAAAAAGAAUACUAUCACUUAAGUGGUCACAAGUCCAAAACAGUCGCAAAAUUCCCAUACAGGCCAACAACUCGUGUGGGCCUCAAAGACUUCAAACAAAAUCAAACAGCCCAUUUCUUUUUGCCCUUUCCUCAACCAAAUUCGUGGGCCUCAAACAUACCGCCACUUUUUCUCCUUUUUCUUUUCCUUUUUCUCUCUUUUUCUUUUUCUUUUUCUUUUUUACAGAUCUCUAUAAUUGUUGCCCCAACACGACAAUUUUGUUAAUUCUUAUUAAUGAAGAGGAUUUUUCAAUCUUUCUUUGUUUCGUGCAGUUUGAAUUUGCCUGUGUUCAAAUCUGAACUGAAUCAUUUCUUUUUUAAACAACUGGUGUCGGGAGAGGGGGCCUCUGCAGGCUUUUAUCAACUUUGAGUUACAAGUCCAUUGAAAAUUAAUAAUUGAUUUGUCUCUUUAAGGAAGAAAGGCCAUAGAAAAUUAAUAACUGAAUUAUCUGUUAAUUUAAUUAUUAUAAUAACUGAUUUGUCUUUUUUUUUUUAAAUUUUUUUAAAUGAUUUGCAAGAGUAGAAUUUGAGCUAAGUCACACGCUAUAAUUUCACACCGAACGAAAAUCGAAUCUAAGACCUUCUUUUUUAUAAGUGGAGAAAUUUAUAAUUGAAUCUUUAGAUUUUGCAUUAUAGUCACUCUAUAGUGACUCUUUUAUGACUACAAAAAAUGAUUACUCAAUUUUCGUGGGAAACGCGAAUUAUACACGUACCUUGAGUACUUUUUGGAAAAGCCAUGUAUAAUUUGUCUGCUGACUUUUAUUGGUAAAUAUCUCAUGUAAAUGUUGGUUUGUUUGGGCUUCCCCACCCUCAUUUACCCCAAAAAAAAGAAAAAAAAAAAAAAAAAAAACAAAAGACUAGUCCUUCUUGAGCUUCUCUGGUAGCAUGAUCAUCUCCCACAUCCUCUUCUUCAUCAACUCUUAAGACCGACGCCCAUUCAGAUCCUUGGAAGUUUGAACAUGGUGAAGAGGAACUAUAGUUAUCCACUUGAGUUUGCGAGUUAGCAAAAUUCGAUUUGUGAAAUCGUCCAUUUCAAGUGUCUUUUUGAAGAAACUAGUUGGGACUUUCAUCCAACAGCUUGCCGGCUGAAAGAAAACUCGCAGCUUUCGACAUCUUACAAUACACAACUCUGGUGUGUGCGAGGUACCUCCAAGCUCCCCUCUUGUGAAAACAUACAUCUGCUUGUAUUAUUAGCUUUCAAUUGAAAUCUUCAUGGCCGAUGAGUCAAUGCAUUGGCUUUGGAUCCUCUUGCUUUCUUAUCUUUAUUUUUCUUUUUAAUAUUGUCCUAUGAAAUUUGUUUUGAGUCUCUAACUCACACUUAAAGCACCGCCGUUACACUGAAAAUUUUCUCUAAACUAGUGGGUCAUUCUCUUUUGUUUAUGAAAAAAAAUCAUGAACUUAUCCAAUAAAUUCCACAUAUCAUCCCUUAUUGACAUAACUAGAUUCAAGUGCUACAUUUUAUAAUUACACAUUAGUUGGUUUUUAGUUUUUUAUUCCAGUUCUUUGAAUUUUGAUUAAACGCUUUAACUUUACAUGUGUUCUUUUCUUAAUUUUUAACUCAAUAUGUUAUAUAAAUUUAAAGAAUAUAAAUAUGAGUCUCUAAAUUCUUGGAAAUUGUUUUGCAAGACUUUAAUUUAUUUUUUUUUCAGAAACGUGAACUAAAUCCAUUCAUGAAAAAAGAUCCAGUCCUUUUCUUUUUUUCUUCUCAAAAUAAAUAUGAGUCAUUAUUUUAAUAAUUAAUUUAUUAAAAAUUGAUAAAAUAUAUUUUUGUAUAAAGUUUUAAUAUGAAUUUCUUUUAGGGUUGUCAUUAGCUUUUUACGUACCAACGCCUUCAAACUUAAGCCACAGCCCACUCCCAGUCCAAAUCCAUAAACCCAGCCACUUUAAUUGUUUUCAGAAGAGUGGCAGUUUCUUAAAUAAAGUGAAAUGCAGCAAAAGUCACUGUAGCUUAUGAACAAUGCCAAGGGAAAUUUCCCUAGUGCCAAUUCUUCCCCAAUUUAGACUAUAUAGUAAUAUGAAAAAUUCCAUCUCCAAUCAGACUUUCAUUCUUAAUACAAGUUAGCAUACUUACUAGAAACACCAAUUAUUAUUAUUUUUUUUUUUUUUUCUGGGUAAUACUAAAGACAUCAACUUAUUAGUUUUAGGAAAACUAAUGAAAAUGACUUGAAAACUUUGAGUUUUAAUAAUAAGGACAAAAUAAAGGGUAAAAUGAAUAGUACCAGGUUUGACUUUUUAGUGUAAAAAUGUGGUUUUUCGUUAAAGUAAACAGUACCAUGGAUUUUUCGUUAAAACUACCAUUAGUUUUUGCAUCAAUUUUUUAAAUCCCAAAUUUCGUGGCAAUGUUUCAACGCAUUUUCUGUUCACAUUUUACAACAAAUAAGAAUUUGCAUUGUGACUUGUUAACAAUUAACUGGUGUCUCUUGCACUAUUAUUAUGUUUAUCAUUUCUUACAUACUUCCAAAAUUAGACAUGUAAUAUGAUUUGCAUCUCAGUGUUAAAUCAGAUGUGUUUGGCAGCUGGAGAAUAUAUUCUCAAUUUGCAUUCCAAUUUGUAUAUAAUAACUUUUGUUCAUGCAUGCACUGCAACAGAUGGACACUAUUCAAUAGCUACGAUGAGCACCGAGCAGCAGAAUGCUUCUUCGUCCUCUUACCGGUGCACAUAUGAUGCAUUCUUAAGUUUCAGAGGUGCAGAUACACGCAAGGGUUUUGCAGAUCACCUCUACAGUGCUUUGGAGUUGGCAGGAAUCCACACUUUUAGAGAUGAUGAUGAAAUUGAGGGAGGAGCAAACAUCGAACAGGAGCUACAGACAGCAAUACAAGAGUCACGAGUAUCAGUCAUUGUUUUCUCCACGGACUACGCCUCUUCCACGUGGUGCCUGAAUGAACUUGCUAUCAUCAUGGAACGUACAAAAACAGAUGGACACAAGGUUGUGCCAGUUUUCUAUGACGUGGAACCAUCAGAUGUCAGGAAACAGACGGGCAGUUUUGCAGACUCAUUUACCAGACAUGAAGAGCGCUUCAAGGACAAGAUGGACAAGGUGGAGGAGUGGAGACGAGCUCUUAGAGAAGUAACAGACCUGGGAGGGAUGGUUUUAGGAGAACGGUAAUUUGUCAUUCCCUCCCUAUAUUCAGUCAAGUAGAUCAGAUGCUAGUCUCAAGCUUGUGAAAGUUUUAGCUUUUCUUUUUAAAUAAAAAAAAUUAAAUAAAUAACUUGUUCGUGUUUUUUCUUUUCGUCUGAUAUAUUUUUAUAUCAAUAACAUAUAGGUACGAGUCGCAGUUUAUCCAAGAUAUUGUUGAAGCUGUUGGAAAUAAACUGGACUACAUGAACAUGUGGAAAAGGAGAUUAAGAGUUGAUCCCUAUGUAAUUGGAAGAGAUUAUUAUGUGGAAAGCCUGAACACCUGGCUAGAAGAUGGAUCAAAUGAUGUUGGAGUAGCUGUCAUCCAUGGAAUGGGUGGAAUAGGCAAGACCACCAUUGCUAAAAUUGCUUAUAACCAGAACUUCUCUAAAUUUCAAGCUAGCAGCUUUCUUUCAGAUAUCAGGGAAACUUCCAAACAAGCGAAUGGUUUUGUUCACUUGCAGAGGAACCUUCUUUCAGAUAUCCAAAAGAGGAAAGUGAACAACAUAUACAGCCAUGAUGAAGGUAUAAUAAAGAUCAAACGGGCUGUACGUUGCAAAAGAGUUCUUAUUGUUCUCGAUGAUGUUGAGAACUUGGAACAGUUCAAUGUGAUUCUUGGAAUGCGAGACUGGCUCCAUCCUGGAAGUAAAAUUAUCAUAACAACUAGACAUGAACAUUUGUUAAGGGCUGAAGUUUGUGUAAGGUUUAAGGUUGAAGGAUUACCUGAGCAUCAAUCACUUAAGCUUUUCAGUUGGCAUGCCUUUGGACAACCCCAUCCUCAAGAAGGUUACAUGGAGCUUUCAAGACCUGUAGUAGAACAUUGUGGAGGGGUUCCAUUAGCUCUUCAAGUUCUGGGAUCUUCUCUAUUUGGAAAAACAGUAGAUGUAUGGAAAAAUGCAUUACACAACCUAGACGUGAUUACUGAGGGAAAAAUUCAAAAGAUUCUUGGCAUAAGUUUUCAUUCUUUACAAGAUCAUGAUAAACGUUUAUUCCUCCACAUAGCCUGUUUCUUCGUAGGGAAGGACAAGGAUUUUACAACUACAAUCCUUGACGAAUGUGAUUUUGCCACAGAGGUUGGACUUCAACAUCUGGUUGAUAGAUGCCUUGUGGAAAUUAAUGUCCACAACAAGUUAAUCGUGCAUCAAUUACUUCAAGACAUGGGAAGGGCAAUAAUUCAUGAAGAAUCACCUGAGGACCCUGGAAAACGCACUAGACUGUGGCAUAAAGAUGCAUUUAACGUUUUGACAAAAUUAACGCACUACAAGAAAAAGGCCUUUUUGCGACACAUUUUUUGCGUCAAAUUACACUAUCGUCGCAAAUAAAAGGAAAUUAGCGCGGUAUUUGUUAGCGCGAAAAUAUUUGCGACACCACUAUAAGUAACGUCGCUAAUAAUGUCGCAAAUAGAAAUAUAUGUCGUCUUAAACAGAUUGUUUGCGACGCCCCUAACGACGGAUAGAGUUUGAGCGGGAACAAAUUGGCGCUUAGGGUUUGAGCGCGCGCACUCCUUUUUUCUUUUUCCCAACGCAGCCUUAGUGCUCUCCCUCAACCGUUUCUGUUUCCUUUUCCUUUUCUCUCAGAGAUUCAAUCGAAAAUUCUGGAGUUGUAUCAGAGUUACGGAGCACAAUCAGAGUUCAGGUAAGCCACUACAACCAUCUCCAUCUUCUUUCUUUUUUGAUUCCAUAAGUCUUGCUAAGUGAUUUAUAGGGUUUCUGUCAAAGGCGCACAUAUCUGCUAAAUGUCUUCCAAAACCUAGGGUCUUUGGCAUCCGGGAUUGGGAUGUCUUUCUUUUUUCCACCCAUUCUGCUCAGAAUCGGUUUGAUCAUCUUCCUCAGUACCUUGUUAAACCCCAACCCACGUCUUUGAUUGCUAAGUGAUUCCAUAAGUCUUGCUUAGUUCUCUCCCUCAGCCUUAGUUUUCUCCCUCAACCGUUUCCGGUUCCAAUUAUUAGUUUGGACUGGACAACGCCUGCGUUUUGGGCUGCAGGUUUUCUUAAUAUGUUUACAGCACAAACAGAAAAUUUUAGUUAAAAACAAACCCUGUUUUCUUAAUAUGUUUACAGCACAAAUAGUAAUUGAUUUUUAGGGGGAUUGUGCUUCUUGAUUUUCUAUGUGCCUUUAUUUUUAAUUCGUGGACAUCUUGCCCAAUUUUUUUUUUUUUUUUUUUUUUUGUAAUUUUGUUGGCAUUUGCAACAAUAUAUUUGGCUUCUUCUUCUUCCUUAAAAAUAUGGUGAAUGAUUAGAGUGUACCUUUUACAGGCGUUGCUUUUCCAUAGAUUGGGAAGAUCUUGGAGAAGGCCCUCGCACAAGGUAAAGUGGAUGAUGUAGGAUUGUUUUUUUGUGUGCUGACUAAAAGUUUACCUUGGAGUAAUCUCUUAUUUGUGACACUCCUUGAAAUUCUGGAUAUAUUUUCUUUGAGUAUCAUAUGCAAAAGUCAAAGUUGCCCAAAGUUCAGAGGAUACAUUGAAUGAAGAAUUGGAUAUGUAUUUCGUAUUUGCUACCCAAGAAUAUGACCGUUUGGAUUGUUAAUUACCCAUUCCUAGCUAGUUCAUGUGUUAGGUAGGUGAAUGAUGGGGAUUAGUAGUGAGUUUAUCUAAUUUUUAAGUGAUAGUUGAUGGCAGACCUAGAGUUUGUCUAAUUACCCAUUCAACUCAUAUUAUAUAAGCCCACCUUUUAAAACUCAAUUGCUUCCCUUUAUUAUUUAUAUUUUUAAUAACUAGUAUUAUCAUUAUGAAUGUUGAGAUAACUCUGUAUGUGUAUCGCCUAUUCCGAGCUCACACAUUAUCAUGCGUUAAUGCAUAUUCUUUUGUGUUAAAGUAGAAUACUGUUUUUGGAAUAGUUUGGAUUGACAACUUAUCUCAUAUUGCUUAGUGUUUAACAUUCUUUUGUAGUUCAAAUAUUUUGGAUUAACUAUAGAGAUCAGAUCAAGGGUGCUUAAUUCUUAGUUCGGUAUGUUUUAUAUCCACCUUUUAAAUAAAUUUUUGAUUAAUUUUACUUACUUUCUUUGUAUUAUUUUCGGAUGACAUUAGGUAUGGACAAGAGUUGGAUAGAUUUAAAUGACAGAUGUCCCUGAUGCAUAUAAAUUUCAUUGCUUAAAGGUUAUUGGCAAUAGAUGGAGGGAUUGGAAGUGUCGGGUUAAGCAAAGAUGGUAUGACGCAUACUUGACCGAUGAACAACGUUUAUCCUUCACUCCUCCUCAAGUCACUACAGAUCAAUGGAAGACACUAGUAAAGUAUUGGGGCCUCCCUAAUAUAAAGGUAAAUUAGGAAAAAUUACAUUUUAAGUUUAUAAUAGUGAUGAAUUAUGGUUGCUUUAAACAUGUGUAGGAAUAUUCUGAGGCAAAUAAGGCUAAUCGUGCACAUGGAGGUGCUCCUCAUCGGACUGGUCGUACUUCAUUUGCUCAAUUGAAACAUGAGGUCAGAACACUAGUUUUGCAGUGAGUAAUAAGUGAUAAUAAUUAACAAUAGGACUAAUACUAAUACAAGCAGGGGAUGUAUAUAUAUAAACCAUGCUGGAAAACUGGAAUGGUAUCAUUUGUACCAGGUCCAAUUUGAAUACGGCAUGAUGGAAAUGCUGGAAAGUUUUUAUUUUCUCCAUUUAACAAUUUUCAUUACUAACUUGAUUAAACAUUGUGUGCUCUUAAGAUGAGAGAGAAGGGAGAGAAAACGGAUCAGUUGAGCAUGUUUAUAAAAACAAGAACAAAGAAAACAAAGAAUGAUGACAGAGACCUUUUCGAUGAGGAAAGUGGCCAAAUUAUUGUAAGUAUCAGUUAGGUUAUAUAUUUUUCACUCAAAGUAAAACUUUGCAUAUUCACAUCGUUUUGAUUAGUUGGGUUGUGCAUUAUUUUUAUCUUUUGGUCAUUUGAAUUGGUUGGGUCAUGUUUUGUAGAAUCAAUUUAAUCAAUGCUUGGAAGAAAGGGAAGAGCAUGAGCAAGACGAGGAUUAUCGAGAGGAGGUGUUUACUAGAGUUAUGGGACCUGAUGCAUAUGGACGUGUUCGCAUGUAUAGAACAGGUAUAACUCCAUCUCAAGUGUUUUGUCAAAGUUCAAGAUCUUCCAAUGUUAAUGAGGACACCAUACGAGAAGAGGUAGAAAGACAAUACAAGACUAAGAUAGAUGAUCUUAAGGCUAAGCAUGAAUCUGAAAUUGAAGAUCUCCGAUCCAAGUAUAGUGAAGUCAGUUCGAAACUCCAUCUUGUGACGACUCAUAUUGGUUUCCAUGUUAACACAUCACCAAGUGGAAGUGGACAGGUAUAUACAUUCGAAUGUGAUUUUGUUCUCUUUUCAAUUUAUUAGAAUAAAUUAGUGUGAAAAUUUGAGCAAUUUUGAUUUCUAUUUGUCGUGUUGGUGUUAAAUAUAGGCUCCAAAUACAUCAAGCCAUCUACAAGAAACAUAUGGGAGUAAUGAGCAACAACCUCAGUUAGACCCAGAACCAUAGAAACAAUUGCUUCAUAAAAGGUUUGUAAAGAAAACAUUAUACUAAAGAUUAAACUUUUAAUUGACACAUGUUAUUGAUGGCUGUGUAAUUCUUAUUUUUCAGGUUUGCAUGGAGAUUGUGAUGAAGAGUCUUGAUCAUAAUUAAACUCUUGAAUAUGUUGGAGCAUAUUUGAAAAAAAAAAUUAUGUUCAUAACUUUUGAGACGAGAUUAUUUAUAUUUGACUCUAGUAGGAUUAUAUGUAUUGGGAUAUGCGGAUGGUGUACUUUCAAUGUUAUUAGGAAUUCUAAAAGCAUAGUUCUUUGAUUCAUAUAUUAUUUUACUUUUGAACUUGGGAUGAUUGUGAAUAAGAUUAUAAAUUGCAACCUAAUCUUUCAUUGAACAAAUAUCAUUUCCAACCAUUUUGUAUUUAUAACAAAAAAAAUUGUAGGGAUAAAAGCAUUUACGACGUGUCAAACAUGUCCCAAAUAUUUUGUUUAAUUCCACCAUCAAAGCCGUUGCGACGCUAACUAUUGUGUCGCAAAGCUGUCGUAAAAGAACUUCGCGGCGCUUGAAAUGUGUCGCAAUAAGUUGUGAAAACUUUUGCGACAUGGGUUUGUUGCGACGCAAUCACAAGUGUCGCAUGAGCGUCGUUAAAACGCAUAAACGACGCUUUCAUGACUUAACACGACGAGUUUUUAGCGUCGUAUUUAGCAAGUUUUUUUGUAGUGACGGUAAGAAACAUGAAUUUUAUGUGUAUAUAUUUGCAAUGGUGUUCUACAUGGUAACUUAUCCAAUGUUAUUAUUUGUUAGCAGGGUACGAGAACUAUCAAGGGCCUCAUGCUCCACUUUCUCCCAUCAGAUUCAUCUCCGGUAAAUGAGGUAGGUUUCAAAACAAAGGCAUUCACAGAGAUGCUCCAUCUUGAACUACUUCUGCUUGAUAAUGUAAAGUUGAGUGGUGUGGAGCCAAAAAUAUUCACAAAGCGACACGUGGGUUUUUGGACAAAAAGGACAAAAAUACCCUCGAGGCAUACCGGGUCUCCUACACGCGAGCAGUGGAGAAUCAUCCAUCAACCAAGUCAGAAGUACCCAAAAUGGGUAACAAUUCAAAACCUAUUUCAUAUAUGUUUUUACCUCAUUGUUUCCUUAUUCAAUUAGCCAUUUAUUUCAAACAUUCCAUAACAUCCUCAACCAAUUAAUAUAAUCAAUAUAUUAAAGGCUAAUUACAUCACCAAAUCACCCCAAAAUCACACCAAGGGCCGGCCAUUCCCAUCCAAAAAGAGCCUAUCAUAUUCUCUACCUUUUCCACUAUUUUCCCUUUUUAAUUACACUAAUUAGCUAGCCAAUUAAACCCAUAACCAUCAAAACAUUCCUUUAUGUUUAAAUUAGCCAAUUAAUCAUAAUAAAUUGGCUAAUUAAACCUAAAUUAAACCUAAAAACCCUAGCCACCUCUUAACUCUAUAAAUAGGCACCUAUUCUCACCAAAAAAUCAAGUCCAACACUUUGGCAAAAAUCCCAAAAUUCUCUAAACACUCUUUCUCUCUAAAUUCUAACUUUGGCAUCGGAGGUUCUUCGGCCAAAGCCCCCCCCCCAUUCAUCGUGGGCGCGUGAGGCUCUUGGCCUUAACCUAAGGUGUUAAUUAUUUUGUAGGUGCAAAAUCGUCCAAAAUCGAGGAGGAAGAAAUUUGCAUCCACAAGUGGAAGCUAUGAAGAUUUUCCAAAAAAAUUAAUAUGGUUGUCUUGGAGAGGAUUGUCUUUAAAAUCAAUACCAGCCAAUUUUUGUUUGGAAAAUCUAGUUGCUCUUGACUUACGGAAGAGCAGUCUGCAACGUGUUUGGAAAGGAACAGGGUAUGUUCUAAUCUCUCUCACUCUCGCUCUCUCUCUAUCUUUCUCUCUCUAUCUCUCUCUCUCUCUCUCACUCCCAGUGUAUUAAAAGCGUGAGGCGUGGGCGAGGCGUCCGAGGGGAAGCCCGGCCUAGGCGUGAGGCAAAGCCUCACGGGACCUAAAUUUUUUAAUAUAUACACUGAGCGUACACAUAUAUUAUAUUAAAAAUAAGAAAAUUAUUAAUCAAUAAUCACCCUGAGCACACACAUAUAUUAUAAAUAUAUAUAUAUACACACAUAUAUAUACAUAUAUUAUAUUAUAUAUGCAUAAAAUAGAGGAUGAAAAGCACAAUGAGCACAUAUAUAACAAUGCACGCAAACAACACACAUCCAUUAUAUAAAAAAUAAAAAUCAGAAAAAAGGCAUAGAGACAAAAGUGCAAGGAAGAGGUAUGAGGCAGUUAAAAUCCUACCCAAAAUUUGGGUUUGGGAGUAAAGACAAGACAAAAAAAAAAAAAAAAAAAACUCACUGAGGCGUGCCUAGGCGGCUCCGGCGAAGCCUUUCGCCCACUCCAACAAAACUGAGGCGUUAGCCAUGGCGCCCAGCCUCAAGGGCGCCCUAGGCGCGCCUCGAGGCGAGUUUUUUAAAACAUUGCUCAAUACACACAAAUAAAAAUAAAUUUUAGUGAAAUUAGACUCUGUAUUCAUAGCAACUAAUGACUUCUCUUUGAUACAGUUUCUUACAAGAUUGAAAAUUCUUAAUCUCAGUCAUUCACAUGGCCUUUGGACAACAUCUGACUUGUCCGGACUCCCUAACCUUGAGAAACUAAUUCUUAAGGAUUGCAUUAAUUUGGUUGAUGUUGAUGAAUCCAUUGGAAACUUGGGGAAACUUGUUUUCUUGAAUCUAAAAGACUGCAAAAGUCUUAUGAAGCUUCCAAAAAGAAUGAACAUGAUGAGGUCUCUUGGGGAACUUAUUCUUACUGGUUGCUCAAAGCUUGUGCUUCAUGAUAGUGCCAUGGUUAUUUAUAUACACACUACAUCAAGGGACAUGAAUAAACUUAGACUGUUGUCAACUAUAUCAUGGACACCAAUCAGGUCUUGGUGGAUGUGGGCAUGGCCAAGAAAGACUCUUCAAUCAACCAGUUUCUCACUAGCAAGUUUACCACAUUGUUUGGGAAGCUUAAGUCUGUCUUACUGCAACGUGUCGGAGGUUCCCAAUGAUUUAUGUACACUAUCUUCCUUGAAAUAUUUGAAUCUAAUUGGUAACUCAAUUUUGUGCCUACCACCAAACAUGAAGAGUCUUAUUAUGCUCGAGACUCUUUUGUUAGAUAAAUCCAUAAACCUUGAAAUACUUCCAGAGCUGCCCCCAAGGUUGAAGAGGUUGGAAGCAAAAUAUUGUACAUCAUUGAAAAGAUUAACAAAUUUACCAUUGUUCGGAUCAUUAGAAUCACUGUUUUGGGGUUGCGAGCAAUUAGUUGAAGUUGAAAGCUUGUUGAAUAUAAAACCGUCGAGAAGCACUGACAUAGAAAUGAGAAGAUAUAUGGGCCCGUUCAAUUUGAAAUCCAUAACAAGCACUGAUGUUGAAAUGAUCAACUACUUGACCAGUACAACUAGGAAGGUUCCUGUCCAGGUCUUUCUCUCUGUCUCCUCUCUCAUGUAUAGUUGUUCUAAUUAUUAUAUCUAUGAACUAGUUGGGUCUAACUGUUUGAAUAAUUAAAUUUGAAUUGUGCAAUCUUGAUGAAGCAGGGAGUCUAUGAAUGUGGCGUAUAUAGCAUUUUCCUUCCUGGAAGCAAGAUUCCAGAUGGAUUUGGCUUCACAACAAUAUAUGGAUCAGCGCUGUCGGCUAUUGCAUCUUCACAUCCUAAUCUCAAAAUCCAAGCCUUGAAUGUAUGUGUUUUAUAUGCAAUAGAACCGGGCUUGGCAAUUGAUGACUAUCUUGUUAGUGCUCAGCAUUUAAUUAAAGUCAGUAAUCAGACCAAGGGUCUUAUGUGGACCUAUUCCUCAGUCACAGUAGGUUUUCCAACUGAGAAGGAAGAUAUGUUAUGGCUAAGCCAUUUUCAAAUUGGGAACAAUGAAUUGGAGUAUGGGGACCAAAUACGUGUUUCGGUGGAGAUGCAUGAUUUUUGGAUAAAGGAGUUCGGAAUCCAGCUUGUGUACGAGCAGGAAAAAGACCUCCUUCUAGCCAGAAUAAUGUUGUUGCUGGAGAUGUGUCAAUGUCAGCAUCAGAGUACCAAACGUGGACAGGAUCAUACUUUCUCAGUAAUCAUAGGCGCCGUACUCAUCAAACUCAAUUCCGAAAGAGACAGAAGAAUCCAGCACAUAUUGAAUUUUCGUUUGAGCCAAAGCAUUAGCUUCAUACUUAUUCAAGGCCCAAAGACAACAACAACAACAACAACAACAACAACAAAGCCUUUUCCCACCAAGUGGGGUCGGCUAUAUGAAUCCUAGAACGCCAUUGCGCUCGGUUUUGUGUCAUGUCCUCCGUUAGAUCCAAGUACUAAAAGUCUUUUCUUAGAGUCUCUUCCAAAGUUUUCCUAGGUCUUCCUCUACCCCUUCGGCCCUGAACCUCUGUCCCGUAGUCACAUCUUCGAACCGGAGCGUCAGUCGGCCUUCUUUGCACAUGUCCAAAUCACCGGAGCCGAUUUUCUCUCAUCUUUCCUACAAUUUCGGCUACUCCUACUUUACCUCGGAUAUCCUCAUUCCCAAUCUUAUCAUUUCUCGUGUGCCCACAAAUCCCACGAAGCAUCCUCAUCUCCGCUACACCCAUUUUGUGUACGUGUUGAUGCUUCACCACCCAACAUUCUGUGCCAUACAACAUCGCUGGCCUUAUUGUCGUCCUAUAAAAUUUUCCCUUGAGCUUCAAUGGCCUACGACGGUCACACAACACGCCGGAUGCACUCUUUCCAUCCAGCUCGUAUUCUAUGGUUGAGAUCUCCAUCUAAUUCUCCGUUCUCUUGCAAGAUAAAUCCUAGGUAGCGAAAACGAUCGCUUUUUGUGAUCUUCGCUAGAUUGCUCCGGUCAUUAGUGUGGAUAAGUAUAUAAAUGGAUAGAGAUAGGAAAGCAAAUACAAGAUGUACGUGGUUCACCCAGAUUGGCUACGUCCACGGAAUAGAAGAGUUCUCAUUAAUUGUGAAAGGUUUACACAAGUACAUAGGUUCAAGCUCUCCUUUAGUGAGUACAAGUGAAUGAUUUAGUACAAAUGACAUUAGGAAAUAUUGUGGGAGAAAGAUCUCGUAAUCACGAAACUUCUAAGUAUCGGAGUGUGGUGUCGUCUUGACUUGCCUUAUCUGUCUCAUAGGUAGAUGUGGCAUCUUCUCUGGAAGUACUCUUCCUCCAUCCAGGGGUGGUAUCUUUAACUGGUGGAGAUGCACAAGGUAAUGUAUCAAUUUCACUUGAAGCUUACUUGUAGUUUCAGGCUUGGUCAAGCGCGAUACAAACCAUGUAGUAGGAGUCCCCCAAGUCGCCGAGCUGGUGGAGAUGCCCUAUCUGUUCCUCAAGCAGAUGCGGAAUCUUCCCUGGAAACAUAAGAUGUUGAAGAUGAGUACUCGAGAGCAAUGCCAGGUAAGUAAUCAGGUAAGGGGUUCCAGGCAGUCAGUUCCUGGCUGGAAGCUUGAUUCCAAGUGCUGACUGAUUGCUCUCUUUCUCCUUGUCUUGCAGGUAAAAACAAGGCCAAAAGAAAAAACAGGGAAAAAGCAUGAUAUGGGAUACUCUUGCUUUUAACCCUGAUGAUAUGAGAUAUUCUUGCUCUAGUAUAGCUUGUUUGCAGAGGUAUUAUCGGGGGGAAAGAAAGCUGAAUAUUUCGAAAGGCUUCGUUGGGAGUGCCCUCUCAGAUAUGAUGAAGGGUUGAGCAUUUUUGCAGGUCUGCCUGUCCGUUGGGGAUGGAGGUCGACAUAUAUAGGAGUCUCCCUAACAACAAGUAGUAAUGCUAUUCCUUUACCCUGCUUGGUCAUAGCACGGUAGUGGGAGCUGCUAGUUUCACAUGUUUUAACUCUGUCAGAGCACUUUGAAAAAGUGGUCUGUGGUAUCUGGCUCUCGAGAUUCGGAGAACGAUGCCUCUUCGAGUUUUGAGAAAGCAAUCAUGAUGGGGGUCUGACUCUCGAGAUUCGGAGAGCAGUGUCUCUUAGAUUUUUGAGGAAGUAAUCAUGUUGGGAGUCUGGCUCUCGAGAUUCGGAGGGCGGUGCCUCUUCGAUUUUGGAGCAAGCAAUCUUGUUGGGAGUGUUGUCUCGAAUGUGAGUAAAGGUUGGACAUGUUUGCUAGUCUACCUUGCCACGAAGCACAAAGGUUGACACACAGGGACUUUCCAAUUAUCCAGCAAUGGUACUGUUCCUUUACCCUAUCUUCGAUUUUGAGAAAGUAGUUAUGUUGGGAGUCUGGCUCUCGAGAUUCGGAGGACGGUGCCUCUUCGAUUUUGGAGCAAGCAAUCUUGUUGGGAGUGUUUUCUCGAAUGUGAGUAAAGGUUGGGCAUGUUUGCUAGUCUACCUUGCCACGAAGCACAGAGGUUGACACACAGGGACUUUCCAAUUAUCCAGCAGUGGUACUGUUCCUUUACCCUUGUGGGUAAUAAUAUGGUAGCUAGACCUUCAAAAUUUAUGUGUCUAAACUUUGUUAGUGCUGUUUCUUUGCUAUUCUUUUACCUUUCUUGGUCAGAGCGAUGUAGUGGGAGCUGCAAGCUUCACGUGCUCAACUUUGGCAGAGAACUUUGGCAAAGUUAUCUGUGGUACCCAUGAGUUAUUGUUGUGUGUGGGAAGUGGGUGAUUGAACAGUAAGAUUCAUGUGCUUUCUACUUCACCAGAAGUCUUCGACAGAAUGCCCAUAAUUUCUGCAAAGCUGAGUGUGCGUGUGACAGGUGCUGACAAGGCUAGAAAAGUAGGUGCCUCUUCGAUUUCUGAGAUCGGCCCUCGUGGUCUCUGAGCAGCCCAGCUUUUGAGAAAGCGAACGCCUCUUCGAUUGAUUCGGAGAACGAUGCCUCAUCGAUUUUUGAGAAAGCAAUCAUGCUGGGGGUCUGGCUCUCGAGAUUCGGGGAGCAGUCUCUUCGAUUUUUGAGAAAGUAAUCAUGUUGGGAGAGUGGCUCUCGAGAUUCGGAAGGCGGUGCCUCUUCGAUUUUGGAGCAAGCAAUCUUGUUGGGGGUGUUUUCUCGAAUGUGAGUAAAGGUUGGGCAUGUUUGCUAGUCUACCUUGCCACGAAGCACAGAGGUUGACACACAGGGACUUUCCAAUUAUCCAGCAAUGGUACUGUUCCUUUACCCUCUCUUCGAUUUUUAAGAAAGUAAUCAUGUUGGGAGUCUGGCUCUUUAGAUUCGGAGGACGGUGCCUCUUCGAUUUUGGAGCAAGCAAUCUUAUUGGGAGUGUUUUCUCGAAUGUGAGUAAAGGUUGGGCAUGUUUGCUAGUCUACCUUGCCACGAAGCACAGAGGUUGACACACAGGGACUUUCCAAUUAUCCAGCAGUGGUACUGUUCCUUUACCCUUGUGGGUAAUAAUAUGGUAGCUAGACCUUCAAAAAAUUUAUGGGUCUAAACUUUGUUAGUGUUGUUUCUUUGCUAUUCUUUUACCUUUGUUGGUCAAAGCGAUGUAGUGGGAGCUGCAAGCUUCACGUGCUCAACUUUGGCAGAGAACUUUGGCAAAGUUAUAUGUGGUACCCAUGAGCUAUUGUUGCGUGUGGGAAGUGGGUGAUUGAACAGUAAGAUUCAUGUGUUUUCUACUUCCCCAGAAGUCUUUGACAGAAUGCCCAUAAUUUCCGCAAAGCUGAGUGUGCGUGUGACAGGUGCUGACAAGGCUGGAAAAGUAGAUGCCUCUUCGAUUUCUGAGAUCGGCCCUCGUGGUCUCUGGGGAGCCCAGCUUUUGAGAAAGCGAGCGCCUCUUCGAUUUCUGAGAUCGGCCUUCGUGGUCUUUAAGCAGCCCAACUUUUGAGAAAUCAAACGCCUCUUCGAUUUCUGAGAUCAACCCUCGUGAUCUCUAAGCAGCCCAACUUUUGAGAAAGCAAACGCCUCUUCGAUUUCUGAAGCUCCGUCGAGUGCAGAUUUUUAUAGGGGCUGGCAUUAAGUUCCAAAGCACACUUGAAUCUCCACCAGUAGAAGCUUCAUUCUUGCACUUCUAAGAUCUUGAUUUGUCCGACCUCUUCUCUCUUCAACACCUUUGAAAAUGUCUGGCCCCUCCGACCGUCGUUUUGACUUAAACCUUGUUGAAGAGGCAGCCCCGCCUUCUCCAGACAACAUAUGGCGCCCAUCCUUCGUCUCCCCAACUGGUCCUCUUACCGUUGGGGAUUCCGUGAUGAAGAAUGAUAUGACCGCUGCGGUGGUGGCCAGGAACCUUCUCACUCCCAAAGAUAACAGACUACUUUCCAAACGGUCUGAUGAGUUAGCUGUUAAGGAUUCGUUGGCUCUCAGUGUUCAGUGUGCAGGUUCUGUGUCUAAUAUGGCCCAACGCCUAUUUGCUCGAACCCGCCAAGUUGAAUCAUUGGCGGCUGAAGUGAUGAGUCUCAAACAGGAGAUUAGAGGGCUCAAGCAUGAGAAUAAACAGUUGCACCGGCUCGCACAUGACUAUGCUACAAACAUGAAGAGGAAGCUUGAUCAGAUGAAGGAAACUGAUGGUCAGGUUUUACUUGAUCAUCAGAGAUUUGUGGGUUUGUUCCAAAGGCAUUUAUUGCCUUCGUCUUCUGGGGCUGUACCACGUAAUGAAGCUCCAAAUGAUCAACCUCUGAUGCCUCCUCCUUCUAGGGUUCUGUCCAGUACUGAGGCUCCAAAUGAUCCCCCUCUGAUGCCUUCUCUUUCUGGGGCUCUCUACCGACUGCUGAGACUUCUCCUAAGCAACCUUUGUGAAGGCUCCCUCUUGUGUGUUUAUUUUGACUCAUGUAUAUGUACAUAUUUGUAGCUUAUCGGGGAUAUCAAUAAAUAAGCUUUCCUUCAUUUCAACGUAUUGUGUUAAAUACACCAAAUCCUUCUUCGCUAAGUUCUUUGAAUUUUCUUUUGUUGAAGCUUGUAUGUUGAAGCUUGUAUGAUUCAAGGCCCAAAGACCAUUGAAAAUAUUUUGAAACUUAGAGCAUGUCCAGCAGAUUCCCCAUCUACAUCUACUCACCUAUUUUGGAGAAAAUGAAGAGAAACCUCCUUAGUACUUUUUCCAACAUCAUUCGUUCAUGGUUGGAAGGAAAGAUCAGCAUCAAUUAUCCUGGUGAGUGUCGUCUUUUUGUUCUUUCUUGUUGAAUUUUUGAUGUGUAUUUCAUAUCAAAACAAUUACAAGAUGAAACAUUAUAUAGGAAAAGAAAGAGAACAUAAGCCUAACUUGCCUAACUUGCCUAACUUGCCUAAUUUCCUAACUUGCCUAACUUGCCUAAUUUACACAAAGAAGGUUGACUAGCCUAACUUCACUAGUCAUCCAACAUGUUUAUUUCAUGCAUGCAUUUUAACAAAAGAUAUGACUUGCAUGAAUUCCAACAUUUCUUGUUAUAUCUUUCUCAAUAUAAACUCAUGGGUUUGUUGGAUUUGUUGCUCUUUGUUUAUUGCUUUGAUUUGUUAAUUGAAUGAAUAUAUUAAACAAAAGGAGGGGAAAGCUCUACGAACUCGUGUAGUUGAUGCAUGUAGUACUCAGUACUACUCUUUCAGACAAUAAUCCUAACUUUUAAUCCCACUUAACGUAAUACAAUUUGGUGUCUGUAGUAUGUUUGGUGGUCUAGAUCACUCAUUUGAGAUAUACAUGUGAACCAGAAAGCUGUUUAACUUGGAAAAAGGCGAAAUUUAGCAUGCCCAUGAACUUUUAAAAUGUUGGGAGCAGCUCAGGUUUGAGUCCCAGCAAAGGAAUGCUUUUCUUAAUUUUUGCACGACUUACAGCUGGUGCGAGGGACCUCUGCGCGUUAACUAUGUGUCAGUCUGGGUCCAUUUAUUCCCUAGCCAUCAGUGUGCUGUCUAACUUUGUCUUUUAUAUUCACAAAAAAGCAUUGGCAGUCUUGACAGUGUCGAAACUGUUUACCGUGUUCAAACCGUGUGCAGGGCGUGUCAGCAUGUCAGAGUGUCUGACACUUUGAGGUUUGGGAGUGUCCGUGCAACCUAGGCUUCAAGGACGAGAUGGACAAGGUGGAGAAGUGGAGAAGAGCGCUUACUGAUGUUGCAAAUCUGGGAGGGAUGGUUCUAGAAGAUCGGUAAUUUCGUAAAACAUUUUCUUUAAUUUGAAAGUAUUAUCUAUAUAUGACCUUUUAGAGGUCGCACUUGGUGCGAUGGCAAGUGCCUUCGCCUAUGAGCGGUAGGUCUCAGGUUUGAGACUUGGGAGCAGCCUCUCCAUAAAUGGGGUAAGGCUAGCCGACAUUCACCUCUCCCAGACCCUGCGUAAAGCGGGAGCCUUGUGCACUGGGUACGACCUUUUUUUAUCUAUAUAUGACCUUUUAUAACUUGUUUAUUAGGCACAUUAUUGUUAGCUUAUUGGAGACUAAGGCCACCCCUCUUUCUUUUAGGGUAGAUAAUAUCGUUUGUUGACAAAAAAAAAAAAAAAAAAACUUGUUUAUUAGGUUGAUGAUAGUAAAGCCAUAUGGAGUUGACGGAUUUUGGGUUUAUAACUUUAUACUAUCUUUCAUGUACCUGUGCAGCAAUAUUUUUUAGAAGAUUCAAAUUUUCAAGUCAAUUUUUCAAUGUCUUAUAUAUAAUCUACCUGCAUUACUCAUGUCAAUCAUCAAUUACUCUUUUCUUUAGAUAAAAAUUACAUAGUCUUCAUAUGAUUUGAUGUCUAAUGACCAUAUGUUGUAGGGUAUGAGUGGCAGUUUAUCCAAGAUAUUGUUCAAGAGGUUGGAAGUAAGCUGGAUCGCGUGGCAGUAAAUGUUGCUCCCUAUGCUGUUGGAAUCGAUAAUUGUGUGCACGGAAUCAACAGAUGGUUAAAAGAUGAUUCGGGUGAUGCUGGUGCAGCGGUUAUCUAUGGGAUGGGUGGAAUUGGCAAAACCACCAUUGCCAAAGCUGCUAAUAAGACGAACCUUGCAAAAUUUUAAGGAAACGACAGCUUUCUUGCAGAUAUUGGCUUGCAAAUAAAUCUUCUUUCCGAUAUCCAAAGGGUGAAAGUAAAGAAAAUAAGCAAACAUGAAGGACUGAUCAAGAUUAAGCAUGCUGUAGGUUGCAAUAGAGUUCUUAUAGUUCUUGAUGAUGUGAACCAUUUGGACCAAUUCAAUGCAAUUCUUGGAAUGCGAUAGUGUUUUCACCCGGGAAGUAAAGUUACCGUAACAACUAGACAUAAAAGGCUCAUGAUAUUUAUCCAGUAUUUGAGAUUAAAGAACUGAGUGAAUAUGAAACACUGAAGCUUUUCAAGCGACAUGCCUUCGGGCAAGCCAAUCCCAUUGAAAGUUACUUGGAGUCAUGAACCUCGACCAAAUUGAAGCAAUCUUUGAGAAUCAAUUGCUAAUGGUUUGGGACUUCUGACAAGUUGGGGGUUGUCAUAAGGCCAUGUGAGUGACUGAGAUUAACGGUUCAGUCUUGGAAGGGAACCAGGGUAUGUUCUAAUCUCUCUCUCUCUCUCU